rnacentral:lncRNA from 1 species
GAUGGGUGACAGAAGAGAUUGACAAAGAUCCUGGCCUUGCAUACACAGAUCAAUGGGGGAGGAGAAAUUAUGAAUACAUCUCUCUUGGAUGUGACACCCUUCCAGUACUCAAAGGAAGGACACCUUCCAGUGUUAUUCUGACUUUAUGCUGGCUUUCAGAGACAAAUUUGAGCACCUGCUGGGAGAUACCAUUGUGGUAAGCAAAUAAAUUCAACAUUUUUUACAAUUAGAAUAGAUUAAUCUGGAGUGUUGUCUUUGAAUAAGUAGUCAUUGUCUUACCUUUUUAUCUUGUCAUGACAUCAGGAAAUACAGGUUGGAAUGGGUCCUGCUGUGAGCUCCGCUAUCCUUCAUAUCUGAACAGAACGGAACGUGGAAGUUCCCUGGGAUUGGAGCUUUUCAGUGCUAUGACAAGGUAUGUUCCCAUUCAGUUUGGUUCUUGAGUUUACAUCUUACUUGUGCUUAUUGAUUACUUAACUUUAUGUAUCUCUUGCAGUACAUGCUAAGUAGCUUAAAAGCUGCAGCAGAAGCAUAUGGAAAGCCUGAAUGGGGAAGCACUGCCCAACAGAUGCUGGCCAUUAUAACAAACUGGCCAGAUGACACAAACUUCUUCAGAAAGGAAGGUGGUGGCUGGGACAGUGAAUAUGGAGAGUUCUUCCUCACCUGGUAUUCCAAGAUGCUUUUUAGAUCAUGGUGAGAGGAUACUGCAAUCUGCUAAAGCUAUUUUUGAGAAUGGAGGGGUCAAAAUAUCAGUGAAAAUUGCUGGAAUCACUGGCAUUACGGAACAAGGUCCCAUGCCCUGAGCUUACAGCUGGAUAUUACAAUUAACUAGAUUGCGUGAUGGAUCCUUCCCAUUGCUCAGAUGCUGGCGCGCCACGGUGGCAAUAUUCAACUUUACUUGCAUUGAGAUGCGAGACCAUGAGCAGCAAGAUGCACUUUGCGCACCUGAGAAGCUUGUUAGGCAAGUGGCUUUAGCUACACAGCAAGCUCAAGUUCCUCUCGCUGGAGAAAAUGCAUUGCCAAGGUAUGAUGAAUAUGCACAUGAGCAGAUACUAAAGACAGCAGCAUUAAAUAUUGACGGUAACUCGACCAAUAGAGAAAUGUGUGCUUUCACAUACUUGAGGAUGAACCCGGACUUGUUCCACCCUGAUAAUUGGAGAAGGUUUGGCAUUUGUGAAGAAAAUGAAGGAAGGAAAAGACGUCCACCGGUGUUGGGAGCAAGUGAGCGCGAGGCUGAGCAUUUCGUACACGUAACUCAGCCAUUUGUGCAAGAAGCUGCUGUAGCUCUGAGGCACUAGUACUGCAGCAGGUUAAUGCAUGUUUCUGUAUGUAUGAACAAGAAGCAGAGAAUGCCUGAUGGCUGGUUUUGUGGCCAUGGAUCUCUGUUUUGUUGUACGCAUAUGAUUAGGCCUAUUUCAAGAACCAUAUAGGAAUUUCCAAGGUGUUUUAGUAACAAAAUUCCAAAAUGAUGCAAGUAUCAAUGAUGCAUUAAUAAUAGUAGGAGUAUUUCUUUUCAUUUGUUGUGCAUAUAUUAUGAUGUAUGAAUUGUCAGAAUGUUGAACUGUUUUGGUCAUUCAUUCAUAUUCAAAAGAAAAGGUAGAAAAGUAUAAUGGAUUGAAUGCGUCUUAGAGAAGCAAUUAAUAUCCAGUUAUGAAAUAUCUAUGAGAAUUCCCUAGACUGGUAAUCAACAAGAAUUGAGAAUUGUGUUCAUUAGUGAUUAUGAGAAGAACUCUUGUAAGACGUCUAUGUCUGCUGUCUUGCAUCAAGGACUUGGCGUACUUGUAAGAUUUUUAUCUGCCGGCCCGUUUCAAUGGCAAAGCGAUGGAUUUAUGGUCUUUCACGUGAAUCUGCUGAUUGCUUGAAAUUGGGUGCGUAGGAUUUAAACCACUGCCACCUUAUUCCCAUCACAUAAACUUACAGGCACUUCUGCUCUCUCUUGCAAGGUGGGUAAUUGGCAAUUCUGUCCUUUCUUUUGUUUGGGUCUAAAACCCCGGUAUUCGGUGAUGCAUUCGAUUCUGACUAAUUUGAAGUUUAACACUAUAUUGGACUCCUUUUGAGAAGAUUUUGAUAAAAUGUUAUUUUCAUUCACAGACUCAAAAUCGAGGCCUUGAUUAAAGACCACUAAGCUCUUUGUUACUCGACCCAACAACCAUUAAUGGCAAUUCUAUUUGGUUAGUGAAGGUAGAGCACUAACAUGGCUAAACAAAAAGGUGAAGAUUGCAAGAGCUCGACAAACUAUGAGAUUGGGAUUUUUCAUGUAGAUAGCGUAGAGAAAAAAGAGAAUCAGUGGAUCAUUCUUAUAUAUUAACAUUGCAGUCUUGUAGGAAAGAGAAAAAAAGGGCCCGGGGGGGGGGGGGGGUCGAAACAAUAUUCUUAUUUAUUAACACUCCAGUCUAGUCAUAAGCGUAAUUAAUCAAGGAAAAAAAAGGGUGUAAAUGUUAAAGGUUGAGCAUUUUCCCAACAUAUAUCCUCGUGGUUAAACGGUUAUUUCUUGUUUCUUUUUGGGCCUAUUAUCAUGAUACAUUUUUUUUUUAUUAAAUUUUUGGUCUGUAUUUUUUUUUUCAAUCGUCACCAUUUUUAGUCUGUAUUUAAGAUUAGCCUUUUGGGUAUUGUCAUGAUUCAUGGUUAUGUUAGGUGGACUUGUUUGAAUAUUAAUACAUCAUCAUAUUAUUUGAAUGUUAGGUGGACUUGUUUGCAUUACAAAUAUAUUUUUCAAUCACUUUUUUUGUAUUUUAAUUACCUUUCCACUUUAUAUAUAAUAAUCAUCAUAUAAAAUGUUACAUUACUAUUUUAAUAAUCUUCUAUCCAAACCAUACUUUUUGGGCCUAUUUAAACGAGUGAUAACAUAGUUAAACAUAUCUUUGCUAGUCUUGCAAAAAAUAAAUGACAUUAAUCAACUUUUUCUUUUGUUAAUCAAUCAAUUUAUUAGAGGAUACGCCUAAAUGGAUCCUAAAUUAUUCUAUUUAUUGCAUAUUGGUGUGUGUGUGUGUGUUCCUCUAAUUUGCAGCUCAAUUUUCGUUGUUACGUUGGUUUUCACAGCUUCACUUCAUAAUAACUGAAUUGACCAAGUAAUUAACCAAAAAAAACACUGGGAUGGCAAUUUCACAAAACUUGUUCAAGUUCCAUAGCCACAUGAAACAAGCCUAUUGUCCAGGUCAAAUGCAGAUACAUGCAACACCUAACAACUAUUAUUCCUACGUGCCAUUCCUCUAUAGCUCAAAAGGCAAUCAUGUUCUACUAUAAAUUCAAGCCUUAAUUCAAGCAAAUAUGCAAAACUUUCUGUUUCAGUUACAAAGAUAUCAAACGAUUUAGACACUUCAUUUCAUCUUUAAGGAAAUGUCGAGCACUCAGUUUAAUGAGGCGAAACCCAUGGCAAAACUCAGGUGAUUAAACCUCUUCUAUUUAAGUGUUAGCAUUAUCAUUCUUUUCUUGCUGUUGCAGCAAAUUUUAUGGCCUAGUCCUGUUUGUAAUAAUUUUGCUAUCCACAGACAUUGUAGUUGAUAUAUAGCCAGAUCACCAUAUAUAGCUAGAUCAUAUUAUAGCUGAUAUACGUUUCUAUUUUCAAGAUAUAUAUCAUCAUCAAGUAUAGAAAAUGAGAAUUCUUGAUUUGGGACGAAUUCUUGAAGACUCAUUAGUAGGACUCUGCAUCCCAAGAUUAUUACUAACAAGCUUUUAUACGCAGGCCAGAAGAGCAAUUGGUUGAUUCAUGCAAGGAUGCAGCAAUGCAGCCGUGACCGAUCUGCCCAGGCUGCAGAUCAGAGUGCAGGAUUCCUUCAGCAGGUUUUUCAACUUUUACAGUUUUGUCCAAGAAAAUUCGGGUUAAAAUUCCUUUUCUUUAUCUUCUUCUUAUUUAUUAUUAUUCAUUUUUUUUAGACUGGUGAGCAAGUGAAGAGCAUGGCUCAGGGUGCCAUUGAUGGUGUGAAGAACAACUUGGUUGGUGACAACAACACUAAGAAGUGAAAGAAACGUCAGUCUUCGUGCGAAUCAUGACUUAGUUGAUUUGUUUGUUGGUCAUUUCCUAUAAUUAGGAGUUUCCUAUACUCCAAUGGUAUAAGGAAAUCACAAGUAGGGAUUUUUUUAAGGAUUUCUCAGAUGAUGUAAUAAGAGCUUUUAGAAAUUUGUUGAUAAGUGGAGUUUAUACCAUUUUGAUGAUUUUUAGGUUAGCUUAGAAUUUGCUUCAGUUUCUAGCUUAUUUAGAGUUGGGAGCAUGUUAAUUUUGCAUUGAUCUGAAGAGUCUCUUGAUACAGAGAAUCUCUUUCAAGUGUAAUAAGGUAGUAUUGACUAUGAUAAAAGAUACUGAAUUCAUGAAGAAAAUGAGACAACUUGGUCUUUUUUCUGGCUUCUUGUUAAGAUUCCGAAACCCGCUUUCCACAAGAAGACUAGUUACAGAACCGAAGUCCAACGUUUUAAAUUACAGCUAGGUUUGCAAAAUGGAGAUUUGUAGUAGUUAAUAUUGACCACUAAUAUUAUCUCUUUACCCUUUAUUGUCAUUGCUGUAUAAUAUGCUUUCUACCUAACUUGCACGCACCUUAGAAUAAUUAUCUUUUUGAUUCACAGAAUUUGUGUCAAGGACUCAGGACUAGAGCUGUCAAAACCGAACUCGGCCCAGAUUUGGUAAAUUUUUUCGGGUUUGGGUUGAGAAAUAAUUCCGAUACCUGAAUCUGGACCAAUAUCCGUUUACUCUAAAAAAAGCGAGUCGAAUACGAAAUAUAGGAUUCUGACCGAUAUCGAUUCAACCAAAUAAUACAUUAAUAUUAUAAAUAUAAAUAUUCUAAUAUAUUCUUUUACUAAAUUAACAAAAGUAUUCUUUUACCAAAUUAACCAAAUUACUUGUAUCUCAGAUGAAGCAUCUAAGAAAUUAGGAUUUGCAAGACGCAAACUUGUUUGACCAGAAAUGUAUUCAUCACAAGUUGCAUAUAAGUGUUUUUUGCUAAAUACUUUGAGAUCAUGUUAGGCCUUUUUUGCUAACAUGGAUAAAAGAAAAUGAAUGAUACAUGUUGGGCCAUUUUCUUUCUAGAUAGACCCGGACCCGACUUGAGACUCGUCAAAUCUGGUUCUGAAAUCUUAAGUACAAACCCAUCGAUAUACGGGUCGGGUUCGGGUCUAGUACAUUAAAAUGAAUCGUGGUCCGAAAUUUUCAAUUUCGAUCCAAACCGACGACCUGUUGUUGAUAGGGCCUACUCGGACUGAAGAUUUCUGAAAAUAAUUCCCAAAUUCAUUCUCGUUGAACUACCGGUGUACUUGCUAGGAUAGAAAUCAAUACUCCUUGAUCAUGUGUUUGGUUGGGAACUUUUUCUUUUUUUAAAAUACAGUAUUUUAUAAUUGACCUAUACUUGGGAUUGGAAUGGAAUGGACCUAACUAAAUCAUUGAAAUUCAAAAACACUAAACUAUCUUCGAAAAUGUUUUAGAAGUCCUGGAUGGAAAAUGUAGGCAAGGCGUUUUGAAUACCAUACCUAUACCAAGCAGGGAUACUUCAACGUUAGGCUCAAAAUUUCUCCAUUGAGCUUAUUUGCAAACUAAAUAUAAUAAAUAUUGCAUUAAAAAAAAGCAUAAGAAAUAUUGUACCACGGGCCAUAAGAUAGGGAUGGGCAAAAAUACUUGUUAACUCGAAAACUUACCAUAUCCGAUUCAAUUCGAUCGAAAAUUAGAAUAUCCGAUUCGUAUUAUUUCAUCGCAUUAAAAAGAGGGUCAAGUACCUGAGUAGAUUCGGGCAGGUUAGGGUCACAUACUUGAAAAUCCACGAAUACUUGACUCACCCGCACACAUACACACACAUAUAUAUAUUUUUAAUUUUAUACACAUGGUUAAAAUAAUAUUUUUAGAACUAAAUAAGCAAUUUAUUGAGCAAUUGUAUUACAAAUAUGGAAGAUUAUAGUUUGUUUACAAGAUUCAUUUAUAGAGUUCAUGAUCUUAUUUUUUUUUUAAGAAAAGUUUAGUUAAUGUGAAAUAUAUAUCUAAAAAAGGGGCUACUUAUUUCAAAUUUUUAUUGAUUUUGAAUUCUAUUAAUUUUUUUUCCUUUUUCUUCUAUUCUCUUCGCAUGUUUGUUUCUUGGUGGGAUGAUUUUUUUGAGAAAAAUCUUAAUUAAAUUUAAAUUUUAAAUGAAAAUGUAAAAUAUAAAAUUAAAUUAGCAUAGAUAAUUUUUUUAAAAAAAAUUAAAUGAAUAAGUGGGAUGAAACGGGUAUCCGUUGAGACCCGAUCCUAUCUAAUUGGAUACUUGCUGAUAUGUGGGGCAGAUAAAACUCAGAAAAUGAUUGAUUUACUACAUAUGGGAGGCGCCAGUUAAAUGGUGGCACGAGAUAGGUAUUCGACCCAUGCUCACCCUACGACAACCCCAUAAGGUCAUAUAUAUCUCUCUUCAUUGCAUAUACUCAACACUUAUAGACUCCAAGCCAGAUUAAAUACUUUAAAUACUUUAUUAGCAAAAAAAAAAACACUAGAUUAAAAUUAAAUAAUUGUUUCACAAAAAUUCUCCUGGAAUUCUUGCUAGGAUCUUGCCCAUUGCUGAUCUUUAUAAUCUUAUGCCAAUUUUCUAAAAAACUCUCAUAGAAAAUUUCAUAAUUCAUAUCUUUUGUUUUUAACAUCUUUCAACUAGGGAGAAGUGAAAUUUAAAAAACAUUUCUGAUUCAUGGAAUCAAAAUUUUAACCACUAGACUAACGUAUUCUUGACAUCAUAAUUUAUCUUCGAUCCAAUAAUUGUCACUUUAAAGUUUUUUCAACAAAAAACACACCUGUAGUUAUGUUUCUUAGUUGUAUUUAAACACACAACAAAAAAAAAACUUAACUUUCCUCUUAUGAAAUGUUAAAAUUAAUGAAAGACACUGAACCGAAAUUCUCAAGUCCAAAAAUAAAAAAAAAUAAAAAAAUUAGAAACCGAAUAAGAAAUCUAGAAUGAUCGCUAAUGCAAUUGACGUGAUGGCUGUGUCCCGCGGCUUCUCCUACCUUCCCUAUCACCAUCCAAUAAUACGCCACUAAACUUCACCUUCAAUUCUAUUGCCUUCUAAUGGCAAAAUUAUUGAAAAGUGAAAACCCCUUCAUUGAGGAAAAAAGAAGGCGGAAAAAGAAAAUUCUUCAAGUUCCACAGCCACAUGAAACAAGCCCAUUGUCCAGGUCAAAUGCAGCAUAAUAUGCAACACCUAAACAACUUGCUAUUCCUACGUGCCAUUACCUCAUAGCUCAAAUGGCAAUCAUAUUCUACUAUAAAUUCAAGAGCUUAAUUCAACCAAAAAUACAGAACUUUCAGUUUUAGUUACAAAGAUAUCAAACGAUUUAGACACUUCAUUUCAUCUUUAAGAAAAUGUCAAGCACUCAGUUUAAUGCAGGCGAAACCCAUGGCAAAACUCAGGUGAUUGAACCUCUUCCAUUUAAGUGUUAGCAAUUAUCAUUCUUUUCUCGUUGUUAUAGCAAAUUUCAUGGCCUAGUCCUGUUUGUAAUGAUUGGCUAUCCAUAGACAUUGUAGUAUUAUUCUACUUUUUGUUCAUGGCAUAAAACUGCUAUACUAUUCUUCCACUAUUGGAAAAAGAAUUUGUCUUGCUGAUGAUAUAAGAUGCUAGAUGAGUUUUCUAUCCUCUCAAUUACAUGUAUGAGAUGGCUAUUGCAUUAAUAUAAGAUCAUCAUGUAUAGCUGAUAUAUGUUUCUAUUUUCAAGAUAUCUUAUCAAUCAUCAAGUAUAUGAAAACGAGAAUCCUUGAUUUGGGACGAAUUCUUGAAGACUCAUUAGUAGGACUCUUCAUCCCAAGAUUAUUACUAACUAGUUUUCAUACGCAGGCCAAGACAGAGCAGUGGGUUGAUUCAUGCAAGGAUGCAGCAAAUGCAGCCCAUGACCGAUCUGCCCAGGCUGCAGAUCAGAGUGCAGGAUUCCUUCAGCAGGUUUUCAACCUCUACAGUUUUGUCCAAGAAGAAUUUGGGGUUAAAAUUCCUUUUCUUUAUCUUCUUCUUAUUAUUAUUACUUCAUUUUUAUUUCAGACUGGUGAGCAAGUAAAGAGCAUGGCUCAGGGUGCUAUUGAUGGUGUGAAGAACACACUUGGAGUUGGUGACAACAACACUAAGAAGUGAAAGAAACAGAUGUCAUUCAUGAGAAUCAUGACUUAGUUGAUUUAUUUGUUAGUCAUUUCCUAUAAUUAGGAGUUUCCUAUACUCAAAUGGUAUAAGGAAAUUAUAAGUAGGGAUUUCUUUUUAAGGAUUUCUCAGAUGAUGUAAUAAGAGCUUUUAGAAAUUUGUUGCUAAAGUGGAGUUUAUACCAUUUUGAUGAUUUUUAGGUUAGCUUAGGAUUUGCUUCAGUUUCUAGCUUAUUUAGAGUUGGGAGCAUGUUAAUUUUGCGUUGAUCUGAAGAGUCUCUUGAUACAGAGAACUCUCUUUCAAGUGUAAUAAGGUAGUAUUGACCAUAAUAAAAGAUACAUAAUUCAUGAAGAAAAUGAGACAAUUUGGUCUUUUUUCUGACUUCUUGUUAAGAUUCCAAAACAGGUUUUCCACAAGAAGACUAGUUACAAAACCGAAGUCCAACGUUUAGAAAUUACAGCUAGGUUUGCAAAAUGGAGAUUUGUAGUAGUUAAUAUUGACUACUAAUAUUAUCUAUUUACCCUUUUAUUGUCAUUGCUGUAUAAUAUGCUUUCUAUCUAACUUGCACGCAUCUUAGAUUAAUUCAUCUCUUUGAUUCACAGAAUUUGUGUCAAGGACUCGGGACUGAUGAUUUCAGGAAAUAAUUCCAAAUCCGUUCUCGUUGAAGUACCCGAUGUACUUGCGAGGACAGAAAUUCAAUACUACCUUGAUCAUGUGUUUGGUUUGGACAAUUUUUUUUUUAAAUACAACAUUUUGUAACUGGUCGUAUAAUAGGGAAUGUGAAUAUACCUAACUAAAUUAUUGAAAAUUCGAAGAGAACUAAACUAUCUCCGAAAAUGUUUUAGAAGUUUUGGACGGAAAAUGUAGGCAAGGGGUUUUGAUUCCCAUACCUAUACCCACGGAGGGACACUUCGACUUUAGGCUCACAAUUUUCUCCAUUGAGCUUAUUUGCACACUAAAUAUAAGAAAUAUUGCAUUAAAAAAGGGUUAUUAUCACUUUACCCCCAUAAACGUUUGGUGUUACUAUCAAUUUCCCCCUUAACGUUAUCUUUUACCCCCAAGACUAAUGGUCAAACUUAACGGAGUUUGUUAAUUAAAGUAAAAUGACAUGUUUAACCCUUAAAAUUGUUAUCACUUUAUCCCCAUAAAAUAUAGUCUCAUUAUCAAUUUACCCUAUAGAGUUAUUUUUUAGACAAUUUAUCCUACCAUUAAACCAAUUUAGCAAGUUAAAAAACUUUAGAAGAAAAUACUCUUCUCUUUGCAUAAUAAAUAAUAAAAAAUUUAGAGUGACUCUUCUUCUUUUUAAUAUCAAGAAAAAAAGUCAAAGUAUUGAUUUUUUUUCUUCUUGACAAUCUUAUUAAUAUUGAAAAAAAAAUAGAAAGAUGGAGAGGGGGAAGGGAGAGAGAGAACUCAAUUCUUUUUUUAAAAUUACAAAUAAGAAAGAAUUAAAUACUUUUAUUAUUUUAAAAUUAUUUCACUUUUUUGUUUACCACAAAAUUUCAAUUCUAAUCCCGACAACCUUAAAGUAAUAUGAUAAUAUUAGACUUUUCUUUAUUUUAUUUUUUUCAAAAUCUAAUUUUUUGUCUCUUUCUUUCCUAUCUCUUUUUCUUUUCCUAGUAUUAAUAAGUGUGAAAACAGAAAUUUGAGAAAACUCUUUUAUUUUUAUAUUUUUCGAUCUCUUAAAGUGAAAAAAAGAAAGAAUAACCAUUCUAACUUUUUAUUUUUAAUUAUAUAUAAAAAAGGGUAAAUAUAUUUGAAAUUUUUUGACCAUACUAGUUGGAUUAACGAUGAGGUAAAAUACCUAAAAAAUAAUGUUAGGAACUAAAAUGAUUGUAUCACUAUAAUUCAAACGAAUAAAGCGAUAAUAACAACGUAGUAAUGCUAUAAAAUAAAAGGAUAUUUUUGUCCAAAAUUUAUUAACGUGUUGAGUUGAAUUACUUAUAGGGGUAAAGUGAUUAAAAGAUAACGUUAGAGGGUAAACUGAUAGUAGUGAUAUAGUUUAAGGGGGUAAACUGAUAAUAACCCUUAAAAAAAAGCAUAAGAAAUAUUGUACCAUGGGCCACAAGAUAGGGGUGGGCAAAAUACUUGUUAACUUGAAAACUUACCAUAUCUGAUCCAAUUUGAUUCGAAAAUUAGAAUAUCCGAUUCGUAUUAUUUGAUUGCGUUAAAAGAGGGUAAACUACCCGACUAGAUUCCGGACAGGUUAAGGUCACAUAAUUGAAAAUCUACAAAUACUUGACUCACCCCGCAUAUAUGUAUUUAUAUAUUUAUAUAUUUAUUUUUAAUUUUUAUAUACAUACUAUAAAAUAAUAUUUUUAAAGCUAAAUAAACAAUUUCAUUGAGCAAAUUGUAUGCAAAUAUGGGAUAUUAUAGUUUGUUUAUAAGAUUCAUUUGUAGAGAUCAUGAUUUUAUCUUUUUCAGAAAAGAAUUUAGUUAAUGUGGAAUAUAUAUCUAAAAAAAUGUGCUACUUAUUUCAAUUUUUUAUUGAUUUUGAAUUCUUUUAAUUUUUUUUCUUUUUCUUGUAUGCUCUUUGCAUGUUUGUUUCUUGGUGGGAUAAUUUUUUUGAGAAAAAAUCUUUAUUAAAUUUUAGAUGAAUAUGUGAAAUAUAAAAUUAAAUUAGUAUAGAUCAUUUUUUUUUAAAAAUUAAAUGAUAAGCGGGAUGAGACGGGUAUCUGUUGAUAUGAUCCUAUCUAAUUAGGUACUCGCUGAUAUGUAGGGCGGAUAAAACUUAGAAAAUGGUUGAUCCGCAAAAUGCAGGAUGGGUUAGUCAAAUGGUGCACAGGGUAGGUAUUCGACCCAUACCCAUCCCUACGACGACUCCAUAAGGUCCCAUAUAUCGCUCUUCAUUGCAUAUACUUAACAUUUAUAGAUUCCUAGCUAGAUUAAAUACUUUUUUACAAAAAAAAAACACUAGAUUAAAAUUAAAUACUUGUUUCACAAAAAUCUCCUGGAAUUCUUGCUAGGAUCCUGCCCACUGCUGAUCUUCAUAAUCUUAUGCCAACUUCUAAAAACAACUCUCAAUCAAUGUUUUUAAACCCGAACCGGGAAGUGAACCGAAAAACCUCCGGGUUCACGAUUCAACCAAUUCGAUCCGAUUCAAACAUUUAAUAAUUUUUUAUUCAUUUUAGUAUUAAAAAUUUUGAAUAAAACUAAAAUAUUUAUUUUAGAAAAUAAAUAUUUAAUAAAAAUCGGUUGAAUCUCUCGAUUUUACCGGUUCAACCGAUUUAAUUAAUUCUUUGGAUUUUUAAUUGAAUCGGACCGGAGGCAUGGCCAGUUCGCAAUUCAACUGGUUGAACCGGCUGGUCCGGGCCGGUUUUUAAAACCAUUGCACUCAAUAGAAAAUUUCAUUAUUCAUCUCUUUUUUUUUUUAACAUCUUUCAACUGGGGAAAGGUGAAAUUUAACAAACAUUUCUUAUUCAUGAAAUCUCAAUAUUAACCACUAGACUAACGCAUUCUCGACAUCAUAAUUCAUCUCUGAUCCAAUAAUUGUCACUUUCAAGUUUUCCAACAAAAAACACACCUAUAGUUAUGUUUCUUAGUUGUAUUUAUACACCAGAAAAAAAAUCUUAACUUUCUCUUAUGAAAUGUUAAAAUUAAUGAAAGACAUCUGAACCAAAAUUCUCAAGUCCAAAACCAAAAAAUAAAAAUAAAAAAAUUAGAAAACAAAAUAAGAAAUCAAGAAUGACCGUUAAUCAAUUGGCACGACGGCUGUCUCCCGCAGCUUCUCCUAGCUUCCCUACCACCAUCCAAUAAUACGCCACUAAACUCCACCUUCUUGCUCCCAAAUCUCAAGCUAAAUUCUAUUGCCUUCUAACGGCAAAAUUCUUGAAAAGUGAAAACCCCUUCUUUCAGAAAAAAAGAAGUCGGAAAAAGAAAAUUUUUUAAGUUCCACAGCCACAUGAAACAAGCCUAUCGUCCAGGUCAAAUGCAGCAUAAUAUGCAACACCUAACAACCUGCUAUUCCUACGUGCCAUUACCUCAUAGCUCAAAAGGCAAUCAUGUUCUACUAUAUAUUCAAGAGCUUAAUUCAACCAAAAAUGCAGAACUUUGGGUUUUAGUUACAAAGAUAUCAAAUGAUUUAGACACUUCAAUUCAUCUUUAAGAAAAAUGUCGAGCACUCAGUUUAAUGCAGGUGAGACCCAUGGCAGAACUCAGGUGAUUGAACCUCUUCCAUUUAAGUGUUAGCAAUUAUCAUUCUUUUCUUGCUGUUGCAGCAAAUUUCAUGGCCGAGUCCUGUUUGUACUAAUUUGGCUAUCCAUAGACAUUGUAGUUGAUAUAUAGCCAGAUCAUCAUAUAUAGCUGAUAUAAGUUUCUAUUUUCAAGAUAUCAUAUCAAUCAUCAAGUAUAAGAAAAUGAGAAUUCUUGAUUUUGGAUGAAUUCUUGAAGACUCAUUAGUGGGACUCAUUAGCAAGCUCAAGUUCCUCUCGCUGGAGAAAAUGCAUUGCCAAGAUAUGAUGAAUAUCCACAUGAGCUGAUACUAAAGAUAGCAGCAUUAAAUAUUGACGGUAACUCGACCAAUAGAGAAAUGUGUGCUUUCACAUACUUGAGGAUGAACCCAGACUUGUUCCACCCUGAUAACUGGAGAAGGUUUGGGGCAUUUGUGAAGAAAAUGAAGGAAGGAAAAGACGUCCACCGGUGUUGGGAGCAAGCGGAGCGCGAGGCUGAGCAUUUCGUACACGUAACUCAGCCAUUUGUGCAAGAAACUGCUAUAGCUCUGAUGCACUAGUACUACAGCAGGUUAAUGCAUGUUUCUGUAUGUAUGAACAAGAAGCAGAGAAUGCCCUGAUGGCUGGUUUUGUGGCCAUGGAUCUCUGUUUUGUUGUACGCAUAUGAUUAGGCCUAUUUCAAGAACCAUAUAGGAAUUCUCCAAGGUGUUUAGUAUCAAAGUGACAAAAUGAUGCAAGUAUCAAUGAUGCAUUAAUAAUAGUAGUAGCAUUUCUUUUCAUUUGUCGUGCAUAUAUUGUAUUCAUUAGUGAUCUAUAAGAAGAACUCUUGUAAGACGUCUAUGGUCCCUGCUGUCUUGCAUCAAGGACUUGACGUACUUGUAAGAUUUUUAUCUGCCGCCCAUUUCAAUAGCAAAGCGAUGGAUUUAUGGUCUUUCACAUGAAUCUGCUGAUUGCUUGAAAAUUGGGUGCCGUAGGAUUUAAACUACUGUCACCUUAUUCCCCAUCACAUAAACUUACAGGCCACUUCUGCUUUCUCUUGCAAGGUGGGUAAUUGGCAAUUCUAUCCUUUUCUUUUGUUUGGGUCUAAACCCCGGUAUUCGGUGACUGCAUUCGAUUCUGACUACUUUGAAGUUUAACACUAUUGGACUCCUUUUGAGAAGAUUUUGAUAAAAUGUUAUUUUCUUCAUUCACAAGACUCAAAAUCGAGGCCUUGAUUAAAGACCACUAAGCUCUUUGUUACUCGACCCAACAACCAUUAAUGGCAAUUCUAUUUGGUUAGUGAAGGUAGAGCACUAACAUGGCUAAACAACAAAGGUGAAGAUUGCAAGAGCUCGACAAAACUAUGAGAUUGGGAUUUUUCAUGUAGAUAGCGUAGAGAAAAAAGAGAAUCAGUGGAAUCAUUCUUAUAUAUUAACAUUGCAGUCUUGUAGGAAAAGAAAAAAAAGGGGGGUCGAAACAAUAUUCUUAUUUAUUAACAUUCCAGUCUAGUCAUAAGCGUAAUUAAUCAAGGAAAACAAUAGGUGUAAUUAAUCAUCCUUCAUGUUAAAGGUUGAGAAUUUUCCCAACAUAUAUCCUCAUGGUUAAACGGUUAUUUCUUGUUUUCUUUUUGGGUCUAUUAUCAUGAUCACCAUUUUUUUUAUUCAAUUUUUGGUCUGUAUUUUUUUUUUUUUGUCAAUCGUCACCAUUUUUGGUCUGUAUUUAAGAUUAGCCUUUUGGGCCUAUUGUCAUGAUUUAUGGUAAUGAUAGAUGGACUUGUUUGAAUAUGAAUACAUAUUUUUUUGCAAAAAAAAAAAAUUUUGCAUUACAAAUAUAUUUUUUAAUCACUUUUUUGUAUUUGUAAUUACCUUUUCACUUUAUAUAUAUAUCACAUCAUCAUAAAAAAUGUUACAUUAAUAUUUUAAAUAAUCUUCUAUCCAAACACUUACUUUUUGGGCCUAUUUAAAUGAGUGAUAACAUAGUUAAACAUUUCUCUUGCUAGACUUGCAAAAAAUAAAUGACAUUAAUCAACUUUUUCUUUUUGUUAAUCAAUCAAUUUAUUAGAGGAUACGCCUAAAUGGAUCCUAAAAUUAUUCUAUUUAUUGCAUAUUGGUGUGUGUGUGUGUGUUCCUCCUAAUUAGUAGCUCAACUUCCGUUGUUACGUUGGCUUCCACAGCUUCACUUCACUAAUAACCUGAAUUGACCAAGUAUAAUUAACCAAAAAAAACAUUGGGAUGGCAAUUUCACAAAACUUGUUCAAGUUCUACAGCCACAUGAAACAAGCCCAUUGUCCAGGUCAAAUGCAGCAUAACAUGCAACACCUAACAACCUACUAUUCCUACGUGCCAUUACCUCAUAGCUCAAAAGGCAAUCAUGUUCUACUAUAAAUUCAAGAGCUUAAUUCAAGCAAAUAUGCAAAACUUUCUGUUUCAGUUACAAAGAUAUCAAGCGAUUUAGACACUUCAUUUCAUCUUUAAGGAAAAUGUCGAGCACUCAGUUUAAUGCAGGCGAAACCCAUGGCAAAACUCAGGUGAUUAAACCUCUUCUAUUUAAAUGUUAGCAAUUAUCAUUCUUUUCUUGCUGUUGCAGCAAAUUUCAUGGCCUAGUCCUGUUUGUAAUAAUUUGGCUAUCCACAGACAUUGUAGUUGAUAUAUAGCCAAAUCACCAUAUAUAGCUAGAUCAUCAAACAUAGUUGAUAUACGUCUCUAUUUUCAAGAUGUCAUAUCAAUCAUCAAGUAUAAGAAAAUGAGAAUUCUUGAUUUGGGAUGAAUUCUUGAAAACUCAUUAGUAGGACUCUGCAUCCCAAGAUUAUUACUAACAAGUUUUUAUACGCAGGCCAAGACAGAGCAAUUGGUUGAUUCAUGCAAGGAUGCAGCAAAUGCAGCCCGUGACCGAUCUGCCCAGGCUGCAGAUCAGAGUGCAGGAUUCCUUCAGCAGGUUUUCAACUUUUACAGUUUUGUCCAAGAAGAAUUCGGGGUUAAAAUUCCUUUUCUUUAUCUUCUUCUUAUUAUUGUUACUUCAUUUUUAUUUCAGACUGGUGAGCAAGUGAAGAGCAUGGCUCAGGGUGCUAUUGAUGGUGUGAAGAACACACUUGGAGUUGGUGACAACAACACUAAGAAGUGAAAGAAACACGUCAUUCGUGAGAAUCAUGACUUGGUUGAUUUAUUUGUUGGUCAUUUCCUAUAAUUAGGAGUUUCCUAGACUCGAAUGGUAUAAGGAAAUCAUAAGUAGGGGUUUCUUUUUAGGGAUUUCUCAGAUGAUGUAAUAAGAGCUUUUAGCAAUCUGUUGCUGGUGUGGAGUUUAUACCAUUUUGAUGAUUUUUAGGUUAGCUUAGGAUUUGCUUCAGUUUCUAGCUUAUUUAGAGUUGGGAGCAUGUUAAUUUUCCAUUGAUCUGAAGAGUCACUUGAUACAUAGAACUCUCUUUCAAGUGUAACAAGGUAGUAUUGACCAUAAUAAAAGAUAUAUAGAAUUCAUGAAGAAAAUGAGACAAUUUGGUCUUUUUUCUGACUUCUUGUUAAGAUUCGAAAAUAGGUUUUUCACAAGAAAACUAGUUACAGAACCGAAGUCCAACGUUUUGAAAUUACAGCUAGGUUUACAAAAUGGAGAUUUGUAGUAGUUAAUAUUGACUACUAAUAUUAUCUGUUUACCUUUUUAUUGUCAUUGCUAUAUAAUAUGCUUUCUAUCUAACUUGCACGCAUCUUAGAUUAAUUUACCUUUUUGAUUCAUAGAAUUUGUUUCAAGGACUCGGGACUGAUGAUUUCAGGAAAUAAUUCCCAAAUCCAUUCUCGUUGAAGUACCCGAUGUACUUGCUAGGACAGAAAUUCAAUACUACCUUGAUCAUGUGUUUGGUUUGGACAUUUUUUUUUUUAAAUACAACAUUUUAUAGCUGGUCCUAUAAUAGGGAAUGUGAAUUUACCUAACUAAAUUAUUGAAAAUUCGAAGAGAACUAAACUAUCUCUGAAAAUGUUUUAUAAGUUUUGGACGGAAAAUGUAGGCAAGGGGUUUUGAUUCCCAUACCAAUACCCACGGAGGGACACUUCGACUUUAGGCUCACAAUUUUCUCCAUUGAGCUUAUUUGCAUACUAAAUAUAAGAAAUAUUGCAUUAAAAAAAGGGUUAUUAUCAUUUUACCCCCAUAACGUUUGGUGUUACUAUCAAUUUCCCCUUAACGUUAUCUUUUAGUCACUUUACCCCAAGACUAAUCAUCAAACUUAACGGAAUUUGUUAAUUAAAGUAAAAUGAUAUGUUUAAUCCUUAAAAUUAUUAUCACUUUAUCCCCAUAAAAUAUAGUCUCAUUAUCAAUUUACCCUAUAGAGUUAUUUUUUAGACAAUUUAUCCUACCAUUAAACCAAUUUAGCAAGUUAAAAAACUUUAGAAGAAAAUACUCUUCUCUUUGCAUAAUAAAAUAAUAAAAAAUUUGGAGUGACUCUUCUCCUUUUUAAUAUCAAGAAAAAAAAUCAAAGUAUUAAUUUUUUUCUUCUUGACAAUCUUAUUAAUAUUGAAAAAAAAUAGAAAGAUGGAGAGGGAGAGGGGGGGAGAGAGAACUCAAUUCUUUUUUUUAAAAAUUACAAAUAAGAAAGAAUUAAAUACUUUUAUUAUUUUAAAAUUAUUUCAAUUUUUUGUUUACCACCAAAUUUUAAUUCUGAUCCCGACAACCUUAAAGUAAUACGAUAAUGUUAGACUUUUCUUUAUUUUAACUUUUUGCAAAAUCUAAUUUUUUGUCUCCUUCUUUCCUGUCUCUUUUUCUUUUCCUAGUAUUAAUAAGUGUGAAAAAAAGAAAUUGAGAAAACUCUUUUAUUUUUAUGUUUUUCGAUCUCUUAAAGUGAAAAAAAAGAAGAAUAACCAUUCUAACUUUUUAUUUUUAAUUAUAUAUAAAAAAGGGUAAAUAUAUUUAAAAUUUUUUGACCAUACUAGUUAGAUUAAUGAUGAGAUAAAAUGCCUAAAAAAUAAUGUUAGGAACUAAAAUGAUUGUAUCAUUAUAAUUCAAACGAAUAAAGUGAUAAUAACAACGUAGUAAUGCUAUAAAUAAUAGGAUAUUUUUGUCCAAAAUUUGUUAACGUGUUGAGUUGAAUUACUUAUAGCGGUAAAGUGAUUAAAAGAUAACGUUAUGGGGUAAACUGAUAGUAGUGAUAUAAUUUAAGGGGGUAAACUGAUAAUAACCCUUAAAAAAAAGCAUAAGAAAUAUUGUACCCACGGGCCACAAGAUAGGGGUGGGCAAAAAUACUUGUUAACUCGAAAACUUACCAUAUCCGAUCCAAUUUGAUCAGAAAAUUAGGAUAUCCGAUUCGUAUUAUUUGAUUGCAUUAAAAGAGUGUAAGGCACCCGAUUAGAUUCCGGGCAGGUUAGGAUCAUAUAAUUGAAAAUCUACAAAUACUUGACUUACCCCGCAUAUAUGUAUUUAUAUAUAUUUUUUAAUUUUUAUACACAUACAAUAAAAUAAUAUUUUUAGAGCUAAAUAAACAAUUUCAUUGAGCAAAUUGUACGCAAAUAUGGGAGAUUAUAGUUUGUUUACAAGAUUCAUUUGUAAAAAUCAUAAUUUUAUGUUUUUCAGAAAAGAAUUUAAUUAAUGUAGAAUAUAUAUCUAAAAAAGGUGCUACUUAUUUCAAAUUUUUAUUGAAUUCUUUUAAUUUUUUUCCUUUUUCUUGUAUGCUCUUUGCAUGUUUGUUUCUUGGUGGGAUAAUUUUUUGAGAAAAAAUCUUUAUUAAAUAUUAGAUGAAUAUGUGAAAUAUAAAAUUAAAUUAGUAUAGAUCAUUUUUUUAAAAAAAUUAAAUGAUAAGUGGGAUGAGACGGGUAUCCGUUGAUCUGAUCCUAUCUAAUUAGGUACUGUGACGACCCCACCUCCCCCUAAGGCGUACCAAAGGGUUCGGCGGACCGCCUGCCCAGCUCUCGCCAGGACUCACUCACUAUCUUAAUCGAGUCACGUACACACAUCCAUGAACCAUAAAUAACAUUCCCAAUUCAAGCUUAUAAUUUACAUUAAUAGAAAUCGAGGUACAAAGUCUCAACACACCCAACUAGUUCAAUACGUAUACAAUCCAAGUACAACAUGUUCCAUUCGAGGAAUAGCGCGAGUACAAGACCAAAAAGUCAAAAGUCAAAACAAAAGGCUACGCUAGUCUUUUACAAGUCUCACGCGUCACUCGUACCCCUGAAAGGAAAACAAAUGGAGUGGAAUGAGCUAAAAGCCCAGUGAGGUUCCAAAUAGCAAAUUGACCAUUAUUUAGAAGUACAAGUUUUCGGUAUAGCAAAGUAACAAGCAUGAAGAGUUCAUAAAGGUGAGCAAUAACACGUCAAGUAGCAAUCUUAAAAUGAACGAAUGUAGAAAAUUUUUCAAAAGAAACAAUAAUCCAAUAAACAAUAAUUACUCCAAAGUAUAAGGAUACGGAUGACUCUCAGGAGCCAAAUUCCCAUUACAUUACCAGAAGCUUGAUCCCGUAGUAGUUGACACUCCGUCAACUUUCAAGUAAGUAACCAAUCCAGUAGAACACCACUUAAACGACUCUCCGUCCACCGUUCAACCCCCAGCUGGGCCCAAAAUCCUCAAGAACAUGGGUGGUAAAUUUAUUUUUGGUCAAUGCAAAUCUAUAGAGAUUAUUUCAUUGGCAUUCUUUUUUUUUUUUUUCCCUUUCCCGGAAAAGCAUUGGCCUUGUCUUCAGACAUUGCCUUUAACUUUUGUAACUCGUGAUGUACGAAACUCUGAGAUAUUCAAGAUUCAAUUGAAUUCUAAUAAUUUACCUAAUUGUUAUCCACCAAAUUGUUAUUAUCAAGGGUGUUUAAUUAAUGCGGAUCUUGGUCCAACUAAUUUGGAAGGCUAGACCUUAAACAAGACAAUAAGGCAAAAGAUGAGAUUGGCCCUAGUGGGAUUUGGGAUGCCCUCUGAACUCAAUAAAAUAAACUCUGAUUUUGGUUUUCUUGUUUUUGUUUCAAUUUUCUCUUAUCUAUACUAUAUUUUAUCUAUAUCUGUACUACAUUAAAAGCAUCAAUAUGAUUUGGUGACUUAGUUUUCACUUUUCAAUAAUAUCAUUGCCUAAGAUUAAUUGUAAUUGUUCUAUGGUUGCAAAUUAUAAUGCCAUUCUAAUAUUUUUGAGGGUAUUUGUUUAUCUUAGAGUAAAUUUGGAAUUAUAGUUAGAUUCGAAAUAAAAUUACCUUUAUGUCAAUUUGUUAAGAAAAGGACAUUGCUUUGGAAAUACUACUGAAUUUGGAAUUGUAAUCAAGUAAGGCCAAUGCUACUUGGAAUUGGAAUUGGAAUGUUAUUCAGAUUGAGACUAAUUGAAUAGUGGUUUCAUUAGGUUAUGUCUUUCACCAAAACGCCACUUUAAACCUCAAUGUUAUACUCAUAUUACAAACCCCAAGUAAGUGGAAAUUGUCCCUAUUCCACUUUUCUAUUUUCUUCUUUUUCUCCCAAAGAAAUUCGGAAAGGUUUGCAUCAUGGAAAAGUUAAAAAUAUUCUCUUUAGUUAAGGUCUAUUAUGCACUAACGGAUGAUCCAUUGCGAUGUUUCCGAAAUUAUUUUACUUCAAGCAAAUAGUAAAUGUGGUACCUAAAAAAACAGUAAAUGUGGUUUUCCAUUUAAUGUUGAUAUAAAGUUUUACAAGAAAAGAGUUUCUAAUUUUUUUUAGGAAUAAAAUCUUGAAUUGGAAGGAAAUAGUUUUGGAAUUGGAAAAGUUGAAAAAUUCUCUUUAGCUGAGAUCCAUUAGGUGCCAAUUUAUGUUUUGUAGUGAUCUUUCUUGCAAUUAUUUCACUUCAAGCAAACAGUUAAAUGCGGUUUGUAGGUAGUACAGUAUAGUGACAUAAAUUUUUCAGCACAAAUUUAGCUUUUUUAAUUUGUUUUUUGAGGAACAAAAUCUUGAAUUGGAAGGGAUUUGUUGUAUAGGGUGCUAUGUCCAUCGAAAUUGAACAUUGUCUUGUGAUGGCCCAAAAAUUAAAUAGAUAUUAAAGGAAUAUUUAUAACAGGGAGACUUUUUAUUUUGAACUAACUUAGACUUUCAAAGAAAAUUGUUUUUGUUAACUUCGUGAUCUAAGGACAUAUUUGGAUUGGAGUUUUCUAAAAACAAAUUUUUACUUCUCCAUGAAUAUAUUCUCAAUUACCUUUUUAUCUUACAUACAUCAAAUCGUUAUACAUAAUAUAUUUUUCUACAAAAACUCCAGAAAAUAACAAUCCAUACGGAAUUGUUAGAGAAUGAAAAUUGUUAAGAAAAAAAUCUAACCAAAAUACAUUAAUUAAAAAAUUAUACAAAAUAUCUGAAACAAAAGUUACAUAAUUUUCACUCACAAAUGCAUUAGGUGAGAAUAUGUAAAAGACUUUAUUCUUCCAUAUUUAUAGUAAAACCUGUAUUGCUUAGUACGUAUACCAUAAGAGUUGGGAUUAAGGGCAAGAACAAUAAUAAUCUAAGGAGUUGAAACAUAAGUUUGGAUACUAGAAACAUGAAUGAUUUGGAAAACAUCACGCCUGCAAAUAAGAAGAAUGAAAUAUGUACAUUCCUAUUUUGUUAUACAUAUAUCCAGCUUCAUAAGUGAAUGUGCACAUUCAAUAUGCUAAUGCGCAAAUUAAAGUUAGAUAACACUUUUUGUGACACAUUGUAUAGAAUAAUUAGUUAGGUGGUUUAAUGCACAAAAAUGAUACAAAUGAAAUACUUACUUCUUCUUUUUUUUCUUUAUAUUGAAUUGAUAGGAAAUGGUUUUCCUUCUUCACAGGAAUUAGAGUGGAAUUAUUAACAAAAAGUAGGAUAUGAUUCUCACAUGCUACAUUUUGACAGCCAUUUAUAAAAAAAAACCAUACUUUGGGCUUUAUGCACAAGAAAAGAUCUAUUUUCCAAUACAUAUACGUACAUAAAAAGUAAAGUAAUUACAUCGAAAUAGGAGGAAAAGAAACUAAUAUAACUCUUCAAUUUGUAUCUUAGUUUCUUUGAACUUUGUUAUCAAAUUAUCCAUAGAGGUCAAAACCAAGUGUGAUUUCUCAUAGAAUGUUGUCAGACAUGGCUGAUGAUCUUGGAACAAAAUAUUUAAAUAACAUCAUUAGGUAUCAAAUUUAGGAAUCAAAUACUAAUUAAGUUUUUAAAUGGACUACUAGAUUCUUCUGUUAAACAAUUAGAGGCAUACUUGGUAUCCAAUUAGGAUCCAGUUCCUCCAUGGUGAUCCAACCAUUAGAAUCGUCUUCAACUGGUAAAACAUUGAAAAAGAAGGGUCAUGCACAAUAUCUCCAAGGGCUGCAUCAAUAAUAGCUCCACAGCUGCCGGCAAUAUCUGGCUCCUCAUUGUUCAUGUUUGAUGCUGUAGGUGGAGUACUGGUACUUAGUACCAUACUAGUACUCCAAUCAGAGCAAUCGUUAGCACUAGAGUCUGAUAUCAUCAAUUCCUGGACGUCAGGCGAAUCAGUAGGGUUAGUUCUCAAAUUCUUAGUGCUUCCAAAUUGAUCAAUGUCCGAUUUUCUCUUUGCUGAUUUAGUCAACCCCUGAUCAUUGGAUUCGACAAUGCCAUAUCUUGAUCUUGAUACUAGUUUUCUUCCUUUAGAGCUUUUGGAGUCAUCUCUCUUUAUCCGACAAAGUACUAAAGAAGUAUCUAAUUCGUUGUUUAGCCUUUCCAAACAAUCACCAUCAAUAUAGUACUCGUACAUAGUCCAUUGGCCCUGAGUCUCCUCUUUUGACUUAAACGUAAACGUCCUCUUCUUGCCAAUUAGCUCCCCAGUGCCCGCCUUCUUGAUAGGUUCUGCGGCUGUAUUGCCAUGCACGCCAUUGCCCACAACCAGCUGUCCUGUUCUUAUUCUUGUCUCCCUUCUUCUUACCAGUGCUGGAUAGCCCCGUAAACAUGUAAAGUACUUUCUGAUCACGAAAGACUUUGCACAAAGGAUCCACUACUGUCUGCCAAUGAUCAUUGUUGCAGAAUAGAUCCCAUGGCGUCCCUUUCUCACCGUAGAUAUUUCUUUCGAUCAUGACCCUUUUCCAUUCCAAACGCAAUAGCUGAUUCUUUACCAUAUCCUUGAGGUAGUACGUGAUCAACUCUUCAUCGGUAGGACAGAACCGAAUUCCUAACCCGAAACUGGCCAUCCUAUUGCUUUCUUAAUGUUUCUCGGAAUCGAAAGUUAUGAAAUUGGAGGCAUGGCGCAAUGUAUAUAUAGAGGAGUUGGGAGGGGCGUAAAAGUUUAGAAGUUGCCUAACAUUGGUUAUCCUACUAGAUUUGGAAUUUGCUUUCACUCAAAUUCCUAAACAUCGUCGCGCCUUGCAUAACCAAUUGACUUUAUUAUUAUUACUACUAGACAUAGUAUUUAAAAAAAAAAAAAAAGAAGAUCCAAUCACUUAAGAAUUCCACAUGCCCUUGAAAUCUAUUGUAGAAUUUAAAAUAAAAUUAUUUCAGGUGAAAAAAAUCAUAAAACAAUUACAUAAAAUGUAAUUUUAACAAAAAAAUUUUAUUUAAAUAUUUAAAAUUUCACAACAUGAGAGAUAUCUUACAACAUUUGCAUUUUAUCUCCAUUUAUUAAUGUUCAUAAUUUGAGAAGGAACAGUUUUAACAAUAGAAAAGUUUUCAAAUUUAGUUGGUGUAAUAUUUUUUAAUAGAAGUGAAAUAUUUUGGAAACCUAGUUCUUGAUUUUUCCCAAAAAAAAAGUAUUGCAAGACAUGGGUGAUAUGAAAAGCUUGGGCAGGGAGAAAAAAGAAUAGAGAAAAAUGGAGAUAAGUGUAUACUUAUUGAAAAUUUUGACAUGUUUUAAUGUAAAGGCUGAUGUGGCUUAACAGAGGGAGUAAAAUGCAACAAAAAUAACGUUAAAAAGAAAAGUACAAAUAAUAUCAAGCUUUAGCCGUUAGAGAGGGCUGGAAAAUUUUAAGGGUUGCCUAAGCUGGUGUUAUCCUACUAAACUUCGAAUUUGCUCACCGAUUUGCCUAAUAUUGGUUGACUUUUAUUUUUAUUUAUUUUGUUGGUAAAAUGUUAUUCAUUCUGGACUAAUGGUCUAUAUUUUCAGACUCGAACCGGGCAUCGACUCGGUCGAGCUUAGGGGUCAAGAGUCAAUGGAUUCGACCGGAUUCGAUUGAGGUGGAACCGGAUGACGUCAUAAAUAAAAAUUAUUUAAAAUUUAAAAUAUUGUAUGUAAAAUACUUAAGAACAUGUUAAUAUUAAUAAAUGUAUAUUCAUAUAUAUUUGAUAUUUCAAAUAUAUUUAACAAGAAAAUACAAAGAAAUUAGAAUGAUCAAGUAGCAAUUUAUAUUAUUCAAUGAACAUUAACAAGUUUAGAAUUAAAAUUAUAAAUUUGAUUAAAAAAUAACACCAAACUUUAGGAUAAUAUUUAUAAAAUAUGAAAUAUUUGAGAUAUAUUAAUAAUUUUUAACAACCUAGGGGCCGAUACAUAAUAUUGAAAAUGCUUUGUCCUUUCAAAAAAAAAAAUUGGGCGGCAAGGCUAAGGCUGAAGUCUCAGCUGCGCAUGCCAUGUCAGGUAUAUACUUCAAUUAAGAAUGCUGCCAUUAUAUCUUUCCAUCGGGCCCACUAGGAUUCCUACAGCUGGUACUUGCAAGCCGGCCUUGAUUGAAAUGCGAAAUUUCCUCUUAGUGGACUGGAAGCUUUGAUAUCAAACCGGUUCAUCCGGUUUAUCGGUCAAACCCGGUCAAAUUCGAUUUUGACCCGGUUUGACCAAGUUUUAUUCAAUAGUAACUCGGACCGGACACUUGAUCGGUUUUUUGUCCGAUCGGUCAGACCGGUCAAUCCGAUCCGAGUUUGAAAACAUAGCUAAUGGUUAGGGAUGGCAGUGGGGGCGGGGGACACCUCCCCCAACCCCUGCCCCAUUGCAUUUUAAUUCCCCUCGCCCCCGCCCCGCCCCACUUCCCCCGCGGGAGCACCCGUGGGGUUAAAAAAAAUUUAUUAUAUAAUUUUAUUAUAAUUAAAUUUGAGCAAAUAAUCAAGUACUAAAAUAUCAACACAUCACCAAAUUAUUAUUCAUUGUAACUUCACAAUUGAAACUCAUAAAAAUAAUUAAACAAAGGUUAUUUGAAUACAAUCUAAUAUAAUAAAACAAAUAUAACUAAAAUAAUCAAGUUUUCACUUUUGAUACAAAUACUAUCACUAAAUUAUUAUUGUGUUUUUUUUAGAAAAAAGUGUUAUUGUAUUAAGUGUAAUUAGGAAUUUAACAUAAAUAUAUUAAUAAAUUUAGUAUAAAUAAUUAAUAAUUUUAUUAAUAGACAUGUAUAAUUAGUAGUAUAAUUGACGAUAUCAUUAUAUACAUAUAAUUACGUACAUAUAUAUAUAUAUAUAUAUAUAUUUUUUUUUUUCAAACGGGUGGCGUGGCGAGGGGUGGGGCGGAGGAGUAUACCCCCGAACCCGUCCCGUUUCUAAAUGGGGAGAAAAAAUUCCCCCCGCCCCCGCCCCCGCCCCAAUGACCCCCCGCGUGGGCACCCGCCCCCGUCGCCAUCUCUACUAAUGGUACAAACAAGACAGGAGAAAAUAAAUUGUUCACAACAAAAAUUUAGAAAUUUCGGAAUCAACCAAGUGUUAUAUCUUGCAAAUAUCUAAACUAAGAAGGACUAAUUUUUUACUUUUUUUUCUUUUGCAAAUCAGUAAGCAGUUAAAGAUAUAUUUCAGGUGUCAUAUUUUUUAAAUGUAAGAUUAAUUAGAGAAAGUAAAUAAAUACAGGGAGGGUAGGUAAGAUUAAAUAGGAAAAGUAUGUAAAUGUAAGAAAGAGUAAUAAUUAUUAAUAUGUGUAUAUACAUGGCAGAUUAAGGGAUUAUUAAGUGCGAUGACGAGUACCCUAUGGGUAUUCAUUAGAAAAACCCUAGAACAAUUAGUGGGGAAAUGUAUCGCCAUAUCUUUAAUCUUUUUUUUUUUUCAAAAGGUCAUACCAUAUCUUUAAUCUUGCGGGGACCAAACUAACAUUAAGUCAAAUCUUUCGUAGGCAAAUUAGAAAUCUAAGUUAUCCUACUUGAAUUUCCAUUUAAGGGGUCAUUCAAAUCAAAAUUGAUAAUCCCAGAGACUUAAGGGCACCUUAAUGUUCAAGGACUGAAUAAGAAGAUGAAUAAAAUCAUGAGGAACUGUUAGAGUCAAUUUAACGUCUUUUUUUUUUCUUUUUCCUUUUAAGGGAAGACGAUGAUAACUUUUGCAAUUACAUUGUUUGAUAUAUUAUUUUCUGUUCAUUAAGUUCAUGCUUGCGUUAGUUAUGAGCAAAACUUGACCGUCAAAUCUAAGAAUCAUAACUUCAUAAGGGCUCAAUUAUUAUUAUUAUUUUUUAAUGUUCAUGUGAGGCUCCAAAACUUUAUAAGGAAAAUAAGAAAAGGAAAGGUUCAAUCCUUAUUUCAACCAACCUCUAAAAUCCCUACAAAUUCAAGAAUUAUUUUGAGAAAUUUAAACAAACAAAGACGUUUGAUUUCUUCUGACUAGCGACUAAAUUAAACAUAGUUUUAAUGGAUGCCCUUAGGGCACUCAUUAGCACAUUUAAUAUUCAUCUAACCUACCAUAUAUAUACACAUACUAAUAAUUAUUAUUAUCUUUUGUAUUUAUAUACUUUUCUUAUAUAAUCUUAUCUACCAUCCCUUGUAUUUAUUUACUUCCUCUAGUUAAUCUUAUAUGUCCAAAAAUGUACCACCUAAUGUGAUCAUCUAGUUUUUAGGAGAAAAUCAAAGAUCAAGUACAAGGUAAAACUUAAAAGGUGUGAAAGAAAAAAAAAUAAAAAACAAAUAUAUGUUAGUUUACACGAAUAGAUUUCCAAUUUAGAUCCAUGAUACAUUAAUAAAUUUUGAAUUUGAAUUCUAAAUUAUGCACAUAUGGUAUGUAUCUAGAUCAAUUAGUGUAUAUAUAUGUUAUUGUAGAAAUAUUUCAUCAAAUUUUAUUCAUAACCAUUUUUCACAAUAAGGUUUUGUAAAAUUGACGACAAACGACAAUGUGCCCUAUAUGGUUGUUAACCUACCUUCGUGUGAUAUAUAGUAAGAAAAAAAAUGGAAUUAAUUGUAUAAUAAUUUCUUUGGUUAGAGGGGACUUCAAACCUUACGAAGGAAAAAAAAAACUAACAAAGGAAAAGUUAAAAUGGGACAGUUAGAGAGUUAACCCAUAGAUGCUAUGUCAUAUAUAAUUACUAAUUUACAUUAACCAUUAUCAGGAAGGGUUACGGCUGCUAGAAAAGGAAAAUCUUUAUUAAUAAGAAACACCCGAAGUUUAUUUGUUACUACUUCAUCACGCACGGUGUCACGAGGUGUUUAACUCACCCUUAAACCAACCCACGUGAUGGCACUGGUAGUCGCUACCAGUCAGCCUGCGAACUCACUUUGCCCUCAAGUAUUUCGAACCUAGAACACUUAGGCAAACUCAAUGAACACACGCACAGAUUACAGCCAAAGGCCAACCUUGAUUAACACAACAACGGUUACAAGGACUUUCUACAAAUACUUGGCGUGCAGAACAUCUAAAGGUAAUUCUCACUAUCUGUGAAAUCUCUACCCCUUUAGUCUCUGCCUAGCCCAAUAUUUAUAGGCACAUUACGGUUGACAAAAGACCCAACCGUUGGUCUUAACGAAACGUCCAUGAAACUAGGAAUCGGCUAGGAACAAGGCUGAGUUGCUGGUAACCGCCAGCAACUCCCAGCAACCGCUCACAACGGUUGGCAACUGCCCAGCGUCUUUGGCGCGCACCAGCAACCGCCCAGCAGUUCCGCGCGCACGCCCCGUUUCCCGUCCUCGCAACGUUUCGUGCCCAGCUUGCCCCAACACUUAGCAACCUUAGGCACCGUGGUCCCAAGCCAUUGGAACCAUCCGAACAUCCCACCGAGCCAUAGUCAACCCGUGGCCUUGGCCCCUAGCCCUUGGCCAUGACUUGGCUUAGUUACAGUUAUCCCCUCCAUAUAGGUGUCUUAAGGGAAAACUUCCAACCGUUAGUAGAGGCACCCCUCUGUCCCCAACUAACCCAGAGGCAUCUGAUGCCCCUGGAACUUUCCCCAGCCCAUACUUAGGCUAGGAAAAUAUCAUCAAACAUGGGUCCACCCGUUUCUCACAAGCUUCACCUUCGGCCUUCCACCUAGGCCAUGGCUUGGCCGAACUUGGCCAUGGCUUGGCCGAACUUGGCCACGGCCGCGCGCGUUCCGUUUGGACCGCGCCCUAAGGGGCUAACAGACCACCCCCACUUGAAGAGGUUGACGCCCUUGUCAACCUGGCUUGCCUCCGCACCUUGUUCAGAUACUCAGCAACUUUGUCUUCGAACUGCCACAAGGUCACGUCCCGCUCCCAAGUAGUAUCCAACUCGGUCUCGCCCUUCCAUUGGAUCAGAUAGUCUGUCCGUCUGUUCUUUUUGCUCUGCCCCAUUGUCCUGUGGUCCAGCACAGCUUCCACUUCCUUUUGGAAUUGCUUGCGGAUCACUGGUGGAGCUCGUUUCGCCUGCCUCCGUCCUUCAUCCAUCUCGUCCUGGUUGAAGGGUUUCAAGAAGCUUACAUGGAAGGUCGGGUGGAUCUUUAGUCUAUCGGGCAGCUUCAACCGAUAGGCCACACGACCCACCUUCUUUAUUACCUCAAACGGUCCAUCGUACUUCGGGAUGAGCCCGCGAUGGACGGUUUUGCUGCUCACUUUCUUCCAAAUUUGGGGAGUCAACUUCAGCAUUACUUGAUCUCCCACCUGGAACUCCAAGUCCCGUCUACGUUGGUCCGCAUACUUCUUCAUGCGUUGUUGCGCCACCAGCAAGCUAUCCCUUGCUUCGUCCACCAGUUCCUGCUUGCCACGAGCGAACCGGUGUGCGGCCGGGCAACGACUCCCGCCUUGAAGGGCAACUUCAUGCGGAGUCAGCGGUUGUUGCCCGUUCACCAACUCGAACGGACUCAGUUUCGUUGCGGAUGACUUGUGCAGAUUGUAGCAAAACUGCGCAGCAUCCAGCAACUCCACCCAGUUCUUCUGACUGGCCGUCACGUAAUGCCUUAGGUACUCCUCCAACAAGGCAUUGAUCCUCUCCGUCUGUCCGUCGGUCUGAGGAUGGGUUGCAGUAGAGAACUUAAGUUCGGAUCCCAGCAAUCCGAACAACACGGUCCAGAAUCUCCCCGUGAAUCUGGUAUCCCUGUCACUUAUGAUGUCUUCGGGUAAACCGAAGUACUUCACAACAUUUCUGAAAAACAACUCAGAGGCAACAUCAGCCGGGCACGCCUUCGGCGCACCGAUAAAGAUAGCAUACUUAGAGAAUCGAUCUACGAUUACAAAAACAGAGGCCAUACCAUCGACCUUAGGAAAUCCCGAAAUGAAGUCCAUUGAGACCGAUUGCCACGGUCGAUCAGGGAUCGGCAAGGGCUGCAACAAGCCUGGCUCCUUCUUCCUUUCCACCUUGUCUUGUUGGCACACAAGACAUGUUCUCACGUAUGCUUCAAUAUCUCCCUCCAUCUUUGGCCAGUAGAAGCUCCGCGACAGCAAGGCCCUCAUUCGUUCCACCCCUGGAUGACCAGCCCACGGAAUGUCAUGGGUUUCCCGCAGCAACUGUCGCCUCAGUCCCCCUCCUGCCGGGACAUAAGCUCUACCACCUUUGGCAAAAAGUAAGUCGUCCUCAAGCCAGUAACGACGAACUUUGCCUUCACGAACUUGAGCGAUCAGGGUCUGGUACACUGGAUCGUUCGGGGACUCCGCCUUAAUCCUGUCCCGAAAGUCCGUUUCCACAGUGCUAAGGGCCGCAACGUACUCUUCGGCAUGCUUUCGGCUAAGCGCGUCGGCAACCGCGUUCUCCCUUCCUGGCUUGUGCAGCCAGUCAAAGUCGAACUCGGCUAGAAACUCCUGCCAACGAGCCUGCUUCGGGGUCAGCUUCUUCUGCGUCUUGAAGUACGUGUUAGCCACGUUGUCGGUCACCACCACGAACUUGGUUCCCAACAGGUAGUGCUUCCAGAUCUCUAGGCAAUGCACUACAGCCGUCAUCUCUUUCUCGUGCGUGCUGUACCUCUGCUCGCACUCCUUCAGCUUUCGGCUUUCGAACGCAAUUGGGUGCUUGUCCUGCAUCAGCACUCCACCAAUUGCACGGUCGGAAGCGUCGGUGUGCACUUCGAAGGUCUUUGUGAACUCCGGAAGUUGCAACACAGGUUCAGAGGUGACUGCUUCCUUCAACAUCCUGAAUGCAUCCUCGCAUUCGUAAUCCCACAUCCACGGCCUAUCCUUCUUCAGUAAGUCCGUCAAAGGUGCUACGAUCCUGGAGUAUCCCUGGAUGAAGCGCCUGUAGUAGUUCGCCAGACCAAGGAAGGACCUCAGUUCAGCAACCUUCUGGGGUGCGGGCCAGUCGAGAAUCGCCUCGACCUUCCUGCGAUCCAUCUGGAUCCGGCCAUUGCUCACCACAUGGCCAAGAAAAGUGAUCUGCUCCCUGCCAAACUCACACUUUUCCUUCUUGACAUAGAGCUCGUAUUCCCUCAACUUGCGGAAUACGUCUCUCAAGUGCCCUACAUGCUCUUCUAGGGACUCCGAAUACACAACAAUAUCGUCUAAGUACACUACAACAAACUUGUCAAGGUAGUCAUACAAGACAUCGUUCAUCAGCCUACAAAACGUAGCAGGUGCAUUCGUCAAGCCGAACGGCAUGACAAGAAAUUCGAAAGAACCAUACCUUGUCACCACCGUCGUUUUCUCCUCAUCUCCUGGGGCUAUCCGGACUUGCCAGUAUCCCGACCGCAAGUCAAUCUUGGUGAAGAAUCGGCCCCUUGCCAGCCUAUCGAACAAGUCAAAGGUGUUUGGGAUCGGGUACCUGUUCCUGAUCGUGAUCUUGUUCAAGGCACGAUAAUCCACGCAAAAUCUAAGGGUUCCAUCUGCUUUCUUCUGGAACAGCGCUGGGGCACCGUACGGAGCCUUCGACGGCCUCAGCGCCUGGCCCUCGAGCAAAUCGUUCAGUUGGCGUCGCAGUUCCGCCAACUCCAUCGGGGACAUGCGAUAAGGAGCCUGGGCAGGGGGUUGGGCUCCUGGCACCAACUCGAUCCGGUGCUCCACAGCACGUCUAGGAGGUAGCCGUCUGGGCAACUCUGCAGGCAUCAAGUCUGCAAACUCCUCCAAUACAUGAGCCACGGCAUCGGAUACCUCCUGGUACAUGUCGGGCUUCAUCUCUACCAACGCAGCAAUGUACACCACUUCGCCGCGCCUAAGGCUGGACUCGAUCUGUACAGCCGACACCAUGUUAUUUCGGGGUUGCCCUUCUGUUUCGGCAACCUCACCGCAGCAACAAAGCCUGGGUUCUGGUCGUCGUCCACCAUGACGCCAUCCAAGUGUGGAAUUGGGAUAGAUCCGAUUGGCGACCAUAAAGUCCUUGCCAAGGAUCAAGUCAAAGUCAUCCAUCUGACUGGCCAUGAGGCUGCACCAUCCUUUCCACGGCCCCAAUUCUAAUUCCACCGUUGCCACGCCCAACACUGGCUUGGCUUCAGAGUUGACUGCCUUCAACUUGAAGCCCAAGUCCUUCAACUUCAACCGGAACUGCUUAACCACGCGUUCCGUCACGCAACUGUGCGAUGCUCCCGUAUCCACCAUCGCCAGUAUCCGGUUACCAUUCAACGUAACCUGCACAUACAUCAAACCAUUACAAGUAGAACGACCAUUAGUACCUGUGAUGGCAUUCACGAACUGCAUGGGGUUGACCCGUGCAUCCUGCGACUCGUACUGGUAGCCAUCAUCCUCAGCAACCAAGGCACUAACAUUCUGGUCCUUCUUUUUGUUGGGACAAUUGCGGGCCAAGUGUGGUCCUCCGCAAUUAAAGCAGCCAUCCUUCUUCGGAUUUGGGGCCUGCUUCUCCUUAGAAGAAGUAGCACCACCGGCAUCAUUUGUGGCCACCGCUUGCUUCUUUUUCUUCUUCUUCGCGAACGGUCCACCUUUCUGAUCCUUGCCCUUCUCCUUGCCCUUCUCCUUCUUCUUGUCGUUGGAUCCCGUGGACCUGAAGUCUAUCAACUUCUCGGCGGCAGAGAGUGCUUGAGACACGGUCUGAACAUUCUGUCUCCGCAACUCCGUCUGCGCCCACGGCUGCAGUCCACGGAUGAAGGUGUAGAGUCUGUCUUCCUCAGACAUCUCCUUCACGUCCAACAUCAGGGCCUGGAACUCAGCAACAUACUCGUGAACACUCUUGUUCUGCUUCAAGUUCCACAACGCGUCCCGAACUUUCCACGACACAUUCGUGGGAAGGAAUUGCUUCUUCAAUUCCUCCUUCAGCACAUCCCAAGCAUCGAUCCUGGGCCUGGUGGAAUCUGAUUGCAUCGUUCUCCACCACAACUUUGCAUCCCCACUAAGGUACAUGGAUGCAAUGGACACCUUCUCUACUUCUGGAACGUCAACAGCCUUAAAGUACUGUUCGACAUCCCAUAAGAAGUUUUCCAAAUCCUUCGAACUCCGACUCCCUCGAUAUGGUUUCGGCUCAGGAACUUUUACCUUUCCUCUCGAAGAUUUCUGAACGGUCUGUGUGUUGGAAGAGCCAACCGCCUUCUUCAACACACCGAUCUCCGACUGCAAAGUCGUGAUCUCAGCACGGGACGAAGCCACUUCGUUCCUCAACGAGUCAACAUCCCCAACGGAAGAGACCCUAGCCCGGGUUUCCUCCAUCUGCACGGUCAGGGCGUUGAUCGUCUCUCGGGUCUGCAACAAAACAUCCACGACAUUGAAGCCCUCCGGGACGUCUCCCAGACGCUGCAUCAAGUCCUCGAAGGCGGAUUCCUGGCGUUGCAACCGCUCCUGGACAGUGUUUCCGUGUCCAACCAUCAUUCCCUACAAAACAAACACAACAAAAGCACGGUCUAAAUGGAUCAGAGCCGUGCUCUGAUACCACGCUGUCACGAGGUGUUUAACUCACCCUUAAACCAACCCACGUGAUGGCACUGGUAGUCGCUACCAGUCAGCCUGCGAACUCACUUUGCCCUCAAGUAUUUCGAACCUAGAACACUUAGGCAAACUCAAUGAACACACGCACAGAUUACAGCCAAAGGCCAACCUUGAUUAACACAACAACGGUUACAAGGACUUUCUACAAACACUUGGCGUGCAGAACAUCUAAAGGUAAUUCUCACUAUCUGUGAAAUCUCUACCCCUUUAGUCUCUGCCUAACCCAAUAUUUAUAGGCACAUUACGGUUGACAAAAGACCCAACCGUUGGUCUUAACGAAACGUCCAUGAAACUAGGAAUCGGCUAGGAACAAGGCUGAGUUGCUGGUAACCGCCAGCAACUCCCAGCAACCGCUCACAACGGUUGGCAACUGCCCAACGUCGUUGGCGCGCACCAGCAACCGCCCAGCAGUUCCGCGCGCACGCCCCGUUUCCCGUCCUCGCAACGUUUCGUGCCCAGCUUGCCCCAACACUUAGCAACCUUAGGCACCGUGGUCCCAAGCCAUUGGAACCAUCCGAACAUCCCACCGAGCCAUAGUCAACCCGUGGCCUUGGCCCCUAGCCCUUGGCCAUGACUUGGCUUAGUUACAGUUAUCCCCUCCAUAUAGGUGUCUUAAGGGAAAACUUCCAACCGUUAGUAGAGGCACCCCUCUGUCCCCAACUAACCCAGAGGCAUCUGAUGCCCCUGGAACUUUCCCCAGCCCAUACUUAGGCUAGGAAAACAUCAUCAAACAUGGGUCCACCCGUUUCUCACAAGCUUCACCUUCGGCCUUCCACCUAGGCCAUGGCUUGGCCGAACUUGGCCACGGCCGCGCGCGUUCCGUUUGGACCGCGCCCUAAGGGGCUAACACACGGCCAUAAUUGAAUUCAAUUAUGAACCUUUCUUGUUGAAAUGGAAGGCGUGGGUAAUUGGCUUCACGUCUUCAAUAUCUAGGCAAAUACGUGGUUUUCAAUAUAGGUGGCAAAUUGAAAUCUUUCCUCUCAAAAACUCCUAGUACCGCUUAGAAAUGUUGACGAGAGGAUUUAGUGAUGCAUAGACAAACAAGUAGUUUUCUUUUUCUUUUUCUUUUUCUUUUUUUUCCUUUUUUCCCCUCUUUUUUUCUUUUUCUUUUUUUCCCAGUGAAAGUAACAUUGGAGUAUAAUUUCGAGGUUUUCUGUUCAAGUAUUCAAGAAAAAAGCCACAAAGAGUUCAGCCAAACCUGCCACAUUUUAGAUUAUGUAAAUAAACCAUAUUCAUGAGAUAACAUCAAAAUCUAAUAAGUUUAGGAAAAUACUUAUCGCCAUUACAAUGAAAGCAAGGACAUGCAAGGCCUAGUUCGUUGAGGCAAUAUUAUUCCAGCUGCUUGUUAAUUUAUGACGAAAGGGGGAAAUUUUCUAGUAAAAAGAAUAACAAAACCAUGCUUUUCUACUGAAAGAAAAAAAAUUUUGAAUUUCAAAUGGAAGGCGUGGUUUUCGACUCAUAAUUGUCAUGCCUUUUAACGUUCUCUAGAAAAAGCACGAGUUCAUUCUCACGUAUAGGCAGCAAUCAACUAUUUUGCAAAAGGCAUAUGAAAAAGGGGCCUUUUUUCUUGGAUAAACAAUAGAAAUGCGACCUGAAUAACAGGACGAAGCAUGCAUGCAUUUUGUGCAAUCCCAAAAAAGAAAAAGAAAAGAAAUGCAUUUUUUUUUUUUUUUUUUGUGUCAAACAGCAUAUGGAAUAUAAGGAAGUAGCAAAGACGGUACCUAAGGCAGCAAAAUGAGUAAUAUUUUCCACUUGUUAGCUAGCUUCGUUUUAUCAUUAAACUCCAAAGUUGAUGUGAAAAAGAGGAGGCUGCAUCUAAGUUUAUGUAGAUAAUGGUUUGGCAGCGAUUUCAUAGUUUAGGAGCUUGUAAAACGCAAAUUGAACUUAAGUACUUUUUUGUUUCCAAGCUGGAUACAGAACAGCUGUAUACUAUGAAUCAAUACUGAAAAUCAAAGCUUGUGGAGGUCUUGAUUCAAUUACAACUUCUCCUUAAUUUCCAUUUCUUAAAUCUCAUCCCUUGUCUGCUGAAAUAAAAAACAAAUUUAACUUGAGAUUGCGAAAUAUUGUGAAGGAACAAAGAGCUGUGGAAAAAAAAUGAAAUUUUAUCAAUUAUUCAAAAUGGUUGUGUAAAUUUUCUUCUAAAUGUUUCUUUGUUUCAACUUACAGAUCAUGUUUCUAAGAAUCUGGUCAUCAAAACGAAAAACAAAUGAGAAUUGCACUUGUUGGGUGAAACAAAAUGCUGCCAAAAGAUGAACAAGAAUUUCAAAGAAUGCACUUGUUAGAUGAAACUAGCUAGGUCUCUCAAUAUUCCUCUUGGCCGGUGUACUAAUUUAUCUGUUAAUGCAUGGGUUCUUGAAACCUUCAAUUUAGCAUAUAUCGUGAAUUAAUUCUCACUUUUUAGGUGAUAGUAACUGAAACCCAUAUGCAAUUUUCAUUUCAAUUUCAGAGAAUCAUAAACAUCAAGAAACCAACAACCUCAAAAGAUUCUAAAGGAUAAUAAAGAUUGGAAAAAGACAAAUGAAGAGAAAUCAGCCAUCAAAUGGUAUGAGAAAAAAGAAAGUGACAGGAGGAAAACUUAAGAUAUACGCUCUACCUUUUUACUACCCCACUAUCAUUUUCCUUUGGAAAAGAAUUUCUUUUUCUCACUUUAGAAUUUAAAACGCACAUUUGAAAAACUACAAGGUCCCCUACUUUGUGCCAACUACCUAUGCUUACCUUACUUCUAAUCUAAGCACAAAGUUGGGUGGUUCCCUCAUAAUUCAUUCAACUGACCACUUUCCAUAACACAUCAAUGUUUGCUAUAAUCUGAAGAAACAUCAUUAUCCACACACAACAUAUAUGGCCAACAAACCUUUCUUCCUUCCAACUUUUCUUCUCAUAUGUUGUAAAUCCAUUUCUCCAAAGCCAUGAAUCAUUUCCUCUUAGGAUUCCUAAUAUUUUCCCUCCCACUACAUUUGGUGUUUUCUUCUCAUUGCACAACAGUUACUAACGCCAAAACCUUCGAGAAAUGUAUGGCAUUACCUAGCCAAGAUGCCUCUAUAGCUUGGACGUUUCAUGCACACAAUGCCACUCUUGAUCUUGUCUUUUUUGGAACUUUUAUAUCCCCUUCAGGUUGGGUAGGAUGGGGUAUAAACCCUACUUCGGCCGAGAUGACCGGAACACGUGCCCUUAUCGCAUUUCCGGACCCAAACUCCGGCCAGUUGGUCCUUCUACCCUACAUUAUAGACCCCACCGUGAAACUACAAAAAGAUCCGCUCCUUUCGCGGCCUUUGGAUGUUCAUCUCCUCUCUUCUUCUGCCACCCUAUACGGCGGCCGCAUGGCCACGGUACAUAAUGGUGCAACCAUUCAAAUAUAUGCAACAUUAAAACUUGUACCAAAUAAAACCAAAAUACAUCAUGUUUGGAACCGAGGAUUGUACGUCCAAGGUUACUCUCCAACCAUCCAUCCGACGACUGCUAAUGACCUUUCAUCCACAGCCACCAUUGAUGUUUUAUCCGGCAUUGCAGCCAAAGGAAACAACAACAACAUUUACACACUUAAAAUCAUUCAUGGGGUCAUAAAUGCCAUCUCCUGGGGACUUCUGCUACCGAUUGGUGCCAUCACAGCACGAUAUUUUCGACACAUUCAAGCACUGGGGCCUGCAUGGUUUUAUGCUCAUGCAGGGAUACAACUUUUUGCAAUUUUCAUAGGAACUGUUGGAUUUGCCAUUGGUAUUAGGCUUGGGGAACUGUCUCCAGGGAGAGUUUUUGGGCUGCAUCGCAAACUUGGGUUCGCGAUAUUUUGCUUGGGAUGGCUUCAGACUCUUGCUCUGUUGUUUAGGCCUAAAACUACAAAUAAAUUUAGGAAGUAUUGGAAAUCCUAUCACCAUUUUGUAGGAUAUGCCUGUGUGGUUAUAGGGGUGGUUAAUGUUUUUCAAGGAUUUGAUGUCAUGGGUUUAGGUCGAUCUUAUGCUAAGUUGGCCUAUUGUUUAGGCCUCUCUACGUUGAUUGGCGUUUGUAUAGCGUUGGAAGUGAAUUCUUGGGUCAUUUUUUGUAGAAAGGCCAAAGAAGAAAAGUUGAGAAGAGAAGGAUUCAUCAGCGGAUGUUCUGACAAAGCAAGUGGUUCAAGCCGAGGUUAAAUUGAAUCACUACUUUUGGGAGAUUGUACCAUGUGCAUUAGAAGUCAAUACUCUUCGAAAUUGUACAAGUCUCCAUGCACAUGGUACCAGUCAACGUUGUGGUCAACAAAGACUAUAACAUUUGUUGAUCUUAUAUUUGUAAGUCUUCUUCUUUUUUCUUGAAAUCAAAAAGUUGCAAAAGUUUUGUAGAUUUGUUGUGCAAUAUGAGAAAAUUGGUUUUUUGAUGGUAAAAUACCAAAACAAAGUAUUACUUUAUCUUUCCAUGUCUUAGUAGCAUUCUAGCAUAAGCUUAUGUAGGACAUGAUAUUAUUUGUGAAAUCUCUGUCAUUAUCUCUAGCCAAAGCUCUCUCUCAGGUAUGAAAGUCAAAUAAAAUGCAUGUUGAUAGGAUGAGGUUUAAGGCAAAAGCCAGGAUUCCCUGCCUAACUUGUCCAAAUUGAGCUGAGAUUUGUUAAGGAGAUUAAAUGCUUUGGUAAGCAAAACUACUCCAACAAUAUGUCAGGCUUCGGUAUGUACUUCUCAGUAUGUUCAGGAGCUAUAAUUAGUGAUUUCCAAAGUACCUAACUUUCUGUAACUUUUCCUAAUUGAGAGAUUUUCAAAUUGAGAAAAAACUACUCCAACAAUUUGUCAGGCUUCGGUAUAUACUUCUCAGUAUGUUCAGGAGCUAUAUUUAGUGAUUUCCAAAGAACCUAACUUUCUGUAACUUUUCCUAAUUGAGAGAUUUUCAAAUUGAGAAAAUAUGAAUGUCAGAGCCCGAUCUGCAGGAUCAAUAAAAGAUAAUCUAGUGCAGAGCAGAGUUGGGGAAAGCCAAAGGUUUUUUCAUUUCCCUGUUGGUAAAAUACAAUUGAACCAGUGUUUUGGUUCAUUAUCUUAAGCAAUAGCCCUAAAACCAUCAGUGCAGCUGAUCAAUGCAAGAAAUUUUACUCAACUCUGCAUAGAAUGUACUAUACCGUCCAGAACCCUCAUCUUGUCUCCCUCUUGACAAAAGAAUUUUUUUUUCUCUCUUUUAUGUACAGUUGCGUGGAAAAGAUUACAUGCAGAAAAAGUAAAUCUUGAUUUAGACAUUGUGGACUGAGAUUCACCAGGCUUGAUAUAGAAACGGUGUAGUAGUCAUGCUCAGAAAGUAGUAAAUCACCAGCUCAGAAAGCAGUCAAUUUGUAAUAGCAAUUGCUUCCGCUAAGAAGAAUCUGAUAGCCUUUGCCACUCCCCAUUUCUGUCCACCCACACUGCUUCCUCGAAAGGUCUUUCUUCACUUUCAGUUAUCGCUUCACUCACUUCAGACUCAUCCUGUGCGAUCAAGUUAAAGAUUCAGAAGUGGCACUUAAACUGCUCAAGUGGUGAACUAAAUUUGAAUUAACUCCUAAGCAAAGACUUUUCCAGAAAGAACCACAACAGAGAAAAUAACACCAAAAAAGGCCAAUAAAUCCAAGUAAGUACCAAAACAUCAUGUUACAAUGAAAUCAAGAAAGACAAGGAAAGUCCAGAGAUAUUGAAAAAAAAAUUUAUAAACCCUUCGUUUCACAAUCUAUCAGCAAUGAAUAGAAAAAAGCCCGAAAUACAAAUUCACAAGUAAAAGUUAAAUCAAAGUACUACAAAAGUUUCAAGAAAUAAGGGGGGGGGGGGGAAUUCAAAGGAAAUAUGAUCGUUUUUGAUAUCUUUGGAAGAGUAUCAAUAUCUUCGGAGCCACUAUCUUCUUCACCUUCCUUUAUGACUUCAUUCCACCAUGGUAAGAAGCUGGUGACUGCAUGGCUUUCCUUGCCGCUGGAGGCCGUGGUCCACCACCGGGUAAGAAGCUGGAGUAGGAUCAGAUACUGAACGGUAGAGACAGACUGAGAUGGCGAAGUAGCUACAGAAUUGACCGCAUAACUCUCCGGCAACAGGCUAUUCAGGAAAUUGCCCAAUGAUUUUGGAGCUUGAUCAGAGAGGCUGCUUGCUCCAGGAGAGUUGAUUGGAUCAGAAAUAGUCCGGCCAAGAGCAGGGGGCGACGAUGAUGAUAACGCAUUGGCCGGAAGUGGAAGUUUACUGAAGCCAAGAAUGCGGUGGUCUCCGGGAAAAGUAGUGGUGGCGUAAGAUGGAGGUAAAAGAGUGGGCCGUUUUGAAGAGCGUUCUUGGAGGGAAGAUAAAGAUGAAGGGGAUUGUCUCUUGGUUGAGCGGCAUUUGUUGCAGGGGUUCAUGGAGGAGGAGCAGAAAAUUGGGCUGCCGUGGUGGUGGAAUGGUGGUUGCCGGGGUUGAGGGUAGUGGUGCAGUUGAGGUGAAGCAUGGCUAGGAGAUUGAGAACUAUGGCUUCGAUUGCAGUGAUUUCUUGGUGAUGGGAGAAUUCUGGGGAGAAAUCAGAAUCUUGAUCGCUCAUUAAUUUCUUCUGUUGAGCUCUGUUUCUCUUUUUAAAAACUGUCAACCGUUUCUUGAAAGACUUGGCGCGGUAUUAAGCAGAGAGGCAAAUUGGAAAUAACUGCUUCACUUGUUUUAUAAACUUCUUUGAUGAUUUGCAAGAAUGUCUUCUAAUCCCUCUUAUGAUUAAACUAAAAAACAGGCUGCAAAUAUUCUUUAUCUAGACUGAGUGGGGAGUGGGGAAUAUCAAAGUGCUUAUUUUUUAUCAUUAUCAAAAAUAAACAAACUUGAAAUCUAAAAGGACAGUGCUACACGUUAUUUUGUCUACUUACCAACCACUGCUUUUAAAAUCAAACUAAAUUACCUUUUUCUGAUUUCAAAUUACACCGAUCAGAUGCAGUUGGACCAGUGAACCAUUGAGCAUUGAGUUUGCUCAAUGGCGACCAAAAAGGGACUUGGGCUCUCAAUGGCGAUCAAAAAGGGUUUUGGGCUAUAGAUUGGGAGUUCGAAUCUUACCUACAGUAAAAAAAAUUUAAAGAGCAUCCCUUUAGUUUAGUCGGAUCUGUAUACCUACUAGUCCUUACACAGUCUCUUUCGGCUUGGCGGUUGACGUGGACAUGAGGUUGAGAUGGACGGUUGUGAAGAUGAAGAAUUCUUUUUCUUUACUUUCCCCACAUCAACUUUUUAAAAAAAAAUAUUGGUUAUUUCUUUACUUUCCCCACAUCAACUCUUUAACAAAAAAAUAUGGGUAAAUUACAUUUUACCCCCUUUGGUGUAGUGUUUUUGUACAUAACCCUCUUAUAGUUUCAAAAGCUAUACAUAACCCUCUCAUGGUUUGGAUUAAAGUGUCAAAGUGGCGAAAAUAAUCAUUCGUAACGGAAUCUUUGAAAAUGUCAAAAUUACCCUUGUUUAAAAAUUAAAAUGGAUCAAUCGACCAAAAUAUAUAAACAUAAUAUACAUGACGCACUAAUCUCGUAUGAUUUUAUGUUUUAUCAUAUAACCCCUUUAUGGUUUAAUACUUUACCAUAUAACCCCCUUAUAGUGUUCAAAAUAUACACAACUUUCCUGUGGUUAAUAAAUAAUUUUCAACUUUAAAUAAGGGUAUUUUUGACAUUUUAGAUGACUCCAUUAUGGAUUGCAAAUUCCGUUAUUUUGACACUUUAAUCUAAACCACGAGAUAAUUAUGUAUAGCUUUUGAAACUAUAGGAGGGUUAUGUACAAAAAACACUAAACUACAAGGGGAUAAAGUGUAAUUUACCCAAAAAAUAUUGGUUAGCUUGUUGUGAUUGUUAUGGAUCUCAGGGGGCAUUUCAUACUAUCCCAUGCAAUUACUGUAAUUCUACUAUUUCAUCAUAUAUUUUGUCCCAUAUCAUUAUAAGGACGUAGAAAUCCUAAACUUUCUCGAGAUUUUUGGAGUCUAAUGGAAGUUGAAAUUUUGGCAAAUUUUGAUUACCUACUUUUGUUCUUGUAAUUCGACACCAAUUCUAAAAUCGUGCAAAAUUUUAGUCAAAUUGGUGAGGACUAUUAUAACUUCUGCUAUUAUUUUCCCCAAAAAAAACGUAUUAUGAUACUAAUUGAAGAUACGAAUACAAGUUAGACAUAUAUUGGGUUGCUACUUCUGUAUUUCUUAAAUAGUAAGAUGCUAUUUGAUCUAAUCCUAAUGGAGAUGGGCUUGAAUAGUAAGAUGUUAUUUGAUCUAAUCCUAAUAGAGAUAGCAACCCACAAGCUAGACAUAUAUUGGGUUCUUACUUCUGUAUUUCUUGAAUACUAAGAUGCUAUUAUUGCUAUUAGGGAAAUACAAAGAUGCUAUUAGGGCUAUUAGGUAUUAGGUUUAUAUAUAUAUAUAUAGUCAUAGUCAUGUAGCUUGACGCACAUCAAACCCUAAACUUUGGGUUUUUUCUCAUGGCGCCUACUAGAGGUCUACGACAUGAUGAUGGCAGUUUCGAACUGCCAGAACCAAUUAGGCAUCACAUACUUUCUUUCCUGAAACCCAAAGAAUCAGCAAAACUAAGUUUGCUGUCCAAGGCAUGGCUGACCACUUGGCGCACACGCCCCAAUUUGCACUUCGAGUAUGAUGAAGAUGAAUCGGGUUCUGAUGAUAGGCAAGCUCUUGAAAGAAGACGUGAUAGUUUCAUAAAUUGCAUCAACACCACCUUGAUGAGGUACCGUGAGAAUAAGUAUGGUAUUGAUUCUUUGAAGCUUAUGGUUUAUAAUGAAGAUUUUCCCUCGCUGAAGCCUGAUCAUGUUAAAACAUGGCUCGGGAUUGCAGCAGAAAACGGUGUGAAAGGCCUGGAGAUUUCUUUAAAAUGUGACUCUUAUCAUCCUAAAUUGGCUCGGACAAUUUUUGAAGCAACAUCACUCCUGGAGUUAUAUCUUAGUGAAAAAAUCUAUAUGAAGCACAAAGUGAUUAAGAUAAUAAGGUGCCAUGAUCUCCGAAAAUUGUGUCUUAACAAGGUGGGCUUAGACGAAGUGAUGCUGCAGAGAAUAAUGUCGAGCUGCCCUUCAAUUGAAUUCUUGGAAAUUAUUCAAUGUUUAGGCAUUGAGAAUAUUGAGGUGACCAAGCUUCAAAAACUAAAGCAAUGUAGUAUUGUCUUAUGGAAAAUUGGUAAUGUUGAAGUUGAAGCACCAAAUCUUGAAGACUUCUCUUACGGGACUUGUGUGCCAGCUAUGUCAGCUAGCUAUCUACUUAGUGAAGAGGAAGAACAGUCAUUGCCAUGUCUUCAGAUGUCCAGAUGUAAAAAUCUAAGGAAGUUGUCCUUGGAUAACAUUGGCAUCGCUGAUGAGUUUUUCUCAGGCAUUGCAGAAGAUUUUCAGCACCUUGAAGAGUUGAAAAUCCGAUACUGCUAUGGUUUGCAAACUGUGAGGAUUUCGAGCCAGUCUAUUAAACUCAUAAAUUUGGAGUUUCGGAAGGAAGGAGGAUUGAAAGAGGCCCAAAUUGAUGUUCCAAGCAUUGUUCGCUUUGAGUACAGAGGAAAUUUCAUUCCCCUACUUUCUUUUACACCUCCCUCUGGUCCUUGGGUGUCUUACAUUGAAUUGUCAUGGCAGAACAGGAACAUUUUGGAGACUUCUUGUUUCUCCGAACUGAAGGAACUAUUGAUGAAGCUCAAUCUAUCUGAAAUUUCACUCAGAAUCAUCUUUCCCAAAAAUGUCGAGGGCUUUGUUGAGGAUCAGAUAAGAAACAAAGCCAUAUAUCCCCUGCCUCAAGUUCAAACAUUGUCUAUAAGCUUCGACAAGGCAAAUUGUCUAGAUGUUGCAUAUUCAGUACUUGACGGUAUCUUCUGGACGUGUCGUCCUAAAACCAUUGUUCAACAUAGCUGCCAAGAUCUGGACUCAGACAAAGAUGCUAGUGACCUGCUGAACGUAUUCUUUCAGAUGCUUAUGCUCAGAAGAAAUCAUCUGUAUGGCAAUUUUCAGCAAACUAAAUUUUGGCAGGAGGAUCUGAAGGAUGUGAAACUAGGGAUGUUUAAGGAGGGGCAAAGAGUUCAGCUGCCUCGACUUUCAGACUGGGAAGCUUUUUCGAAGGUAAUAACAGCUGAAGGACGCAGUUUGUAUGUUGUCUUUGAGUUAGAAUGGGAAUAUUUCAUGAUUAGGUAGUGCAAAAGAACUUGAUUAUGAGAACUUGGCUUGAAUAACAUAAUAGCUUAGAGAUUCAGCUCUUAGGCACUGAUAUUUCUGUUGUUUAAAACUUGGAAGUAUGAUGAUUUAGUCAACUGAUUAUAUGUUAUGGCAUUUUGUCCAUGUUAAUCAUCAGUAUUGUGGUUGGAUUGAAAAUGCUGGACUUUAUUUGUAGUUCUAUUCUUUUUUCUGGACUGAUGGUCACGAAGAAGGGAAGUAAAGGUAUUCUGGCUGCUUAUAAUGCAUUAUUUCUUGACGUUCUCCAUCCUAUGAACACAGAUCCUAAGAAUCUAACUCGUAUCAGUUGUUUCGUAUACUUCAUUGAUUGAUUUGUCAGAAAUUUUAUGUAGUUCAAACUCUGCCUGUUUGGCAAAUUCGAAACUGAACAGCAGCCCAUGUACAAUGCAAAUUAGGAGGUCAUAGUAAAGUAGAUUUGUGAUGUUCCCAACUAGAGAGGGUAUUACAUCCAGGGGAUAAGAGGUUUCUGACUAUUUCACGGUCACCCUUUAGAUUUUAAAAAUUACACUAAUCACCCUUGAAAUUUAUUGUCUUGUAACAUUUACGUCCAAUAAGUAAUUAAAAAGUAAUAUUAGGAGAGAGAAAAUAGUAUGAUUCUACCAUUGCAAACUGCAAUCAAAACAUUACAAAGAGUGAACUUUAAUAUUAUAAAAAUCUCAGCAAAUAAUCUUAAUAUGCUGACAAAGAUUUUUAUGAUGUUAAAGUUCGCUCUCUAUAAUGUUCCGAUUGCAAAUUUUUUGAUUAUUUGUUAUUGGUCAUGUUUGAUAAUAGGUAUAUAAUUGAAAAGAGUAAUGUAGAUCUUGCAUUAAGUGAAGAAAUAGGGAAUGAUAUACCAUUUUUUUGAUGCUAGAUGUGGUUUGACCCCUAAUAAUAUACAACAAAUCUUAGUAUUUUUCUUUAAUGAGUGUGUUGGUAUUAAAUUAACUAAAUAAUGUAAUAGAUGAGGGGCAAUGAUGGAAUUAUGUUAUCUUUUUUCUCCUAAUAUCACUUUUUAAUUUCUAAUUGGCCCUUAAUAUUACAAGAUAAUUAACCUGAAGGGAAGUCAGUAUAAUUUUCAAAAUCUGAAUGGAGGCUAAUGAAAUAGUCAGAAACGUCAAUGGAGGUUUCUGAAAUUAUCCCUACAUCUAGAGAAAGUAUUCAUGUAUUCAAAUGAAGUGCGACUCUGGAAAUAGCUUGGUUCAAUAGGUCACUGGAGCACAUUUUACAGGAAAUUUGAGUGGAGAAAUCGAAGUGUUGCUGUUAAUACAUCAUUUACGUGGUAAAAUACAAUUGAGAAUGGAAGCUGAGGGCGUCCACCUCAGCCCUUCUAAGUUUCGCGAUUGGGCGAGGUGACCUCCACGAGUCCCGUGCCACCUCGGCUCAUUGCCUCGCCUCCCGGGGUCGGCCCCAGUCUCUUCCGAGGUGAUUUCACCUCAACUUGUCCUCUUAUUUGACAUCUGAUGUACCACUGGGAAAGCUGACUUGUACAUGACGAAAUGACGUUAUAGUGACAUGGCCAGUGUUAUGUCCCUUCCAUCCAUGGUUUAAAGUCACGGUCGCGGGCGUGGUUCGGAACGUUCCACAUCGGUCGCGGUCUCGGUGAGACGCAAAUUUUAAAGUAUUUAAUAUUCUAAAAAUUGUUAAUAAUAUAAAAAAGUAGGCUAAAUAAAAAUAAUUAAAAAAUAGCAAAAGAAAUGGCCAAGUCAAUCCGUCACGGUGUGACUCGGCUGAUUUCUCGUCUUGACUCGGGAUAAUUCGGAGUAACUCGGUGUGACUCGGCCGAAUCAAUCCGUCGUGAUGACGACUCGGCUGAUUUCUCGGCGAGUCAAGUAUUUCGGUAUCGUUUCGUCACAGUAUCGUAUCGGUAGGGGUCGAGACGGUGACGACUCGGCCGAGUCGUCUUGAUCUCAACCGAGACUUCGAACCAUGCUUCCAUCAGGUCUAAGCCUGACACUGUUAGCCUAAGGCCUAUGGGAACUGGAGCCUAUCAUUUUUCCCACUAUAUUGUCUCUUAUAAAUACCCUUCUAUCCGUGGAAAAGGUACAGACACACUCGCUCUCACUCGUAUAAGUACUAGAAAUACUAAAACCGUUGCUUUUUAGUUUUGCAAUUGAGUACCCGAACUGAUUUGAUCAUCAGAGUAGGACCGGGGGACAAAGCCCCGUGCUCUUUGUGCAAAUUUGAUAGGUGAUCCCUUCGAUUAGGUCCAGCCAUCCAGAAUUCACCUCGUCAGAAGCCAACCUGAAGAAACAGCCAGCCCACACACCUGAAUGUGGCUUUGCAUUCACAAUGAAAAUUGACAAAGUUAUCAAGAUCAAUUUCCUAUCUGAAAGAAAUCAUCCAUUGCUGACACUUGACAGAGGGUUGCCGUUUGAGUUUUCUUGCUUUACGUUAUGCAGCUCAAUACUGUUUCACGUUACUGAGUUCAACCGGGUUUUCGUAGUGAUUAACACUUGACUCCUCCUGGGUUUUAGUAGGGAUUACUCAUAUUGAUUGCGCUCCUUGGAAACUGGUUUUUUCUCGCCUGAUCUUUCCUUGGUCAUAAACAUUAAGAAUUUAUUCAGAAACUUAUGAGAUCGUUGGUAAAGAAGUCUGCUAGGAAGGUACUUAGAGGUCUGAAAUGACAUUUACCCAAAAAAAAAGAAAGUGAUCAGGGAUAACAAAAAUCAGUAAUUCAAUUCCUUAACACUAAUGACUAUCCAUAAAUUGGUGUUACAGAUUAAUCCCUUAAUGUUUGUACAUUCUUUUGCUUUUUUUUUUCAUGCUUUGACAUUUGUAUUCAACCUUUAUCUUGCUUAACAAUUGGUUUUUGUAUAUAAAGAAGAUCGUAAUAUAAUGAUUUGAGUGUAGUGACAUUAGAGUAUAAAAUAACUUUGAUAAAAAAAAAUGACAAACUGAAAACCUGAAUAAAUUGAUGAAUUUACAUUCAUAACUUCAAAUUUAAAUAAGUUUUGGAAAUAAUUGGUUAAAGAAAGUGAUAAACAUAUGGCCAUUAGCCGAUCAAGCCUUGACUUAGUAGUUGAAAUUCUAAGAAUUACGAUAUAUAUAUAUAUAUAGAAACACACAUACUGGAGGCAUUGGAGGCAUUGCUUGUAAUAUUAAUAUCGUAAUAUAUUUUGAGAUAAUAUAAUCAGUGCAAAGCAUUGGAGGCAUUGCUAGUUGAUGGAAAUGAAAUUUCGAUGUUAUUUUACACACUGGUUAGUGUACUUGAUGAUUGCUUGGGUUUAAUCACCUUUCCUAUUUGAAGUUAAUUUUCAAAAAACAAAAAAUUCUUAGCACAUGAGACCUCUACUAAGUCGUAAUGACAAAGGAUAACUAAUAGUGUGUAUCAAGUGUAUAUUUACAAGUAAUAUAGAGAACGUCUAUUUAUAGAAUUACAAAGAAUAUUAGAAAAAACACGUAAAAGGAUACUAAAUCCUACUGGUCAAACUUGCCAAUCAACCAGUUAUCUAAGAUUACAACAUUUAGAUAUUAAUUACAAUGAACUGCAUCAACUAUAGAGUCAACUAUAGAGCUUUUAAAUGAAUGAGCAGGCCAUGAACUUAGUUGAACUCAAAUUGUAUAGGCUCGAGUUCGAUUCGUUUAUUUAAUUAAACGAAUCUAGCUCAAACAUUAAAUGAGGCUUGUUUCUAAAAAAGUCGAACAUGGCUCGACUUGCAAAUAGCUCAUUUAAACUCAUCUAAACGCGUUUGUACAUUUAUUCAAGCUAAUAUUGUUAAUUUUUCUCAGUAAUUAUGUAAAUUUAUUUUGUCUUGAUUGUUUAGGAUUUUGUUUUGCUUAAAUAUUGGUAAUAUUCUUAUAUUUGGUGAAAGUUUUCCCGUUCAAUAUAGAAAUUAAAUUGGUUGGAUUUCUUAAAUUGCAAAGUUAUAUAAGAUAUUCAAACACAUUUUAUUUUAUUUUAUUUUAUUUGAACCCAAGCUUAUUCAAGUUUAGCUCGUUUAUGUCAUACGAGUCAAGAUCGAACUCGAAUUCCAAUUCGAGAUAGCUUUGAUAAGUUGAGCACAAACACAAUUUUAGGCUCAUUUAUUAACGAACCGAGCUGCGGCUUGAUAACUUAAUGAGCCAAAAGUUUGGCUUAACUCAACUCGUUUACAACUCUAUUUGAUCACACCCAAAAAUAAAAUUUUUUAACCCUUCCUCGGAAAAAAAAAAUUAAUAGGGCACCAAAUUGAAGAAAUUUCAAGAUUGUAAAGGCGUGGGUAUUGUCAACUUUUGAGCUUUCAAAAUCCAAGCAUCGAGGGUUUUGUCUCCAUGGAGGACACUGGAGUUGUGGGAGAUGAUAGCACAUCCAAACUGCCGGAACCCAUCAGGCAUCACAUUGUUUCUUUCCUCCAACCCAAAGAAGCAGCAAGAACAAGUGUAUUAUCUAAGGCAUGGUCGAGCUCAUGGCGCACCCGCCCCAAUUUGCACUUCGAUUAUGACGAAGUCAGUCCUAUGUUGCGUUAUGCUAAUACGCAAGAUCUCAAGAAACGACGUACUGAUUUCAUUAAUUGCAUCAACACCGCCUUGCAGAGGUACCAUGAGAAUGAGUAUGGCAUUGAUUCUUUGAAGCUAGAGAUUAAUGCUUUCAAGUUUCCCUCUCUUGCCCCUGAUCACGUCAAUGCAUGGCUCCAAAUUGCUGCAGAAACUGGUGUCAAAAGUCUCAACAUUUGUAUAAACGAUUAUUAUUAUUGUUACCCUAUUUUGCCUAAGGCAAUUUUUGAAGCGACAUCACUCGUGGAAUUAUGUCUUAGUGGCCAAUCCGAGUUGGAGCCCGAAGUAAUUAAGAUGAUAAGGUGUCAUAGCCUCCGAAAAUUGUGUCUUGUAGAUGUUAGGUUAGAUGAAAUGAUGCUUGAAAAAAUAAUGUCAAGCUGCCCGUUGAUCGAAGUCUUAGAAAUUUCACUUUGUGUAGGCCUUGCGAAUGUUAAGUUGAGCAAGCUUCAAGAACUUAAAGAAUGUCGUAUUGUCUUGAGGAAUAUUGGUUGUGUUGAAAUUGAAGCACCUGGUCUUAAAGACUUUUAUUGUUGGAAUAGUAUUGUAAGAAGCUAUUUACGGCCAUUGCCUCCUAUUCGUAUGUAUACAUGUAAUAAUCUGAAGAGGUUGUCCUUGAAUGAUAUUGGCAUUAAGGAUGAGUUUUUCUUAGGCAUUGCGGGAAAUUUCCCACACCUUGAGGAGUUGGCGAUCCAGGACUGCUACCAUUUGCAAACCAUCAAGAUUUCAAGCCACUCGAUUAAAAUCAUAAAUUUAGGAUUCGCAGUGGACAGGGGAUUCAAAGAGGCCUGCAUUGAUGUACCAAGCAUCGUUCGAUUCGAGUAUAAAGGAAACUUCAUUCCCUUGUUUUGUUUUACAGCUCCCUCUGGUCCUUGGGUUUCUGACAUUGAAUUAUCGUGGCAUGAUAGGAACAUUUUGGAGACUUCCUUUUUCUCCAAGUUGAAGGAGUUGUUGAAAGAGCUCAAUCGAUCUGAAAUUUCACUCAAACUCAUCUUUUCCCCAAGUUUUGAGGGCUUCAUUGAGGCUGAGACGAGGAACAGUGCCAUACAUCCCCUGCCUCAAGUUCAAGAAUUGUCUAUCAGCUUCAACGCGACAGAUUCUCUAAAUGUUGCACAUUCGAUACUGGAUGGUAUCUUUUGGACUUGUCGUCCUAAAACCAUGGUUCAAUAUUGCUACCAUGAUUUGCACUUCAAUGUAAAUUGCACUAACCGGGCGAAGGUACUCUUUCAGAUGCUAAUGUUCAGAAAAAAUCAGAAGCAUAGCAGUUGGCAGCAGCCAAAGUUUUGGCAGAAGGAUCUUAAGGAUGUCAAGCUUGAGAUGUUUCAAAAGGGCAAAAGAGUUCAGCAGCCUCAACUUUCAGACUGGGAAACUUUCCUGAAGGUAAUAGAAACUGAAAAACGCAGUUAUUAUCUUGUCUUUGAAUUGGAAUGGCAACCAUUUGGCAUGAAUAGGAAGCGCAAAAGAACUCGAUCAUUGGAACUUGGCAAUAACAAAAUAGUGUAGCGGGUCCUUUUGGUAAUAUUAUUCAUUCAGGUAGUUCUGUUUCGGUUAGUCGACUCAUCAUAUGUACUAUAUGGUCAUUAUUGUGAUUGAAUUGAACAUGUUGGAUUUUGUUAUUUCUGCUUUUAUUUUCUUUUGCUUGAUUGGAUUUUGUUAUUUCUGCUUUUGGUAAUAUUAUUCAUUCAGGUAGUUCUGUUUCGGUUAGUCGACUCAUCAUAUGUACUAUAUGGUCAUUAUUGUGAUUGAAUUGAACAUGUUGGAUUUUGUUAUUUCUGCUUUUAUUAUUGUUAGUUCUGUAAUGCAUCAUUUCUUAGCUUUCUCUGUUCUAUAAACACAUCCUGAGGUACUAACCGGCAUCAGUUGUCUGGUAUGCUUCAUUGAUGAUUGACAAGAAAUUUUUAUAUAGUCUAAACUUUAAAAUCAAAACUUAAACAGCAGAUAUUAUAACGCAGACUAGGAGGGUCAUUGUGAAUCAGGUCCUUUCUUCAGACCAUCGGCCAAAAAUGCAGAAUGUCUUCCAAUCAUCACCUGGCUCAGUUAUAACGUUAAAUUCGAAUAUCUGCAGAUUGUAAAAUAAGCAUAUUUUAGAUUUUUCGCAAGUGGACCACCUGAUGAGAGUCUUUCAGUGGCAGCAUACCUUGAAGAACAAAUGAGUAUGGUUCAAAAAAUUUGUUGUUGCUUGAUUCUUGGAAAAGCUUAUCUGAUUUUAGAAGAUCAUAAGUAGAACGGAUGUAUUAAAGUUUUGGGCAGUUGUAGUUAUAAGCCUUUGCCCAAAUCCUGUGUGAAUAUUUAUUAGCAUAACCAGGUAGACGGCAAACAAUCAAAGUUGCAGCACUUUUUCUCUUCCGUCAGUUCAGAUUACAGAUUGUCAAACCUUGUACAAAUUGUCUUUUUCUGUGGGUUGAUCUUGUACUUGUCUCAAAUCAUUCUAAGGGCUAGAAAAUCCUCCUGAACCUGAUUCAGGUGGAAUUUCCAUCCUACGUACUUGAAUUUUAGUCCAUCCUGGUUUGGACUAAAAAAAAUUAGUAUGUUUUCUUUUUUUUACGAGUUAGUAACACUUGAUAAUUAGACCUCGUCUCUUUUGGUUCAGGAAACAUUCUUGAUAGAGUUUUGGAAAAACUAAUGGCAGUUGAAAGUGGCAAAUUUUGGGUAUCUAUUCUUGUAAUUUGCCCCUAUUUUACCAAUUUUAGAAAUACUGGAACACAUCUUGAGAAGAUUACAUGCAGCAAUGGCAAGUCCUUGAACACUUUCUGAACUAGAAAUCCUCUGAUGGCUUCACAGAAUUAGUGGCUUGAUGCUUGUAAGAUAGCGAAUUCCAGGAUUAAAAAGCAGCAGUAAAUUCUUUCCUCUGAGAAGAACUUGAUAGAUUUUGCCACAGGGACACUUGAAAUUCAAAAUGACAAGACACUUCCCAUUUCUGUUCCCCCAUUCACUGCUCCCUCACAAGGUCCUCCUUUACUUUCACUCACCACUUGACUCGCUUCAGAUUCAUCCUGUGUAACUCAAUACUGUUAUGGAAGUUGGGCAAAUAGGGAUUAUAUUAACUAGUUGCCACCAUCUUAAUUCUGUUCUGAGUUGGAUUCAAAAGCUGCUGAUUUUGGUGGCUGUCUAGUGAAUAUUUUAAUAAUGUUUGCCUCAAAUAAUACUUUUAUUUUUGUUUGUUUAAACCCUGUCAAAUAAUCCUUGCAGCACUUUCCUUGAUCAUAAAUUACUUUUGUUUGAUGUACUCUCAAAUACAACUGAUGAAGUCGUUGUUUCUUGUUAACAGAUUACUAGAAUUCUUGUUUUUUCUUUUCUACACCAAAUUAAGGUACACUUCAACUUGGUUGUCCUGACAAGCCAUACAAAUGCAGCCCUCUAAAACCCCCAAACCAAAGUACGUAUAUGACAACUCCUUCCUUGUUUCUGCAGUUUUGCUGCAAUGAAACCUCAUUCACUUGACCUUAUUAGGCAGGACAUAUUCAUGGGAAUCCUGAGUAUCAAUUGCUCUAUGCCCUAUUACCACUUUAUAACCAUCAGUGCAUGAAUCCUAACACAUCCCAGAAUUUGUCACAGCAUAAUCAAGUUUCUGAUUGUCCAAUUCUAGCACAAGGUAGAAGUGUGUUGUCAAUGGAUUCCACAAGUAGAAGGAAGCUCCAAAAAAUUGUAAGCCAAUUGUGAUGGUUCUGCUGAUGGUGGACUCAUAAUUUUAUAGACAUACACAUAGGUCAAUCAGAAGCUAUAUUUGAUCGCCUGUUUCUACCAAUUAGAACUCAGUAGUGUUAAAGAAAAGAAAAAAUCCGUAGGAGAGUUUCUAUGACAUGAAAUUUCUGUGUCAAAGAAAAUAUGCUAAUAUAGACACUACUUUCUGUAUCAAAGAAAAAAAUCCGUAUGCCCCCACCCUCCUCUCUUCCGUAUCUCACCUGCACCAUUUCUAUCAAGUUUAAUCAAGUUUCAUAAAUAAUGGCUUUUAUUGUACUUUUUAACCCAUUUACCUAAGGUGCAGUCGCAUAAUGCAAUAGUCUUUGCAAUUUUGCCCGUCUUCUCAUUCGGCCCUUCAACAUUAACAUUCAUAAGCGCCUUGCAUCCCUGAAAUCAUCAAUUUUGUUUUGAACGAUCCCUUAAACUAAAAUUCAUGUAGGGUCAAUCAUGCAGCAGAUCUUUUGUCACACUACCUUCUAUUCCACUUUUUAUUAUAUUGUUAUUUCUUCUUCAUAAAUAUUAUAUUUUAGUCCUUUUUUAUUUCUUUAAAAUUUAAUAACUAUUAAUUGAGUAAUAUAUAAAUACAUCAGUCUCAAAAAAACAAUGUAUAAUAAAAAAUUUAAAAAUAAAGCAAAAAUUUCAUUAAAAAAUUUCACUUUUUUAUGCAAUUUGAUUUUUUGAGUUGUUAAAUUUUGUGUAUUCUUCGAUUAAUAUUUUUUGGAUCUCAAGGAAACGAAAAAUAAUUAAAAUAUGAUUUUUAUAAAAGAAAAAUAGUAAUAUAAUUAAAAGUGAGAUAGAAAAUGAAACAGUGAGAUAGAAGAUACGUUGCGGGUCAAUUUGAUUACAAAUUCUUAUGACCAAACUUAGCAAAUUUAUCCUGGCAAAUGAGAAAUUACCAGACAAGUUUUACAAUUUAUCUUGGUAAACUCUGACGCAUCAGUGUUCUACUGACGAUAUCAAACACAAAGUCAAUCUCACCACCUCCUCUUUAACUCUGCUAAAUUGAUGCUAGUACGAUAUCUUACAAUAUUUUCUUGAAGAUAGGGUUAAAGGCACCAAACCUCCUAAAGCUUGAUAUUAUUUGUACUUUUCUUUUUAACGUUAUUUUUGUUGCAUUUUACUCCCUCUGUUAAGCCACAGCAGCCUUUACAUUAAAACAUGUCAAAAUUUUCAAUAAGUGUACACUUGUCUCCAUUUUUCUCUAUUCUUUUUUCUCCUUGCCCAAGCUUUUCAUAUCACCCAUGUCUCGCAAUACAUUUUUUUUUUUUUUUUGGGAAAAAUCAAGAACUAGGUUUCCAAAAUAUUUCACUUCUAUUAAAAAAAAUAGGGUAAAUUACAUUUUACCCCCUGUGGUUUACCCUUUUUUUACAUAACCCCCUAUGGUUUCAAAAGCUAUACAUAACCCCCUCAUGGUUUGGAUUAAAGUGUCAAAGUAACGGAAAUAGUCACUCGUAACGGAACUUCUAAAAAUGUCGAAAUUACCCUUAUAAAUACAUGACACAUUAACCCCGUAUAAUUUUUAUAUUUUACCAUAUAACCCCUUGUGGUUUAAUAUUUUACCAUAUAACCCCCUUAUGAUUUUCAAAAUAUACACAUAACCCCCCUUGGUUAAUACAUAUAUUUCAACUUUACAUAAGGGUAAUUUUCACAUUUUAGGUGACGCCGUUAUGAAUAAUCAUUCCUGUCACUUUGACACUUUAAUCCAAACCAUAAGGGGGUUAUGUAUAGCUUUUGAAACCAUAGGGGGGUUAUGUAAAAAAACGCUAAACCACAGGGAGAUAAAGUGGAAUUUGCCCUAAAAAAUAUUACACCAACUAAAUUUGAAAACUUUUCUAUUGUUAAAACUGUUCCUUCUCAAAUUAUGAACAUUAAUAAAUGGAGAUAAAAUGCAAAUGUUGUAAGAUAUCUCUCACGUUGUGAAAUUUUAAAUAUUUAAAUAAUUUUUUUUUUGUUAAAAUUACAUUUUAUGCAAUUGUUUUAUGAUUUUUUCACAUGAAAUAAUUUUAUUUUAAAUUCUACAAUAGAUUUCAAGGGCAUGUGGAAUUCUUAAGUGAUUGGAUCUUUUUUUUUUUUUUUAAAUACUAUGUCUAGUAGUAAUACUAAUAAAGUCAACUUGGUUAUGCAAGGCGCGACGAUGUUUAGGAAUUUGAGUGAAAGCAAAUUCCAAAUCUAGAAGGAUAACCAAUAUUAGGCAACUUCUAAACUUUUACGCCCCUCCCUACUCCUCUAUAUAUACAUUGCGCCAUGCCUCCAAUUUCAUAACUUUUGAUUCCGAGAAACAUUAAGAAAGCAAUAGGAUGGCCAGUUUCGGGUUAGGAAUUCGGUUCUGUCUUACCGAUGAAGAGUUGAUCACGUACUACCUAUGGUAAAGAAUCAGCUAUUGCGUUUGGAAUGGAAAAGGGUCAUGAUCGAAAGAAAUAUCUAGGGUGAGAAAGGGACGCCAUGGGAUCUGUUCUGCAACAAUGAUCCUUGGCAGACAGUAGUGGAUCCUUUGGGCAAAGUCUUUCGUGAUCAGAAAGUACUUUAUGUGUUUACGAGGCGAUCCAGCGUUGGUAAGAAGAAGGGAGACAAGAAUAAGAACGGUGUUGCGGAAGCCCUACCAAAGUUAAGGUAUAACGAGUAAAUUAUUGUACCUAAAAUUGCAAAAAUGGUAAUUCCCAGGAAAUAUUUGGUGAGGCACACUGGCCUGCUUAAGUACCAAUUUCCUAGACAGAAUCACCUAUAUAUGCACUUAAUUGCACAAUAACUCACUACAAAUAUACCUACAAAUAUAGCUACUAAAUAGACAAUAAAAUAGAACACCAGAAUUUAACGAGGUUCGGCUAAUUUGCCUACGUCCUCGGACACUACCGACAAUUUAAUAUUUCACUAGAAGAAAUAUUACAAAGAGAGAGAAGAAAGCAAGUUAUUGGCUCUUGCUUGGUGUGUCUAAUCCUAUCAAAUGAUGCUCCUAUUUAUAGUUUACAAAUGAUAGGAUUCCUAACAAAACUACCGAUGUGGGAUUUAGAAACUUAGGCCAAAGAUUUCAAAGUCCUCAAUUUUGGCUUGAAAAAGUCAUCAAUUGAGGCUUGGCUUUGAAUUCAACAAAUCUCCACCUUGGCAUAAUUUCUAAUCCCACCAAAAAUACAAAUUUUUUUCCCUCAAAUUCGGUGGUGUCUUCAAAUGCGUUGUCAAGCGCCAAUCUUCAAGUUGUGCACAACAUUUAUCAAAUUCAAACAAUGUUGGAAUUUGAUAGUUGUCACAACCUUCGUAAGCAUAUCAGCAGGAUUCUCCUUGGUCUGAAUCUUUUGAAGUAGUAUCGUACUAUCUUCCAAAAUCUUCCUCACAAAAUGAUACCGUACGUCGAUAUGCUUCGUCCUUGCAUGAUAAACUUGGUUCUUUGCUAAAUGAAUAGCACUCUGACUAUCACAAUGAACUUUGAUAGACUUCUGUCCAAUUCCCAAUUCAUCAAGCAAUCCAUGAAGCCAAAUUGCUUCCUUAACAGCUUCCGUAACUGCCAUAUACUCCGCCUCUGUAGUAGACAAAGCAACUGUUGACUGUAAGGUAGACCUCCAACUGACUGGUGCCUUAGCAAGUGUAAAAACAUACCCAGUCGUUGAUCGACGUGUAUCUUGAUCUCCUGCGUAGUCGGAAUCACAAUAUCCAACUACGCCUUGACCAAUCUUCUCAUCCCGCUCAAAUACUAAUCCAACAUCUACGGUGUUCAAAAUAUACCGUAAAAUCCAUUUCACAGCUUGCCAAUGCUCCUUGCCAGGAUCAUGCAUGUACCUGCUCACAACUCCAACUGCUUGUGAAAUGUCGGGCCUUGUACACACCAUAGCAUACAUCAAGCUACCCACCGCAUUUGCAUACGGUACCUUUGCCAUAUAUUCUCGUUCUGCAUCAUUCUUUGGAGAUAACGAUGCACUAAACUUGAAAUGAGGAGCAAGUGGAGUACUAACAGGUUUAGUCUUUUCAUUCAUACCAAACCUCUUUAAUACUUUACUAAGAUACUCUUUCUGUGUCAAAUAAAGCCUCCCCAAUCUUCUAUCUCUACUUAUCUCCAUGCCGAGAAUUUUCUUGGCUUCGUCGAGAUCCUUCAUUUCAAACUCCCGACUCAAAUGAGAUUUCAAUUUUUCAAUCUCACCUUGAUCCUUGGAAGCUAUCAACAUAUCAUCAACAUAACGAAGAAGAUAUAUGUAGGAUCCAUCUCGUAGCUUGCGCAAAUAUACACAAUCAUCAUAUUUGCUUCUUGUGUACCUUUGCCCCAUCAUAAACUUGUCAAAUCGCUUAUACCACUGUCUUGGAGACUGCUUCAAUCCAUACAACGAUUUGUCAAGCUUGCAUGCCAUCUUUUCUUUACCAGCAACUUUGAAUCCUUCUGGCUGAGUCAUGUAGAUUUCCUCUUCCAAGUCACCAUGUAAAAACGCAGUUUUUACAUCUAAUUGGACAAGUUCCAGAUCCAAUUGUGCUACCAAAGCCAAUAAAAUUCUGAUGGAGGAAUGUUUCACGACUGGAGAAAACACUUCGUUGUAAUCAAUUCCCUCCUUCUGAGCGUAGCCUUUAGCCACCAAUCUUGCUUUGUAGCGAACACCAGACUUGUCAGGAAAUCCUUCCUUCUUUGCAUAUACCCACUUGCAUCCGAUUGCCUUCUUUCCCUUUGGAAGACUGGUUAGCCUCCAUGUUUGAUUCUUAUGAAGGGAAUGUACUUCUUCAUCCAUUGCAAUCCUCCACUUUUCUUUAUCCGAACUUUGAGCUGCUUCAUUGAAAGUGGCAGGAAUAUCAACAUUUAUGGUUGGGGAUGCAUAGGCCACUAUAUCAGCAAAACGAGCAGGUUUUCUGAUUGUCCUCUUUGGCCUACUGGUUGCAAUUGAUUCAUGUUGCUGUGAAAGUUCUUCAACUGGAACAUUUUCUUCAGUUGAUUCUUCUUCUACCAUAGGAGUCCUUUCAUCUACUCCGAUAUCCACUGCUGGUCUGAUAAUGCUUCUUUCAAACUCCAUCUGCUUAGGAGUGCUCUCCACCUGUUGGGGAGUACUAUCAUUCUGCUGUACAUCUACCUUUGUUAACAUGGUAGAUUCAUCAAAGAUGACAUCCCUACUGAAAACUAUCUUUUUCGUUUCGGGACACCAAAGGCGAUAACCUUUAAUGCCUGUUGUGAUCCCCAUAAAGAGCGCCUUCUUCGCCCUUGGAUCCAACUUUGAUUCUUUAACAUGAUAAUAUGCAGUAGAACCAAACACAUGUAAGGAAUCAUAAUCUGUAGCAGGUUUUCCCGACCAUUUCUCUAAUGGCGUUUUGCCGCCAAUAGCAGUUGAUGGUAAGCGAUUAACGAGGUGAUUUGCAUAUGCUAAAGCCUCAGCCCAAAAUUGUCUGCCCAACUCAGCAUUGGACAACAUACACCGAACUUUCUCCACCAAUGUCCGGUUCAUACGCUCUGCCACCCCGUUUUGCUGUGGUGUAUCUCUGACUGUGAAGUGCCGAACAAUGCCUUCAUUUUCACAGACCUCCAUGAACGGAUCACUAGUGUAUUCACCUCCGUUGUCUGUUCGAAGGCGUUUGAUCUUUCUUUCUGUUUGAGUUUCCACCAUCUUUUUCCACUUGAUGAAAAUUUCCAAUACUUCACUUUUCGCCUUCAUAGUAUACACCCAUACUCUUCGAGAGAAGUCAUCGACAAAGGUAACAAAAUAAUUCUUGCCUCCCAAAGAAGUUGUUUUGGAAGGUCCCCACACAUCAGAGUGCACAUAAUCCAAAAUACCCUUGGUAUCGUGAAUUGCAGUGCCAAAUUUUACCCUUGUCUGCUUUCCUUUGACACAAUGCUCGCAAAAAUCUAACUUGCAAACACUGGCUCCUUUUAAUAGUCCUUGAUUCAUCAGAAGAUUCAAAGAUUUUUCUCCGGCAUGCCCUAAGCGCAUAUGCCAUAAUCUGGUUACUUUCAAUUCUCGAUCAUCACUGGAAGCCACGGCCGCUACUCCAACAACUGCAUUACCUUGAUAGUAAUACAAGUUAUUAUUUUUUCGGAUUCCUUUCACCAGCACCAAUGCACCUGAAAUGAUUUUCAUCACUCCAUUAUAUGCCGACACCUUGUAGCCCAUUGAUUCUAGUACUCCCACAGAAAUGAGGUUCUUUUUCAAUUCUGGCACAUAUCGGACAUCAGUUAGAAUCUUAAUUGAUCCAUCCUGAUUCCUUAGCCGAAUUGAACCAACCCCAUUUGUUGCUAAUGUGGUCUCAUCUGCCGUGUAGACGACUCCACCUUCUUUUUCCUUGAAAUCAAAGAACCAUUCUCUAUUGGACGUCAUAUGAUGGCUACAACCUGAGUCCAAUAGCCAUGUACUAGAAUGACCAGUAGGCAUGACAGCUAAUGAAAAAUCUGAGUUUUGAUCAAUGCACUCAGAUACAUUUGAAUCCGCAACAGCUUUUUCUUUGUCAGGUCUACCCUUCAGUUUUGGGCAGUCCUUCUUCCAGUGCCCUUUCUCUCUGCAAAAGGCACACUCAUCUUUACUUAGUCUGGCUCUUGACUUGGAUCUUCUUCUCGUCCCCUUUCUCUGGUUUUGUGAGCGUCCUCUAGUUACCAGAGCUUCUGCUGCUCCAUCUCUGCUAUUUUGCUUGUCUUUUCUUCUGAGCUCAUAGCUGUACAGGGCAGAGCUAACUUCACUGAGGGACACCUCAGCUUUCCCAUGGAGUAGAGUUGUUUCAAGAUGCUCAAACUCCUCAGGAAGAGAUCCCAACAACAUGAGAGCCAAAUCUUCGUCUUCAAAUGUCACAUCUAAAUUCAUCAGAUCAGUGAUUAACUGAUUGAAAUUAGUGAUGUGAUCACUUAGAGUUGUGCCAGGAACAUAAGUGAAGCGAAAUAAACGCUUCUUCAUGUUGAGCCUGUUCUGACAAUUUUUCUUCAAGAACUUCUCCUCCAAUCCAGUCCAUAAUUUAUUUGCAGAGGUUUCUUUUGAGAACACAUAUUUUUGUUCCCUUGAAAGACACGAUCGAAUUGUACCACACGCUAAACGAUUUAGCGUCCUCCAUUCCUUCUCUUCAAUCUCUUCUGGUUUCUCUUUUUCGAUGGCAAUGUCUAGACCUUGAUUAAAGAGCGCGUCUAGAAUCUCACUUUGCCACAUGCCGAAAUGACCGGUACCAUCAAAUGUCUCCACAUUUAAUUUUGUAUUCGUCAUAACAUUUCUCGCCAUAAUAGAUAAUGACGAGCUUGUUGAUGCUUGCAUUGUAGAUGAAGAUCUACUUUCGGCCAUCUCUACUAAUUAUAUUUAGUAGCUCCUAAAUGUAGAGUAACAAUAGCCCAAGAAAUCUUUUCUGAUGUGGAAGAUCAGACCAUGCUGCAACCACAGAGCAUACUAAGAAACCUCGAGCUCUGAUACCAAUUGUUGCGGAAGCCCUACCAAAGUUAAGGUAUAACGAGUAAAUUAUUGUACCUAAAAUUGUAAAAAUGGUAAUUCCCAGGAAAUAUUUGGUGAGGCACACUGGCCUGCUUAAGUACCAAUUUCCUAGACAGAAUCACCUAUAUAUGCACUUAAUUGCACAAUAACUCACUACAAAUAUACCUACAAAUAUACCUACUAAAUAGACAAUAAAAUAGAACACCAGAAUUUAACGAGGUUCGGCUAAUUUGCCUACGUCCUCAGACACUACCGACAAUUUAAUAUUUCACUAGAAGAAAUAUUACAAAGAGAGAGAAGAAAACAAGUUAUUGGCUCUUGCUUGGUGUACUUGAAUUGGUUUGUUUGAGAGCUAUUUAUAGUUCUCAAACAACCUCUCAAAUGUUAAACUUAACCGAUGUGGGAUUUAGAAACUUAAGCCAAAGAAUUCAAAGUCCUCAAUUUUGGCUUGAAAAAGUCAUCAAUUGAGGCUUGGCUUUGAAUUCAACAAACGGGACAGCUGGUUUUGGGCAAUGGCAUGGCAAUACAGCCACAUAACCUAUCAAGAAGGCGGGCACUGGGGAGCUAAUUGGCAAGAAGAGGACGUUUACGUUUAAGUCAAAAGAGGAGACUCAGGGCCAAUGGACUAUGUACGAGUACUAUAUUGAUGGUGAUAGUUUGGAAGGGCUAAACAACGAAUUAGAUACUUCUUUAGUACUUUGUCGGAUAAAUAGAGAUGACUCCAAAAGCUCUAAAGGAGGAAAACUAGUAUCAAGAUGAAGAUAUGGCAUUGUCGAAUCCAAUGAUCAGGGGUUGACUAAAUCAGCAAAGAGAAAAUCGGACAUUGAUCAAUUUGGACGCACUAAGAAUUUGAGAUCUAACCCUACUGAUUAGUGCUAACGAUUGCUCUGAUUGGAGUACUAGGAUGGUACUAAGUACCAGUACUCCACCUGCAGCAUCAAACAUGAACAACGAGGAGCCAGAUAUUGCCGGCAGCAGUGGAGCUAUUGUUGAUGCAGCCCUUGGAGAUAUUGUGUAUGACCCUUCUAAUUUCAAUGUUUUACCAGUUGAAGACGAUCCUAAUGGUUGGAUCAUCAUGGAGGAACUGGAUCCUAAUUGGAUACCAGCGAAUGACAGUUCUGCAAUAGAUGGAGAACAAAUUAAUGGACCAAUCCAGGCAAAUUAAUCCUUGAUAGACGUUAAGAAGUGGAAAUCACUGAUAUCUUUCACAGAAUUGGUGUCUUGAUCCUUGUAAGGCAGUGAAUCCCUGGCUCAGAAAGCAGUCAAAUUUGUAGUAACAAUUUGUAGCCUUUGCCAGAGGGACACCUGAAAUGCAAAAUCAGACGCUCCCCAUUUCUCUCCACUCACGCUGCUUCCGGAUAAGGUCCUUCAUCACUUUCAGUCACCACCUGACUCACUUCACAUUCAUCCUGUGAAAAAAUUUUGAACUCUUAACUGUUCCAUUGGUCAAUUAAAUUUCAAUUUACAACUAAAACAAGACUAUCAAAAGAAAAGCCAAGAGAGAAGAUUAAUGAGUGACAUUUAAUUUAAACAUGAAAAAUUAAAUGUGGCAUGGCCGAUUAUAUGUGUAGGUCUCGUAUUUGUCGUUUUCCUUUUUGGAACAAGAGUUCCGCUUCAUAUUGAUGCACUACUCAAUUGUUUCUGUGCCCAUCUCUCCAAUUUCACUUGGUAGGUGAAAAGUGAUGGGCGAUCAUGGAGUAAGAAUAACAUAAAGCCAAUUUGACACACACACACACACACAAUGGUCCAACGAAUAAUAUAUCUAUUAUCUAUUAUCUAUAUAUCUAUCUAUCUAUCUAUCUAUUACUUUACUAUAUAAAAAGCAUGAUGAGUCUUUAUUGCGAGUGUAAGCAAAAAUCAAUCUUAAUUUUUAUGAUACCAAUAUUGCCCUUGACACUAAUAGAUAGACAAGAUUACAUUGCAUUUUCUUAAUAAUUAAUAAGAUUUAUGCUAACAGUUACAAAUAAACAUUUCUUGAAUUGUGGUGAUUUUGGUGCAUUAAACCAAAAAAAGAACAACAAAUUCAUUGCAUUUCAUCUAUAUUAAUAUCAAUUAUGCCAACAAUUACAAGAAUGAAAAACAUUCCCUUGAGUUAUAGUGAAUUAAAUCGAAAAAAGAAGGACAAAUUUUAUUUAUGAAUUAUAAAAUAAUAUGGUGAAUCUUAGUGGUUAAUAGUGUAAUAAAAAAUUAUAUUAGUUUUUGUGAUGCCAAAAUUACAUUCCUCUCUAAUAAAUGGACAAAUUGUGCUGCAUUUUAUCGUUAAUAAAUAAUAUCAAACAUGCUAACAGUUACAAAAAUGAAAGGUUCCUUACUUUUUAAUUUACCAAAAGAAAGAAGAACAAAAAUUUUUUUUUUCAAAAUCCAAGUUUAGAGAGUACUUCAAACAUGAAACAAAAUAUAAUAAAUUGGUACUAUGAGUCUCUUAAAAAGUACCACAAGUCUUUUUAUUUUUUGGAUGCAACUAAAUUAAGCCUUAAGAGCACCAUUUUAAUAUGCGUUUAUCAGUUUUGAGUAAAAAAAAAAAACUUUAAUUCAAAAUAUAAUAGGAAAUAGAGUACCAAGGUAGGCAAAGAGUUUUAUAUUAGGAAUUUAUUUAUUUAAAUUGCAAUAAAGAUUAAAUUUAAUGAACUUUAUCAAUCAUAUUCUUGUAACAACUAACAAUAUUAAACUACAAUUAAUGAAUAUUAUAUCCAUCAAUGGCAAUCAUAAUAAUAAUUACAAAGGUGAAACAUACCUUUGAGUUAUGUUGAAUUAAGCCAAAACAAUAUUUUUUUUAUAAAUAUCAAUUUCAAUGUGAACUUUACAAGUGAAUAAAAAUAUAUCCAUGUUCAGUUUGACUAUUACAUAACAAAUAAUCUUAAAAUCUGACAAAUUUUAAUCAUAUAAACUUUAUAAUCAUAAAGCAUGUCAUCAGUGAGAAAUACAAUAAAUUACAUCAAAUCAAAAUAUUUUUCUUCAAAGUUAAGCUAUUUAAAUUUGAAUUAUGGAAUUUCAAUAUGUUUAUAUACUAUUAUAAUUACAAUAGCAUCAUAGAUUAUUUUACAAUCCACUGUUAGCAAAAAAAAAAAUAAUAAUUAGAAAAUCUUACUGAAACUAAUGAACAAUUCAUAGAAUGACUUAAAGGGAAGCAAUAAAUUAUUCAAAAAAUUUAAAAUUUAAACUCAAAUGGCAUGAAAAAAAAAAGCAUUUAGAUCAUCUGAAUUUAACCAAAAGACAAAAAUAAAACAAAAAAUGUCAAUAUUGUUACAAAAUAAAAGUGCUCUUGGAACAAAGAAUGAUUUAUUGCUUGUACAAUUGUAUUGGUUAGGGCAAACUAAGUUCAAAAAAAUAUAAACUAAUAUAAAUAUUAAAUAUCACAUUUUUUUCCUCAAUUAUCUUUAUUCCUUCAAAAUAAUUGAUUUUCUAAAAGUUUUAAAGGAAAAAAAUAUAAAAGCAUCAUGUUCACGUGCAAAGCACGUGCUCCAUUGCUAGUAUAUAUAUAUAAUUUUUUUCUCAUAUUUGUCCAGACUAUUUUUGGAGUCUUUAGCGAGCUAAUGCCUUUCUAUGGGUCAACCCUAUGGUAAAAUAACUUUCACCAUGCAUAUCUUACCCAUUUCAGGGUUUGAUUUGCUUUAUGUAAGCAAACAUGGGCACUUGCACUGAUAAGAUAUAAGAUUAUGCAUAAUGAAGUCUGGAACAGAAAAAGAAGAAGUAGCAGCAGUAGUCUGAGAAAAGCACGCAGUUCUCAAAUUCACAUUUGAAUUAGUGACUUGCAGCCAACACUCCAAUAAAGAUAAUUAAGCAAAGUUGAACUCCAUUACAUAUAUUUGGUAAAAGCACCAUUUAUUCCAGCGCAAGUCAUAUCCAAAUUCAAGGAAUUAGUGAUAUAAAGCCAUCCAUUUAACUUGGAUUGGAAGUAGUUUCCACUCUUCACUGAGGAUUUGGUGGGCGGCUAUUGGCAGAUGAAACUCUGGAUCCCCAUUCGAGCAACUCUUUGCUUGUGUCAUCUUUGUGAACGAUCACUUCUAUGAAGCACAAACAGUCUUUCUUCUCCCCAGUUGCUGUUUCAAUUGCGUUAACUAGUUCCUCUUCACAGCAUACCUGAAAAUUUGUAUCACCAUAAUAAUAAUCCGUCGCAACAGAAUAUUAAUAUAUUGCAGUCCUAGGCUACUUUUUUCUUUUUUACUCCCCUCUCCUUUGGGCGGGGUUAGCACAAAGCAGGAAUUACCUUUGUGGUCCAGCAAUUGCCUUCACCAUUGCAAAGUGCAUCCACUAAUCCAGUGUAGUUCCAGUUCUUAAUCACAUUGUAUGGACCAUCAUGAAUUUCAACCUCUAUGGUGUAUCCUCCGUUGUUAAUCAAGAAGAUGAUAGUCUUUUGGUUGGAACGAAUCAUUGUACUCACAUCUUGGGCAGUCACCUGCAACACAAAAAUUUUAUUAGCCCCGAAACCUCAUGCUCUUAAAGAUCAAUGAGAUUUCCCCAAUUAAGUGUAAUUAUUUCUCACCUGAAAGCUCCCAUCACCAAUGCAAGCAAUCACCCGCUUUUCAGGUACGGAUUGAGCAUAGCCAAGCGUAGCACCAACGGACCACCCAAUGGAGCCAUAUUGCAUUUGAAACUCAUAUCUGCAGCACCAAUUUUUGCUCGUUAAUUUUUAUAGAAAGAAAAUGGAUGAAAAAGCACUAAAUGACAUCGAUACCUACCCACAUCCUUCUGGUAAUUUGAGCUUCUGGCAGUUGAACCAGGAAUCACCUGUCUCAGCAAUCACAGCUGUUUGGCUAGAAAGCAUCUUCUGGAUGUGCUGGAAUAGUACAUUGACCCUUAAUGGCUCAGUAGGCUCACUUUUCAGGGGAAGCCCUUCAGGGACAAAGAUCCGUCGAUAAUUUUCAUGGGCAGUGUUAUUCUUCUUGAUCUUUUUGGCCAAUUCGUGAAGGAAAUCUUUCAUGAGCACGCAACCAAAAGCAGGUCCGUUGCCAAUGACAACGCGGUCAGGCUGCACAAUGAUGGCUUUUUCCUUCUUGAGCAAGAGUGAAUAUCCAACUGAACUGUAGUCAUUGAAGAUUGGACCGACGAAUAUAUAAGCAUCAGCAGAUUCCACAAUCUCAGAGCAAAAGGCUGUGCUAACUGCACCCCAAUAAGUGCCAAUAAAGUGAGGGUGGUGCUCUGGCACUAGGCCCUUCGCUGAUGGCAUCACGGAAACUGCGUAACCACAGGCGUCAGCCAAUUCAACGAAUGCAUCACAAGCUUUUGCAACUCUCAGCUUUGGGCCUCCAACCAUGACUGGCUUCACUGCUUUGUUCAAGAAGGCUGCUGCUGCUUCUACUGCAGCCUGGAGUCCCCUCUCAUUACUCAAUCUGCAUCCAUGUAAUAGUCUCAGGCAUCAGUUGAUUUCCUAUAAUCCAAGAAUGAAUCUAACAAGCAUUUAAGCUUAUAAUCAAUUUAAUGUACCUUGGUGAGAUUGAAAAUGGAAUGGGCUCUCUGUCGAAAGUUGGAUGAGGGAUGCCUGCCAAGUUGCAACUGACGCUAAUGUAGACUGGCUUGCUUUCUUUCAGAGCAGUGGAGAUGGCUCUAUCAAUUUGUUCAUGUGCAUCUUCUAAGUUAUUAACCACUGCCUAGCACAGAAAAUUCACCCCCAACAAAAAGGGAAAAAAAAAUCACAGCCAUUCUCAAGCCUUCAGGACAAAAAGCAGCAAUCAAAAAAUCCAAAACAUGCAAUGGUGACAAUUGUGGAGGAUUUGACAUCCACCUGAUUUAAAUCAAUAUGUCUCAGUCUUAGUCGGGUCAAGGGUAGGGGUUAUUUGUAUAGUGCAGAUCUGAUCAAAUUGUGUGUGUUGAGCUAAUUGAUGUUUAGUUUUUAAGCAUCAUCAAGUAAAAUUCAGUAAUAGUAGUCCAUUAACAAGAAUACUAAUCAUAAAUGGACAAGUGCAAAGACAAAGGAAUGGAGCUUGAAACGCAAAAAGGUAUUGUCAGCCAUUUACAGGAAAAAAAUAAUUGAAAUAUCAGCCACUAUAAACAAUGAAAAGUUCCUAUGGAUGGGAGCGAAAGAGUUUGCACGAAAUAUGUAAUUGAGCGCUUCAAGCGAUUAAGUCCUUGGAUAAACAAUAGUUCAUGCAGAUUUAGAAGGUAGGAAGUUCUGGGAUUAAAUUGCUUGUAACUGGGGACUUAAAAAAUAGAAGUUCUUACUUUGUAGACAUUUUUCUCAAAAUAGUAGGUACCACAAUGGCUAUGGAUGAACUGAAAAGUGUGCAAAUUACAUUCGAGGAUUUCUCAGAUUCUUUUUUAAUCUGCAAUAUACAUUUUCAAGUAUAGAAUUUGUCUGCAGUGCAAAUUUAUGGCAUAAGAAACCAAAUUAGUUAUAUGCAAAGCAAGGAAGAUUUUUUAAAUAUUACCUUCCACUGCAUAUUGAUAAAUAAAAACUUGGACGAAAAAAUCCAAAUUCAGAAAAAACAAAUAAAUUGACAAAUAAAAAAUUGAUGGAAAAUGAAUCUAGAAUCCAAAUUCAGAAAAAAAAAAAUUUGUGUAUGAAUAGAACUGCACAUCAAAGAGCAAGUGUAAGAAUCCUUAAUUACCUGAUAGCAAGUGACGGUCUGGAAACAUCUCAAUUCCUGGCUAAAAUCAGGAAGGCCAAUAGUAUGAUGAAGAAUCCUAUUAGUCCCAUAAUCAUUCGUGUUAGGCCCUCCAACGAUACAAAUCACUGGAAGAUUCUCACUGUAAGCCCCGGCAAUAGCAUUAAGCACACUGAGUCCACCCACAGUGAAGGUAACGACGCAUGCACCUACCCCGCGAGCCCUGGCAUAGCCAUCAGCAGCAUAGCCCGCAUUCAGCUCAUUACAGCAUCCGAUAUUGUUGAGCCCUGGUUCAGCAAUUAAGUGGUCGAGAAGGGUGAGGUUAAAGUCGCCAGGCACGGAGAAUAUGUCGUUCACGCCAAUCUCAACCAGCCUGUGAGCGAUGUGGCGGCCCAGGGUGGCUUCAGGCCCGACUAUCAUGGAAGGAGGAUGAGAACUGGAGGAGGCUUCGACGGCGGAAACAUUGCCAUUGGUGGCGGAACAGCCCACGUUUUUGUUUUCAGCUGGUUUGCAUGAAUCUAUGGGACUCAAAAUGCUGUCCAUGUUUAAAGAAAUGUGGUUUAGGCGGGGGAAAGAGGUUUACUGCUUAAUUACUACUUGUAGGUUGACGAUGAAUCGUGAGAGAAAAAAAUAUGAACCAAGGUGAGGAAGAAAAUUGGUGAUGGUCGGUGGAGGAGGAAUAUUUAUAGGGGGGAGAGAGAGUUAGUCAAGGGUUUUGAGGAUGGACAAGAGGCACGGACUGUUGUGACAACCGUUUAGAAAAAUUUACGGAUCAAAUUUCGCUAAUAAUGUAAAAAUUAAAAUUGUAAGGUCCAAAAAACAUCUCAUAUAUAACUCUAAAUCAAUUAACAUAUAUGAGCCAACUUGAAUACUAGCCAUUGCCAGUAUAAUCGUUUUUGCCCUUACCCCUUUUAUGACACAAUUUUGGUGACACGUCUUGGAUUCGUCUGUUUUCAUCACGAGUCCUUUUUUACUAUUACACAAAAUUCGGCUGCUAUGACAAUUGUAAGUCAUCGUUACAAAUUACAACUAGUCAUUACUAUUACUAUAUAAAAAGUAUGAUGAGUAUUGACAAUAGGCACUAUAAGCGUAAGUAUAUUUUGAUCUUAGUUUUUAUUAUGUUUAAAUUACCCUCAUAUCUUUUAAUUAGAGUUAUUGUAUUUCAAUCAUGAUACUAAUAAGAAAAAUGAAAAGUUUCAAUAAAUUAUAUCUCAAAAAUAUUGACAAUUAAAAUUAAGAAAUGCCCAAUUACAACUAUAUUCACCAAUCAUUUUAUGUUGUAUAUUAUGAAUUAAAUUUUCACUUUUUGUAAUUGAUUUGUUGUUUACCUUCAUGUGAUUUUAAGAUUGUAUUUUCAAUUUUAGUGGAUUUUUUUUUUACUAUUAAGGAUUGCUCUAAGUGAUUUUUGGCUAUUAAUGUUUGGUGUAAAUGAUUGAUAGUGCUCUUUCAAUUGGUGUUAAUGAUUGAUAAUGGUAUUUCAGUUUAAACUUUUUUGUGAUGUGGGCAUGAUUGAGAUGGAUGUUCAUGAUCUUCAAACUUGAUUUUUUGUUGUUUCUGCAAGAAUAUCAUGAAAAGCUUUAAGGGUCGAAAAAAGUUUUUGAGACUAGAUUAUUAUAAUUCCUAUCGAUAUCUAACUGUUAGUUUCCAGUUGUGCUUGGUUUUCUUAAUAACUUCCUCUAAUUAGUUACCUAUAUUAUGAGUGUUUGGAAUAUUAGAAAAUUUCUUCCUACUUCUUAGGAAAAGCAAAAUAUUUUUAGAUGACAUUUGAAAUUAUUUUAUAAGAAGUUCAGUGUAAUAAAAAAAGUGACUAUCAUGUUCUUAAUAUAUCAAACAUUGAAUGCCGCAUGCACUUUUUGUACUGACUGAAUACUCAACCAUUUUGAUCUCAAUUUUUACUGUGUCUAAAUUACCCUCUUGUCUUUUAAUUAGAAUCGUUGCAUUUCAGUCAUGACACUAAUAAGAAAAAUGAAAAGUUUCAAGAAAUUAUAUCUCAAAAAUGUUGGUAAUUAAAAUUUAAAAAUGCCCAUUUACAACUAUGUUCACCAAUCAUUUUCUCCGUCUCCAAUUAUUAUAUGUGUUAAAAUUAUCUCUAAUUAUUAUAUUCUUAUGCGUAUGUGUGAUAAUUAAAGCUAAGUAUAUUUUAUAUACGUGCUGGUUUAGAAGAAAAUCACUAUUAAUAAGAAAACAAAAGGUUGGCGAGUUUCAAUGUCUACAAGUAGUCUUAACUUCAGAAGCUGGGGGGGUUUGUCUCCAUGGCCGACAGUGGUAGUCUUGGAGAUGAUGGGCAUGUCCAAACUGCCAGAACACAUCACUGGCAUCACGUACCUUCAUUCCUCAAACCCAAAGAACCAGCAAAAAUGAGUGUAUUGUCUAAGGCAUGGUUGAGCACAUGGCUGACGCCCCAAUUAAGUUGUAUUGAUUCUUUGAAGAUUGCAGUUAAACUUUUUGAGUUCCCGGCGCUUACGCCUGAUCAUGUCAAUACAUGGCUCCAAAAUGCUGUGGACAAUGGUGGGAGAAACCUUGAAUUUUUAUACACUCUUGUAAUUCUACGUUGCCUCAAAAACAAUUUUUGAAGCGAAAUUACUCGUCAAAUUGUGUCUUAUGGGCCAAUUCCAGUUAAAGCCCCAAGUAAUCAAGGAUAAUAAGGUGUCAUCAUCUCCAAAAGCCGUAUCUUAGCGUGGAUUUAAGCAAAGAGAUGCUUCAAAACAUAAUGUCGAGCUGCCCAUUGAUUGAAAUCUUGAAUAUUUAUUCCAGUAGAGAUCUUGUGAACGUAAAGGUGAGCAAGCUUCUAAAACUUAAGCAAUGUAGUAUUGUUAUACAGGGAAAUGGUUAUGUUGAAGUCGAAGCACCAGGUCUUGAACCCUUUUACUGUAAUAAUUCAUAAUUGUAUAACAGAUGUUUCUUUUGAAUUAGAUUCAGAAUCAUUCCCUUGCAGGCCUCACAUGCAUAUAUGUGAAAAUCUGAGGUUAACCUUGGAUGACAUUGCCAUCACUGAUGAGUUUUUCUUAGGCGUUGCAGAAAAUUUCCCACACCUUGCAGCGCUGACAAUCCAAGAUUGACUCCAUUUGCAAAUUAUCAAGAUUUCGAGUCACUCGAUUAAACGCAUACAUUUGGAUUCAAAGAGAGAACUGAAAGAGGUCGUUAAGCAUUGUUCGAUUUUGAAUUGAGAGGAUACUUCAUUCCCCCACUCUCUUUUACACAGCUUGCUCCUACCCUAAGGUUUAUGACAUUGAGUUAUAUUUAUGAAGUUAAAUGUUUUGGACACCUCCUUGUUUCCCAGAUUGAAAAACUUUUGACAAUGUUAAAUCAAUCUCAAAGUUUCAUUCCAGAUUUUCUUUACCCCCAACUGUCGAGGGUUUCAAUGACAUGAGAAACAUCGCCUCAUUUCUCUGCCUCGAGUUCAAAAAUUGUCUAUAGGAUUUGGUGAUAGGGAUAGUCUAAAUGCUGCAUGUUUUUGUGGUAUCUUUUGGACUUGUCCUCCAAAAACCAAGUUCUGGACGAAUUCUUUUGGGCUUGAUGUGGGUUUUUGACCUUUGAGUACAAUGACGGGGUGAAUGUGCUAUUUGAGAUGCUAACGCUUAGAAGAGAUCGCAAGCAUAGCAAUUUGCAGCAAAUAGUUUUGGCAAGAGGAUCUUAAGGAUGUAAAACUUGAGGUUUCUGAAAAGGAAGGGCACCAAAGAGUUCAACUGCCUAAGUUUUCAGACUGGGACACCUUUUGAAAGGUAACCUCACUUAUUUGAAAACUUGUUAAACCUGUUUGUGCUGAUAAGUGAGCUUGAUAAACUUGUUAACCGCCAACAUUUAAUAUGAAAACUUGAGGUUUCUACGUCAAGUUAUGCCAAAACACUGAAGUAUGUCUACACAGAAAAUUGAAUCCGCCAGCAUUUUUGAGCAAUCUAGCCAUGAAUUUUUAACAAGUUUUCAAGACAAAAACAAGUUCAAAUUCGAUAUUCAAGUCCCAUUUCCAUGUUAAGUCAUCUUCCAACCUCCAUAGUUGUCAAAAUCAACAAAUUUUAGCUCCCAAAGUCAUGUAAAUACAUAAGCAAUCCUGAAAAUGAAGUGCUAGCUCAAGUCAUUCAUUUCCCUCAACAUUCCUCCUUUUCAUAUUGAUGAUGGGCCUAUACCCAUAUGAAAAUAGAGACCAACACAAACUCUAUACACCAUAGCCAUGGAAACUAAUCAAGGAUUUGAACCAAAUGCCACCCAAUCACCCGGUCAUCAAUUAUUGCAUAGACUCGAUCCAUUAUCUGAAAAUAGAUCCUAUAGACAUAAAUAAGUCGCGUCGCUCUUUUGCUUUACAAUCUUCAAUAAAGAAAUGGCGUGGCGAUAUAUAUGGCCACAUGGUCCACAACCUUAUUGGUGGACCAAGUCUAUUCAAGUAUUUGCCUUUAGUUUCAACGCGUGUACUUAUUCUUUGGAGAUUGUUAAUUUCCUUUUGAACCUCCAUGAGCUCCAACUCGAAUUUAUCAUUUGAAUCAUGGGUUCAUACUUGACAUUUUCUACAUUCCUCACUUCCAAGUUCCACCACUCAACAUGCCUCGUUAAAGAUUACGCCUCUUUGUGUCACCAUGUCAGCCUCUUGAGCUAACAUCUCGUCGACCGUCAACUUGUCGAGGGUCUUCACCAUUUGCACUUCUCGAAUUUAGUUGCACCUCUUGACUGCUCAAUUUCUUUAGUAUGACACCUAAGGGGUGACCAUUUAAACUUUCUCAAAUUUGAUUGCAUCUCUUUCCUUAAUUAAUCUUACAUUUUCAAAAUAUAAUUCCUAAAAUAUACCUUUAACGAGUGCCUAAUAAAACACCUAUUAGACAGAACCUUAAAUUAAAUCAGACGCCAAAUGAUUUCAUUAACUCAUCUGCUCAGGUCUCUGCGAUUCUACUAUCUUGCCUUUUGGUUAGAAGCUCCAGUAGUUCAAUUUCGCUGUUGAAUGGCGGACGGGUAACAUCACCGUCCAACAUAUCUAGUUCUCAUCGUUUUGCUCUAUUGCUCUGAAUUAUAACAGGCAACGGCAACUUAUAUUUGGCACACUGGAGACUCCGAAGGAAAGACCAAAACAAACACUAUGAUGUUUUUAAGGAAAAAACAGAAAACAUAUUACUUUUUCAUAAAAACUUGAGCAAUAUAAUUCAUUUUCUAAUUUACACCAAGGCCAUCUACAACAAGAGGGGCCGGAUACAAUAAUUUUCCUAUCCAUCAUCUAAAAAGUUCAAGGAGCUAAACUCGAUCCAGUACCUCCAUCUUCUUGCUCUCGAAACAGAGAACACGGUAACAUCGCUGAAAGCUUCAUUAGCAGUCCCGUUGUCGAAAUUUCUUGCACCCAUUUUAGCUAUGAGGGAGUUGAAUCUCCUUUCACAAUGGUGCUUCUAGCCGAAGUGAUGUAUACAACAGAAGAUAGAGAGUAUACAAACUUCUUUUGCAUUCCUAACUCUACAUGUAAAGAAGCCUUCAAUCAACACCCAAACACGACCAAAUGCUCAUGUUGACGUCAACAAUCAAACUUAGAGUUGCCACAUCUAAGAUGAACUUCCAAUCUGUAUGGCACUGUCAAACCCUGGCACAACAUGAAGAUACUGUAAAAAAUCUCUGGACCAAUUAGGAAAACUUCAAGAAAGCAUAGCACAAAAAAGUGAGCGGUAUUUCCAAAAGAUACAAGUUCUUGUUUCUUUGUCCUUUAAUACCUUCACUUUUCAUAAUAACCAAAAAAGGUAAAAGGACUGCAUACCAAUUAUUUAAUUGAGAACAUAUAAAUAACUCUUAGUCUCCUAGACACAAAUGAUGGCUUUAAUCAGACAGCUCAAAAUCUGGUUUUUAAUGCUUGAUAAUCUAAUACUACAAGACAAUACACUCUAAUAAGCUAAUACAGAUAGCUAAAUAUGAAACAUCAUGUCAACCUGUUUUUCACAAGCAAUCAUCCUACCUAAAAGGUAUAAAAAAACAAUUAAAAAAGGCUUAUCAAAUGGGAAAAAAAUUAUAUAUCGAGAACAUACAGUGAAAGCAAUAAAUGAUUUAGCAAUCCUGUACCUCUAAUAUGUGGGUUGCAAUUAGCCUUCUAAAGCAUAUGUGGGGACCUGCAAUUAAUAAGCAAGAUAAUGACAAGUAAGCAUUAGCAUUCCAUUUAACCUGAAACCUAUACUGAUUAGAAGCUACUAACACCUAAUCAGAUUGCCUCAAUUUUACACUUGUAAGUUGAUUAACUGACAGAAGAACAAUCCAAAUCAACUUUGUUCCAUCCUCACUUGAAGGCUAAAUAAUGUUUCCUUUUGACAAAUUAACCACCUCAUCUAUCCAAACCAUAAAUGCCUAAUUUUGUAGAAUCUUAAGCAGAAAUGACUAGGGUCAGGAGGAAGGGGAUUAGACACUUGAUAUAGCGUCAUCUUAACUCCAGUUACUGCAUUUUAAUGACAGCAUUGUAACAAUUCAAUCUCAGGUAAACAGAGGUUAAGGUGGUCUGUUCCCUUUUUUUUCCAACCAGCAGUGUGACAAUAUGAUCCUAACAAGUCGUCAAGCUUUGCAUCUUACAUUCAUCUUUGCUUACCUCACCUGGAGCCUCUUUCCGGGUAACUUUUGUGGUAACUUUUGUGCAAUAAACUUCACAUAAAUGGAACAUUAGAGCACAAAAGAGAAUCUUCAAAUUCAAUCCUUUAACAUUACUGUGUCGGGGUGAUUCAUUAUUUAGUUUUGUAGAAAUCCAAAAUACACCAUCAGCUGUUUACUUAAUUCUAAUCAAAUAAAUCACAACUCCUAUGCCUCCCAUACUAUAACAAAUGACUUCCUCCCCAUAUAUGUAUAAUUACUUUCAACCUACAUACAAGAAAUUCUUUUAGACAUUUGUCUUCAAAGAAAAUUUGACCACCAAGAUUGAAUGUAGCGAUGGUUUUCUUCGCAAAACUAAAAUGCAUGAACUGAAAACAUAAGAUCUUUCAAUUUGAAGCACAUGCAAUACAUCUGAUGAAUGUUUUAUUGUGUGCUGAAACACUUCUCACAUUAAAUUUUAAGCCUCUCCACAUAAAGUACAGAAGGACUAAAUAAGACGGUGUUUGAGAGAACACAUCAAGCAAAGAACUGACAUCAAUGACUACCUCUAACAGACUUGUAGCAAGCAAAGAAACGCAUCAAGCAAAGAAACGACACCAAUGCAUACCUCUAACAUGUUUUCAUGAGAAAAAGAUGCUGAUGCAGGAUUUAAACCAUUAGGGUUAUUGAAUUGAAGGAUCCUUAGCUUGCCUUCCUGCGAUUUUGAGGAGAAAGUCAAUACAUGGACAACUUAAUGGGAAACCUGAAACAUAAAUCAUGACAAGUUUCUGCGAACCUUGGUUCCAUACACAAGACCGCCACCAACUGAAGGAUGAAAACAAGCCACAUUGACCUCAUCCUCAGCACUGGGAAGAACUCUUACAAGUUCCAUGUCAGAAACUCUGUAUAUCUGGGCAGCACAAAGCAGAAUUUUGGAUGCAAAUGAACAGCAUCAGUGAAUUAGAAGGCUCCUGGACAGACCUCUACUCAUGGAAACUAAAAAACCAUCAUCUUAUAAAAUUAUUAAAGACUACAAUUAGCUUGUAUCUAAAAUGCUUAAGAGAUCUCCAAAUGGGAAGUAUAAUAACUUCAUUUGAUGGCCAACAACACAUAACGCAUGUGAAAAAUGGUAUACAAUUUGACAACAUCCUCCAGCACUGAGCCACUGCAAAAGAAUGCAAGCCAGUUUGCAUGCCAUAACUUUUCCUAUCAGAGCCCACAAGACUCCAUUUUCAUAGUAUUACUAUGACCAUUGUUAUAUAUGCAUCUGGAAUCUAUGUUUCUGCAAGUGUCUCAUGUCGCUGAUUCCAAAUUUUCAAGAAAUAAUGUAUCUUCUAAUAGUCGUAUUCUAGCUUGCUUUAUAAUUUUCUCAAGACUCAUGGUGCUGGGGGGUGAUUGCCACAAUGAAACAUAGCUGCAUCCGAAUCUUUCCAGUUUAGGAUGCAAAGAAAUCAAACAAGCAAACCAUUUCACUUCAAUUUACAACUCUAACAUUUCAUUAGGAGAAAAUAAAGCUGAUGCAGGAUUCAAACCAUUACAUGUUCUAUGACCCAAAUUCUGUGCAUGGAGAUCAUGCAAAUAAUGAUAUGCAAAGAAGAUACCAAAGAUUUGCAUAAUUUGCUCUUUAAAACUAACAUCUCAAAUCCUUUUUCCUUUUCUUUCAACAUAUUUACUUUUUCUGUUAAGUUGGGAACUGACGGUACUAAUAACAAAUUCAUAAAAAAAAAAAAAAAAAACCAAGCCAAUGAUAUUUAUUUUGAAUGCUUGAUGCCUGUUAAGGGAUCCACCUUUGCCCCAUCCCAGCAAGGUGAUAAUCAAUUAACAAAAUCAAGGAUCUGCCAAAUUAAUAGAAAUUUGUCCUUCCCUAAUCAUAAAAGAUCUGGAUGUACAGCUCAAGACCCUGACAAACGACUCACUAACAAGCAAAUGUCAAUCAUGUAGAAUGGGUCAGGUAAGAAGCAAAUGGGAUGACAGAAAAACAGAGAAUCAUUCAAAGUAGAACUUAAUGUAAUUUGAAAAAAAACAAUGCCAGAAAGCAAGUAUAAUUAGUCUAAUUAUCAAAUAUACCUCCAGAAUUGUAUAAAUUGGUACAGUCAGCUCUCCAUCAAUCACAACACUUUUGAGAAGUGAACUGUGACGACGGCCAUAAGCAAGUAAUAGAUGCUCAGACGUAGGGGAGAACUGCAAUUACAAAAUAUAGAACAUCUUAAAAUAGGAAAUUCUUGCAAUUCCAUUUCUUCCUGCAUUUAACCAGACAAAGAAACAUAUCUUGUAAAAUCUUACAAACUAAAGUAUCUUGCACAUAAAUGAAACAGAAACUUGUUAGAUAAACUACUUAACCACCAUGACACGUAUAGCUUCUCAAUCAUCACAGACUACUGAUUAAUGAUGAUGCUGACUUAUCAUAACAGAUCACCUCUUAUCAUCUGAUAGUUUAAGUCAUUGAACGAGAUGGCAACUCCACAUAUCACAAACAUAGGCAAAGGCCUUGCGUUCAAUUCUCCUCACCACCUAGUAUAAAAUGUGCCCAGGAGUUGUGCUAAUAGAAAAUUUCUGAGUGAGUUUUAUCAGAGUGCAAAGGAAACCAACGUAAUCUCCUUUCCAACAGCUUAGUGUUAAGAGGCUUAAAUCUGGUAAUUAAGCAGUUAAGAAUACAUUCAACUCAAGGCAAAGCAGAAUGUAGGAAAGCAAUGAACUUUGCCAUUUUUUUCUUCUUUUCAUUUGGGCUCUCUAAUCAAUUGCCUUCUCUACGUUCUUAACAGGGAAAACAGAAAAUAUAUCACUCUCUCUUUUAACUUUAUCAGCUUCAAAAUUAAUAUGUUACCCAAAUUCAACUGUAACUCAGCUUUGAGUAUGAACAAUCCAUCUGCUCAAUGCUGAGUACAAUGAACUGCAAUGCAAAUGGAUAGUAGGAUUCAACUUUCCUUCUUUUUUUCUUUUUCUCCUUUGAAGCCCACCCCACGCCCUCUUCCCCCUCCCCCAUUUAGGAGAAGGAAAAGGUAGGGCUAGGAAGACUAAAGUCUUCUUGGCAUUCAAUUUACACAGUGAACUAUUUCAUUUAGGAAGAAAGAAACCAUGUUAUACUGAUAACUUAUUGUAAGUAAUAUUCAAAACUAGUUGUGUCAACAAUAAAAUUCAAUUAUGGAGAAAUCAGCCUGGGAAACAAUUGCUGUUUUACUAAUCCAUUUCCAUUUCUUCCUAAACUCAAUGAAGAUGCACACUACAAUAGGAUGGUAAGAUCACGCACUGUAAAAAUUUCAAACAUUGGCGUGCAUGACAUUAGUUCAUUCAGGGGAUAAUUCUGCUCUAACUAACAGUGUUGUACUAUACCAAAACAAAUAACUUCAGAUAGGUAAAAUUCAAUAGUAUUUGCACGAUCACAUAAAGCCAUGGAGAUAUCGUGCCAACAAUUUCAGCAAUAAUACUGACCUGAAUGGAAGUUAAACAAUGAGCCGCUCUGAUGGCCCGUGAUGCAAGCACCAUCCCAAAUCUACCAAAAAAAAGGGCUCGAGUAAGACAAAAUACUUGCCAAUGUGAUAGGGGUAAAUUACAGAAUGGUUUUUGAGCCAUGUACAGGACUUACGUUGCCUCCUCAAGAGAAUAUACUCGCAGCUCAUACAUUACUUUGUGGGCUGAAAUUGGAUGUCUGGUUGGGGAUGUCGCAACCCCAGUGGCAUCAUGAUGAACUUGCCCCGGGAAACCAGGAUCAGCUUCCAUGUUUGGUAGGACACAAGCGACACAGGCUGCUAAAAAUCUACCACACGGCGAAAAAUGGGCUCCCAUUUCACUGGAAAGAGAAUGUAAAGGACGCUUAAGCAUCAAGAGAAAUAUAGCUCAUAAUUUCACAUUUUAGCAAAAAAGUCAAGAUCUAGGAUAUGCAGACAUGGUCUUAUCACCAUAACGAAGUUUAAAGAUCAGCAAGAAGCAACUUCCAUAUGUAGAAUGCUAAUCUUUCUGCUAAACAGUUGUCAAAGAAACUAGUCAGUUUUUCCAUUUUCUUGUUUUGGUAAAACUAGGCAGCAUUAGGAUAUAACAGUAAACUCUCUAAUGUGUUAACAUGGAUGAAGAUAUACAUACCUACAAAGAACUGCAUGGGGUAUGGUUAAGCGACAUCUUUCUGCAUCAAGAGGUGCACAAGGAUCUUUAACAUCAUGAGACCAUAUCCGAAGUUUCACGGUGCAUGGUAACUCAGCAGUUGCUGCUGCUGCCAUUGAAGUGGCUACCUCAGGCUGAACCUGGCUUAUGAUAGGAUUAGUGUUGCCAUCAUCAUGUACAAUACUGUUAUAAGUAGCACCAUCACCAGAUCCAGCUCCAGGUACACGUGGCCGUGAGGAGCGGUGCCGUGAGCCGGAUCUUCCAGUAACUCUUGAAUGAGCAGCAUCAUUUGACAUAGAGGAACUUAAUGGAGCAGGAUUCUCUAUAUUAUUAAAAGAAGAAAUAUGCUCAUUACCACCACCAUUUUGUGAACGCAUGGCACGGAGGCCAGCUUGGCUUUGUCCAAUCAACCAUCCUUGCAGAAAUGGAAGUUCCCAGUAUGCUGGAUCACUGAAAGGGAAAAAAUGAUUGUUUCUUUCCUCAGGUUGAAUAUCAGUCUCCAUCGCAUCCACCACGGGCUGGGAUACAGCAUUAUCUGUCUCCCCCAUCAAAGAAUUAGGCUGUUGCUCUUCUGUCGAACUAUUCGGUUCCAUAGGAGACAGCAAAACUUCGUACUGACCCGUUGGAGUUGAAUACGUGAGAAGUCGCACAGAGUUAGAUGGAUCCACUCUUUGUUGUGCACUAUCAAGACCCACAUCUGUAUCAGUCUGCUGCAAAGGUAAUCUGCUAUCACUUCUACCAACCAAAGGCCAUAUCAAGAAUGGUAAAGAUAAAAGAGGCAACUCAUUAGGCAGAUUAGACCGCGAAUUUGAAUGAGCAUCUGCCAAAUAAACGGUAGGAGGAGGGUAGCGCAAGUAACCAGGGGAAGUUGCAAGUGUCAUUGAAGAAUCAGUUGAAUCAAGGUCAUUAACCUAGAAAAGAGUAAGACCAGGGUUGAUUCCAGUAAAAAGAUAACUAAAUUAAGAGCAUCUAAAUCUCCAAGAUGUUACCUCAGCAGUGAGAAGAAAUGGAGCAGCAUAAGGGUGGAAAUGCACAGCCCGUAAGGAACGGCGUGUCUUAAGUACAAUUGUUGGUGGGGAUGUCUCUGCCAUCCUAUUGUAGUGCCAUAUGUAAAGCUGCCAGAUGAUUAAGGUCAAUCUAAGGAUCCAACACCUAACUCAAUCAUAUGUUGAUUUAGAAUACAAACCUUGUGGCCUGAAGCCACAGCCAGAAAUUCCCCCCGAGCAUGGAAAGCAAUGGAAGCUAUAGGGCGGUCUGCAAGGAAAAAAUUUUCAGCAAUUGCACACACCAGCAAUAUGUAUAUGAAGCAGGCAAAAAAUUCCUAAAGUUAGAGUAGUAUUAAAGAGACAUACAAAAAUCACGCGAUCCUAUACAUUCUGCAGUUUUUGCAUCCCAUAAUCGAACUUCAUGGUCCAAACUUCCACUGGCUAGAAGAUCAGGAUACAGUGGAUGGAAUCUAACCUACAAAUGUUCCACCAGCAUGUCAGAUAAUCAGGUAAAAAUAGAAAAGCAGAAUACUCAACAAAAUCAGAGGUAAUCAUCUAUAAAAUGCAUCCAGCUAAAUCAUACACAAGAUUCAAGGGCAACUCUUGAAAUGAUGCACAUAUUAGUGUUUCACUUCAUUCAAAUUAACAUUUUCUUCUAUAUAUUUUUCUCAGGAUAGUUAGAAGUUCGUCAGGUAGUCUUUACCAACUACAGUCACUAAAUGAGAUGUAAGCCGUCCCAAAAGAAAGCCUUACCACCCAUGGUGUCCUCCGAUGACCACUCAGCACCUUUAAGCAUUUCCCAGUCUGGCAAUCAAUUAUCUUUACAGUAUGGUCACCACUACCAGCAAGAAAUCAACAAGAAGUCCAUCAAAUUAUAGCUUUCUAGAACAGAAAAGUAAAACAAACCUAUAUUAGCAUUUAGACUGUUCUUCUACAUAUCAUCACAUUCACAAGAGUGCAGCAGCGAGGGGCAUGCACAUUGUGAAUCUGUAUACAAGAGACAUACAGAAACAGGAACAUGCAAAGACACACACACAUGCACACACCCAACCACACACAGAACAAAAGAGGAAGAGAGAUUUAACUGCGUAGAAGCAAGUGUUUUCCCAUCAGGACUGAAGGCUGCUGCAAUAGUUGACCUUGGGGGAGGCAGAAGAGGACAAUAGUCAGCUGUUAAAUGUUGCAAAGACUCCGCCUCCACCCUAGAAACAGUAAGGAAAGGACAUAAAUUUCAAAAACCUAACAGUGGCAGCUUUCGAAACUUUUAAUAUAGUUAUAGAGUAACCGCAAAAGAAGCAUGUUCAAUUAGACACCAUUAAAAAGAGAAGUAAGAUAUUUACCAUGAGAUGAGACCUCGCCUUGCGUCAAUUUCUGCAUCACUUUUUGUACCAAAAGCAUCCACAUGACGUGCAGAAGCCUCUUCCCAAAACUUCUUUGAAGAAUGUUUCAUUCGAGGGGCAACCUCUCUCCGAGCUAAUAACCGAAAUACAUUAUAACAACUGGUACAUGAUGUUCAGCAUAACCAAAUCAGAAACAGUUCAGUACGGCCAAUGCAAAACAAUGUGAUUUAUGAUAACCACAAAAUGAGUCUACUUGUAAUGUUGUGAAAGAAAUCUAUAUGUAGAAGCUUACAAGAAUCUGUUAGCUUAGAAGAUGUAAAUUCAGAACCCCAACGAAAUUUAAAAAUGCAGUCCCUCAUAUGCAAAAACAAGCCCUGAUCAGUCUACAAACCUAGAGCCAUAUAAAUUUGGCAACUGAACCAAAUCAGAACAAACACAAGCCAUAAGAGGCAUCUUAGAUAUUGGCGUCAAACAGCAUUAUGUCUCAUCACAAAAGACCAACACAGUGACAACCAGUGCAUCACAUUUGUGCAUCAAAAACAAAUCUAAAUCACAGGGGAAAAAAACUAAUGCAAAAUCCAAACUAAAAAAUGAACCCCAUCCCAUUAGGACAAAUGUAUAGCUCUUAUAAAAAAAUUAAUACAAGUUUAGGUUCUCUCCUAUAUUAGUAAAACAUGCAGAAACGUAUGCCAUAUGUAUCAAAAUAACCAAAAUGGUACAACUGUUAGCCCCGUGAGCAAUCCACUAAAGGCUAAAUGGUCUAACAUUUUCUGUGUCUUGUUCCCAGCAUGACUACAAUAUCAGCAUUCCAGAUAUCCUAUCACACAGAAUUUUAGCCAAGAAAUCAAAAUUACUCCUUUUUUUGUUUUCAAGGUUCUCCAAUUAAACUUCUUAGGCCAAUACAAAACCAUAAGCAGUGAAGGGAUUGACCUAAAAAUUCAUUACUAUCAGACAAUCAACAUUUUCAUGAACAAAUAAGAGCAAAAAAUAUAUAAUAAAACUCAAUUCACAAGGCCGUGGUCAUAAAUUUCUUCCACAAAAAAUCACUGCCGAGUGCCGUACUUCAUUUCCAUUAAAUAUCAAAGAAUAUGAUUUAUCUGAAUUAUCAAACAAAACUAAAAUUCAUCAAAACCAAACCAAAAAAAAAAAAAUGCAGUCUGACAUGUGGGAUAGAUAUUGAAUUGGCAUUCCAAUAAUCAGGACCACAAUUUGAACAAACACGCAACAAAUACAUCAAUAUCUAACAAUUCAAUCCGAUAGCUCAGAUCAAACAUCAAAAUUUCCCCGAAUUACAAUAUAAUACCCAUCAAAAACUCAAAUUUCAGCUUAAAAACACGAAAAUAACUUCCAGAAGGGAUCAAAACUCAGAUCUACAGAGUAAAACCUAACUCAAUAACCAGAAUUCAGAUGAAAUUAGGGUUCAGAACUGAACCUGCUUUUCGGAUUUGCUGUAGGGGUGGCGCAAGCCGCCGCCUGCAGCAGCGGCUGUUGCAGAUUCAUCGACGACGACGUCGAUGGAGCAGUAUUUGGAUAGGAAUUCGAAUUCUCCGGCCAUAACGCCGACGACGACGACCUCAUUAUUUAUUCUCCUCUCCAGAAGAAAUUUUGCAUGCUCUGAAAAAUUUCAGCGGAUUAAUUUAAAGAGAGAGCUGGGCUUUGGUGAAUUGCCUGAAGUGACCUCAGAAUUUUGAUUCAAUUUCACGGCGAAGGAUGCUGAGGGUUGAGGAACUGAAGAGAGGGGUAGAAUGGGAAGAAAAUUUUGGGGGAGAAAAUAAAACAGGGUGGGGAGGAAGAAGAUGGAGAUGGAGCUAAAUGGGUCCGGACACCGGAGCGUAAGGAACAUUAGGGGGUGUUUGGGAAUUGAGUUAAAAAGUUAUUGAGGGAUGGGACGGGUUGUAUCGGCUGAUCUGGGGAUACAUUAUUGUUAAAUGGCUGUAAACGUCCUUUUACUGGAUUUGAACGUGGACGGUUUUUCCUUCCAAAAAAAAAAAAAAAAAAGUGGACGGUACCUAAGAUUAAUGUGAUGAUUGAUUAUGAUCAAAUUAUGACAACUAGGUUUUGAGAAUAUAUUUGUUAGCUUGAUUUGUUUAUGAUUUUGCUUCUUCAUUAGGAGUACUUUAACCAUUUAUUAAGAAAAAUUAAAUUAUAAACCUACUAAAGUAGUAGUCUAGUUGGUUUAUUGUAUUAUCUGAUGAAAUAAAAUAUACUUGAUGAUGAUGCCGGAGAUUUGAAAGAGGGUUACUCCCACGAAGUAAGAGGGGGAGAAGAUUUGUACCAUACCUAAUUUUGCAAUUUUUAGGUUGUCAAAGAAUUGAAGUUUCUUUCAAGCAAAUUUAAACCCACUUGUUGAGACUAACAAAUCAAAAUCAAGCAUGACAACACUUUGCAAUAAUCUUUGACUAUACAAAUCGCACCAUACAAUAGAUGGCGCGAUCUUUGACUGAAGGAGCUCAAUUUGAUCGAGGACUGGAGUACUUGAGCUUGAGCGAGUUUGUGCGAGAGUUUGAGUUUAAAUAGAUAUUACCAUGUUCAUAUCCAGCAUUUAAUUUAGUAUCCGAUCAAAUUCGAGUUUAAAUUCGAAUACAAAAUUAUUUGAGCUGAGUUCAAAUAGGGCAGUAUACAAGCUCUUAUCAACACAUUUACAUUACACCACCUAAAACUUAAAUAUCUAAAAUUCAGCUCAACUCCUAGGAUGUUUGGUACUCAAAUCCUCCCCUUUCCCCUUCUGCAUUUUAAAGCUUGAAUAAUCUUAGGUCUCGUUUGGAUGAUCACUUUUUGAAUUUUUUGUAAAAAAUUAUAUUAUAAUGAUGUAAUAUAUGUGAGAUAAAAGAGUCAUUUAAAAACACGCGAGGAGAAUAUUUCAAAUUUUUUCCACAGAAAUUAAAAAUCCUAACGGAGCCUUAUGCAGGAGGAAGUGGGGCAACCGUCCCUGAACAAUGUAAUAUUUUUUGAACGUUUUGUAAGUUUAUAUAAAUUUCUUGUACAUUCUUAUAACAGAAGUGUGAUUUUUGAUUACUGUUCAUGUGGGUCCUGUAUAUAAUAAUUGUAUCUCUGUUGUUAUAUUUUAUAAGUAGUUUACGUAGAAUUACACCUUAUUCAAAAAAUGUUACAUCAUUCGGAAUGAUUUUUACUGAUAACCAUUUAUGCCCUUGGUCCUAUUCAAGAUAAUUGACAUGCUUUAGUUCGCAAUUGCCGGUUCUUAUUAUUCCCCACUGCCCAGUACAAGUGCCAGAUGCGGCUCGGAACUUGACAACUAUCAUAUUCUCCUCUCUUGAUGUUCCGCGCCAACUCUACAUUAGUAUUUUCAAUCGUUGUGAGGCAGCACCGGAGGAUGACCAGAGCUGGACUUUGCAGGGUGGUUUUAACUAUUAACCUCUUUCCGCUUCUCAAGCGGUGAGAUUUUCACUUGUGUGGGACAACUAAUAAUCAUAAUUCUAUUGAUCUUGAAGAUCCAGUCAACAUUUGAAAAAAAAUUAGAUACUCCCUCCGUCCCGUUUUGUUAGUCUUGAUUUUUUUUUCACACAGAUUAAGAAAGUGUAAUUAAUUUGGUUGGAAACAUAAAUUUAGAUUAAUAAUUUCCUAAAAUACCCUUACGCUAAUCACGAAGAGUGCCAAUUAAUAUCAGUUACAGCUAAUGGGUUAGUAUUGGAAAAACUCAAUGUAUUCAAUGUAGUGAGUUAAUAUUUAAUAACAAUGUAUUAAUAACAAGAUAUUUAAUAAGGGUAUUUUAGAUAAUUUGAAAGAUUCCUACAUUUCUUAAUGGGAAAGUGGACUACAAUUUGGGACAGACGAAAAAGGAAAAUAAGACUAUCAAAGUGGGACGGUAUUGUUGUGUGGCACGGCACAUUAAUACCAAUAAUCUAUCACUGCUACCAUUAAUGAAUGAUCAAUCAUUAAUACAACCAUACCACUUGCCAUAUCGCGUUCACGUCAAUGAAAACUUUGAAAUCAUGCAGAUCUUGUAUAGAAAAACUAGCUCAAAGACUAAUUAAAAGUUACUAAUUUUGUCAAAGAGAUCUUAUAAAAUUUGUUGAAAAUGAUACCAAUUUAAUGUACAGGAAUAUGACAAAGGUGAAUAAUUUUCUUACUUCAUGUCCUAGAACGUAACUAUCAUUUCCACCUCAUUACUUCUGAAUUAACAACCCCCCUCUGGAAGACACAACGAAUAAAAGGAAAAUGAGAGAAUAUUGCGUCUUAUAUAAUCGUCUUAAUCUUCAUCCUCGCUCUUAAACCCAUUUUUAUUGUGGAUCCUUAUUCUUGACUUAUGAUUUUUAUUUAGGAAUGGCAAUUCUCGACAUGAUUAGAAAAUAUAAUUCGAACCUAACACGAAAUUUGUAGGUAGGGCCUAUAGGUUUACCCUUCAUGAGUUUGGAUCAAAAUCUGGUCUAACCCAAAUAACUCGCCAAGCAAACAAAUUCAAAUCAGUUCAAUCACGGGUCAACCUGUUUGACCUAUUUGAACCAUUUAAUGUGUAAUUUUAUAAUUUAAUAAAUAACUUGGGGACAUAAAGUAAAUAAAAAAAACUAAUCUAGACUAUCAACUAGUAUUAUGAGAAUGCAAUCAUGAAUUGUAUGUGAAAACAAUAGAUUUUAUUUGUGAAAGUGUCAAAGUUUUGUUUUUGUUUAUGUUUUUUUUAUAAAAAAAUAAAAAAAAAGGACUAUAAGCAACAUACAUGAAAUCUAGGAAUAGGGUGAAAUUUUCUAUAAUUUUAUGGAAACUUUAUUAUAGAAAGAGCAAAUUAUCCAAAUGAUCACUGAACUAUUGGAAUCAUCGAAUUUUGACCACUAAACUAUUAAAAUUCUGAUUUUUUGACCACUAAAUUAUUUAAAGUUUAGAUUUCAAAUCAUUCCAUUAUAUUUAAUCGUUAACUAUACCCUUUUCUUUUGUCUAGUGAAUCGUGCAAACACUCAGAUCUAUCAUGUUUAAUGAUUAAAUCAAACGAAAUAACCAAAAUCUAAACUUUAGAUAGUUUAGUAAGCAAAAUCAAACUUUUAAUAGUUCAAUGAUCAAAACUUGAUAAUUCCAAAAGUUUGGUGGGCAUCUAGAUAAUUUACUCUUAUAGAAAAGUCCACCUACUACCACUAAGGUGAGAAGCUCAAAAAAAAAAAAAAAAAACAAAGUUAAGCAAAUAGGUUAUUUAGAUCAGGUAACUCGCAAAAUUAACGGAUCGUGUUUGGAUCAAGAAAAUUGAUCCAUUUAAUUUUGUGGACCACGUUCAAGUUAACGUGUUAUUUAGUAUACUUAAGUAUCAAUCCGACCCACCAACCCACAAUUCGACCUGAUUGUUACCCCUACAUCUAGUUUUCAAUUUCAAAACUAUUACUAUUACUGCCAAACUCAGAGUUGAUUUCUUAUAAGUGGCAGCAAAAUCAAAUCCUUCUGAAUCGAAGUAAUAUGCUUCAACCGUAUGUCCUACAUCUUCCAUGAACACCAAAUUCGAUAAACAAGAACUCGUGUAGCCAUGCUUUUCAAUUCCAAUAGUCACUUCUAGAUGAAACCAUAUCUAAAUUAUUGAUCCCUUGAUGUAGAUAUUCAUUUGCCCAAAGGGUAAAAUCUCCACUAUUUUGAAGGGGACAUCAUUACACCAUCACAUCUUGCAACGUGCCAACACGUUGAAUGGUUAAUUUCGUUCGUAAAUUUUUCUUCUCACGAGACUUCAUCAAGUAUUACGGAAUAUGCUAUCUUUCUUCUCGAAUCUACUGAAUUGUUGGGAAUUUGAGCAGCAGAUUCCUUGAAGUAGCCAACCUCCAAUUAAAAAUAGAAAUCAACUGCCUCGAAUCUGUAGAAUCUCACAACCAAUGAAUCAGUUUUCGGUAAUUCCAGUCCGACAGUUCGUUCCAAUUUCUCCCUCCCUUGCCAUGCAAAGAAACACGAAAGCCAUCAAGUCUCAAUCCUGUGAGAUUCAACGUGAUUAAACUCGAAUAUGCUGGUGUCUAGGAACUGUUUUACGGAUGUGAAAUGUAAGAACAAUUAUAUGCUUCCACAAAGAAAGCAAAAAAACUGAGAUUAGGAUAAAGUUUUGUCGCAUGACUUCUCUUGAAUUCUUGAUUAUGAGGUUUGUUAGGAUGUGGAACAAGCAACUAGAUGUAAUAAAAUUGUUAACUCAAAAGUCUUCAAUUGGCCUUAUUUGGAUUGUAGUUUUGCGCAAACUUUUUUUUAUGUUUUGCACGAGCAUAUUUUUCGAUUAUUUUUUAUUUCACAUACAUCAAAUCGAAAUAAUACAUUUUUUUUUAUAAAAACCAACUCAAGUAUAUUUUCACACCCAUCGACUUGUGUUUGUAUAUCAUUGUCGUUUCGAGGAAAGGGAAUGGGUUAUAAUUUUUCUCCUAUUUCCAAUCAAGUACCAAUAUCAACAUAUACCAAACCUAAUAAGCUAUAGACUGUACGAGGCCAAACCCUAGGUAUUGUAACAAUUUUGAGGGAUCAACAAUUAAGUGAUGAUAAUCAUUCAAAAUUCUUAAAAUUUAUAAUGACCAAGAGUUAUAAAUAUGUAUAUGUUUUCGUGUUCCAUUAAUUCAAAGUUAAUCAAGUACAAGUUUUCCAAAUCAAGAAAAUUAUAACACUAACCACAGAACUAAUACAAUUUAAGGAAAAAGAAAAGAAAAAGAAAAGAGGGGGAUAUAGCUUGGAGGUUUGAGUGGCUAAAAAAUAUCACCUAAGCAAAAUACACCUAGAAUUAAUGUAAAUUAAGGCUUAUGCCUCUUUACUCUCUGUUGUUUCAUAUCUUAACUUUUUCAGCAUAGGAGCACAAAUGAUGUAAAGGUGCCUUUUUUUUUUUUUUAUCUCUAAAGAAUAUAUAUUGUAUCUUAGAUUACUUGGAUUUGGUUCAUCUUUUUCUGGAAUCACAUUCGAAACAGGUGUCACGACAUUAAUUAUUUUAUUAAUCUAACUUCCAAGUGUAAAUCAAACAACUUAAACCAACACAUCCAACAAUAUAUGAAUUUUUCUUCUUCUUCUUUUUUUUUUUUUUUGGGAUAUUGAGACUUGCCCUUAUUGUUGCAAAUUCAGUAUUCUUAUGCCAACACAAAAGUGCAAACUGAUGAUAAUUCAGCAUCAGAUGCAAAAGAAACAUUUGGUUGUUCUUUUUUACAUUCUUUUGGAGUUUUGUACACCAAACAAAUUUUUCUCUUUUUUAAAAAAAAAUUUGUAAUGAAGAAUAUGAUGUUUAUGGACGACUAAAUGCUGAAAAUGGCAUCACGUAAUUUAUAAGCAUGCGAUUUAUUUGUGACCAAAACAAAGAGGUGCCUCUCUGGUUAUGGUUAUGCAGCUACAAUUCAACUAGCUUUUGGCUCGCAAAGUUAUUUCAGUGGAUCACGUUGCCAGCUGCCGCUGGAAGUUUAAUUAUUUUCUUCUUCUCAUUUUAAGUGAAUGUAAAGGUUUUUUUUUUUUUUCGAAACGGAAAGAACACGUACACCCAACUAAUUUAGACAAACGCAGGAGUUAAUCGAGAAAUCGGUCCGAAAGCAAUCUAAGAGAGACCCACAAACAAUCACUGCUCAGCCAAUUGGUGAAUAUAAAGCUUGAAUAUUGAAUAUUUGUCUAUUAUUUCUGACCACGGUCAUGUAGAAUUUUUUUUUUUUUUUUUUUUGGUGGACAACGAUAACUAAUCUACUCCUGCUUCAAAGCCUUCAAUGGGAGGAAACUAAAGAGACUUGUGUAGAGAUUGGGGGUAAAUUUGGAAUAUCAAUUAAGUGUUACUGCACCCUCUUUAUCUUUUAAGAACAAAACGUCCUAUGCUUCUUGUAUUAUAUACCAGGUGAAGUUAGCGCAUUUUGUAUGAUGCACCCGACAGAAUUUGAAAUUAUCAAAAAUUAAACGACUAGUGUAUGAAAGAAUUUUAAAGGGGGUUCUCCCUGCUCGAUGGUCCACGGUCAUGUGGGAGUUGAAAAAAAGAAUCGAAGAGUAGUUACAAGACACAUAUGACAAAGAAAUUGAUUUAUUUAGGCAUAUAUAAUUAGCUUUCUGUCAUCUUUUCCUUUAACUGUAAUUAGAAUUUAUGUCACAAUCAUAUCAUUUAUUUUGUGGCUCCAAAGCCAAUCAAAAGGAAAAUUGCUCUUUCCUCGUGUUUUUCGAGUCCAUCAUUCAAUCACACAAUUAUUUAAUCAAUGUUCUUGUCCAAAAGCUAAAUCUUAACAAUAUUUCACUUCUAUUAUCCACGUAUCCACGAAAAUCAUGAUCCACUACGAGACCUAAAUGUUCUGGAAGUUGUAUAAAUUUUUGGAUUAUUAUUUUCUUCUGAAAAUUUUUUUAAAAUAUUUUUUUCAUGAACAUAUUUUUUGAUUAUUUUUAUCUUACAUACAUCAAAUCAUUAUAGUAUUUUUUUUUAUAAAAACUCAAAAAAAAAAAAAACAAUCCAAAUAAGUUCUUCCAUUCAAGGCUCAAUGUUCACCACCCCUUCUUAGCUUUCUUUAAAAAUGUCCAAGAAAAAAAAAAUGCAUAACUAAAUCCAUAAGCAAGCAAAUGAUGUGGUCUAAAAAUCUCCCCAACUACCUCAAAUUUCCAACCUCCAUUUACGUGUACACAUGCCACAAGACCAGUGACUGACAACCAUCACAGAAAGAUGAUCAAACUUCUUCUCCAAAAUCUACAGAAUUUCCCGGCCAUUUUCCAAAAUCUUGAUAAUCACACGGGCCCACAAGUACACAAGACCUCAAUCAAACUCACCAUUAACAGAACGAUGGCCCACGAGUGAAUCAGACCUGAAUCAGACGCCAUUCACGGAUACUUCAUUCCAUCGAUCAGAAUCUUCAAAGAAACGUCCACACAAAAUCCACUGGACGUCAUCCACACAAGAUUGCUUCAUUAGUCAUUACAUACGUGUCUUAAACUUACUGACUGUGAGCCUGUGAGCGUGUUACCCUUGCACCUUCCUACCAGACACGUGUCACUUCCACCUCCCUCUCUCUCUAUUUCGUGGACGUUAAAACCGCCGUUGAAAGAUAAAGGACACAGCCACCCAAAUUGGCGAAUUGUCCCCCAAGGUGACUUUAACCCGACGUGUGACUCGCCAUUUCCACAUGUCCCACUCCCAUUAGCUCACACCAUGGAACCAACAAUACACUAAUUUUUUAUUUUAUAACGGUAAUAUUCGUACGCUCUUUCUAACAUUCGUUUACAAGGGAUGGUUCCAAGAUUGGCAGCAACUUGCAGCUAGAGGUAUUAUCGAACCGAGUCAAGCUCGAAUUCAAUUAGAAUCAGUGCUACUUGAACUCGAACUCGAACGAGUAAAAGAAUUUGAACUCGAACUCAAUUCAAUAAAAUUAAAUUAAACUCGAGUUCGACUCGUUUGAUCUCGAGUAAAUAUCAAGCACGAUCUAUUCGAGCUCGAGGUUGAGUUUUGAAAUAAACCUAUAAUUUUUAAAAAAUAUAUAUAAUAUAAAUAUAAUAUGAAAACUCGAUUAAACUCGUCGAGCACUCGAGUAUUUAUUUUUUAAACUCGAAUUUGACUCGUUAAAUGUAACGAGUAGCUCGAGCUCGAUUUGAUCGAGUUCAAGCCAAACUUUUUACCAAACCGCUCGCAAGCUACUCAUGACUUGCGAGCGGCUUGACUUGAUUGCAUCCCUACUUGCAAAUUGCGAUAGCAUGCUCGAAUUUGCGUCCGUAUGAAAGGUAUGGUUUUUUAGUUGUUUAUAUAAAAUUUUACUAUAACUUACUAUAAAAUCUGCAGAAAAAGCCUUUGUGUAUUUAAGGGUUUGGAAAAAUUUAAAAAGAUUUCUUUUUUAUUUUUUUUCUUUUCCUUUACUUUUUAUUUUUUUUUGCCCCUCCUCCCUUUCCUUUCUUUUUCUUCUCUUUCUUUGCUCACAUGGCAACAGCUAUGGAGUUUUCGACGGUGAUGCCAUUGUCGACAUUGGUUGGCCGUCCGCCGCUGCCUUCUUCAUUGACCAAAUUUCACACUCCUACAUUCCAUUUUCGUGUAAAUUCCAUUUCCGUUAUUAAUUUUCAGAGAAAACAAAUAAAAAUUGGUCUAAAUUUAAAGAACAAUUGGUAGACAAUGUUUUCUCCCCUUUUCUCCCUCCCUCUCCUCCUCCCUCUCCCCCCUUUCUCCUGCCUUCCACGCUCUCCCUUCCCUUCUCACGACCCUUCCUCCCCUACUUUCAUGUGGACCAAAUCCCUCCCCUACCCUGAUCUGGACUAGAUUUGGUCCGGAAGUGUUGAUAGACUAAGGUGUGGAGAGGAAGAAGAAGAAGGAAAAAAUUUUUUAUGUGUCUUUUGGUAUAUAAGGUAUGUCUUUUAAAAUUUUUGGGGAGUUUUUUAAGGUUAUUAUAGUUAAAAUUGUUAAAAUUUUUGUAGAAGAAAAACUAGGCAAAAAACUUGCCUCCCAAACUGAUAUUUGCAUCAAUUUAUUUGAUUGUAUCAUACAAAUAUUUUAAAUUAUUUUUUAUCUCAAAUAUAUCAUAUUAAAAAUGUGAUAUAAUAUUUUUCUCAAAAAAUUAUUCUAAAUAAUUAACUAUUCCAAACACGAGUGUUUAAUGGUCAAGAUUUAGCUCAUCAAGUACAAUUCAAAAUGUACAACGAUGAUUACAGCACAAAACCUUGACUCAAAUUAUAUGUAUCUUUUUAGCGGGAAAAAUUGAGGAAAAGAAUGAUUAAAAUUCAAGGCCUUUCUAAAUUUUAGAAUUGAAAUUUUAACCUCAACACUGGACUAGAGCCUUUUCAGCAAUGAUAUGUGUCUUUAUGAAUGAAUAGUGUUAGAUUUUUAACAUUAGUAUUACGAAAUUAUGUAAAUUAUUUUUGAUUAAUUGUAACUUAUUGAAAUAUUUGUAAAACCGUUCAUAAAUAGUUGCCUUACCAACAGUUCUCGGCAAAACUCUCGUGGACGUAACUUUUAGAUAUUUUAUCUACCAUACAUACUUUGUUAUUUGAAUUCAAAAGCUUUUUUUAUGGGAUAAAAAAGGAAUAAGAAAGCAUUCAAAAUUUGAAGAGAAAUAUAGGAAAGGGCACGGGUAUAGAUGAAUUGGGUGAUUCGGUGGAGAAAAGGUAAGUGAGAAAUUUCAAAUUUUAGUCGUCCCACUUAUACAAAAAAAAAUAAAAAGAUAGAAAAAGGUAUAUAAAUAUUAUUUCUUUUUUCCAAAUACUCUUAUAGCUGAUAAUUAAAAAUAAGACAUUUGAAUUAAUUAAGUGACACUGAAUUUUUUAAAUAAAAUUUGCUUCAAAAAAUAAAUGUGAUAGUUUAUUCAUUUAUCAUUUAAUAUAAUGUACACUUAAAUGUAUCAAAUUUAAUAUUUAAAAAUUUAAAAAAUUCAAAUUUCAUGUUUUAUUUUUUAGAAUUCAGUUUUAUCCAACGCGCACCCUAAAGUCUUAUUCUUCAAAUUGAUUUUAAGUUUGACACGAUAAAAUCUCAUUCAAUGUGUAUGAUUUUGAUAAAUAUCAUAGCAUUGAAAAAAAAAUUUUGUGACAAAAAAAUCAAUCUACUCUUAAAAUAAAGUUUUCAAAUGCAAUAAAAUCUGCCUGGCUCAGCUCAAAGAAUGACGAAAUCAAACAUAAAAAAAAAAACAUUCAGGAUCAGCUCAAUUCAACUGUUAUACUAGCACACUAGUAAGUAGUAAAAAUAUUUAGGCGGUUCAACUUGAUCACGCGCUUCCACCCCGAACCUUCAUUAGUAACCAGAACCUUCAUUAGUAAAUAAAAAUAUUUAGCGGGUUCAACUUGAUCACGCGCUUCCAACCUGAACCUUCACGCGGAUUCUCCAACCCAUCUCCACCGUCCUUCUCACUUGUCUCUAUAGCCAUCCCAGCCGUCGCCUCCGCGUUCGCUCACAACUCGCCACUUGGCCCCAAAUUAACGGCUUAUCCUUUUCCGGGCCAAAAAAAAAAAAAAUCUUAUCCCAUCUCCCAUCUAAGCCUAUAUAUAUCGCUGUCCCUCCGCCGUUUCCAACACUUCACCAGCUGUGAUUUUCGCUGCAGAGCAAAGCAAAAAACCAGAAGAAAAAGGGAGAAAACCCCAGAAAUCCAAAGGAUAUUAAUUCUUGAUAUUCCACUUUUUUUCAUUUUCCAUUUUUUGAAAUAUUUCUGUGAUUGAUUCUUUCUGUUAUGGCAAUGAGUAUGCCGCAUCAGAUCGGAGCAUUGGCCGGCACGCCGAUAGCAGCGGAGUCCGGAGGACUAACAGGAGAGGGAGCUCAAUCGGCAGCAACAGUUAGCACGUCGGCAGUGUGGAGAUCACCGGUGACGAAUCUCCGGGUUUCAGUGCAGAAACCGGGAGAUGUAGAAAGGGUUUCACCCCUUUCGUCGCCGCCGUUGAGCCCGGUAAGGGCCGGCAUGCGACCAGAUCUCUCGGUUGCAUGCCAAGCAUUUGCGACUGCCGUGGAGACAGAGCCGGCGGUCGAAAAAGUUCAUAGAUUUCCUGAAAGUUCUACCCAGAAGAAGGAAAAAGGGGUGCCGGUUUUCGUGAUGAUGCCGUUGGAUAGUGUGAAAAUGGAUAACACAGUGAAUAGGAGAAAGGCGAUGAAUGCGAGUUUGCAGGCGCUGAAGAGUGCUGGGGUAGAAGGGAUAAUGAUGGAUGUUUGGUGGGGAUUAGUAGAGAGGGAUGAACCAGGGAAGUAUAAUUUCGGUGGCUAUGUUGAGCUCUUGGAAAUGGCGAAAAAACAUGGGUUGAAAGUUCAGGCGGUCAUGUCUUUCCAUCAAUGUGGUGGAAACGUUGGUGAUUCUUGCACGUAUGUUACUUUCAACUUCACUGCAUCAUUUUUUUUUUAUUAUUGGAAAAAGUUUUAAUUUUUUUUAUUUUGGUUGAAUAAUAAGUAGUAUCUAUUGUCUGGAUUGAAAAAGAUGUUGCUUUUAUCUGAGCUCUUAACAUGUGGUGGUAGCGGCUUCAGAGCUGGAAAAGUCAAAUUUAGCUUUCCCUGUUCACUUUUUUAGUGGUCACAAGAAGCUGAUGUAAAAUGGAAAAUUGGUAAUGGGUGAAAAAGACGUGCUAGAGUUUUAAUUGUAAUCGACAACAAAGUAGUAUUUUUUUUUGGGGGCUCAAAAGACAACAAAGUAGUAUCUAAUUAAAGAUUGUAACUUGGAGUUGGUUAUUUUUCCUUUUUUUAGUUUUUGUUACUUUGUAAAAGGGAUAUAUCAAUUGAUAACAAGACGUAAAAUUUUGUCGUACUUAUUUUCCUAUUGAAGUCAAGGCGAGUAGGUUCUGUGUAGUUUCCUGCUGGAUUAGGAUCUUGUCUGUCUAGGGACUAGGAAACCAAAUUGAUAAUUUAAUACCAAAAAUAAAGCCCAGAUACCUAUCUGUUUGAAGAUUGCAUAAGUUAGUUAUGUAAUAAAAACGAGUCAGUAUGGAUAAUAUCUCAUCCUAGGAAAAUUCUCCCCUGUUUCGUGUAAGACUUGCCUUUUCUAGAAGAUAUUAGACUUGAAGCAGGAAAAAAAUGAACAUGGCCAUGAAUGCUUUAUUGCCUCUAUGUGAAACUCAAAUUAACAAUUUUUGGAUUAUGUAGAAGGAAAGGUCAUUCUAGUAUUCAUGUGGAUAAUUUGGAUGAAUAUGGCCAUGAAUGCUUUAUUGCCUUUAUGUGAAACUCAAAUUAACAAUUUUUGCAUUAUGUAGAAGGAAAGGUCAUUCUAAUAUUCAUGUGGGUAAUUUGGAUGAAUAACCUUUGAGUGCUUUGAACUUAUGAAUGGGCAUAUGAGUUUUAGCACAAGUGUUGUCCAUACUUUUGAAAAAUGUUAGUUCCAUGGUCAGUGAUCAAUGGGUGUGUAGCUUCUACCUUUCUUUUCAUGGUAUCAUAAUGUGUCUUUAAUUUUCUGGUGCAUAUUCUUUUUGCUGAUUGUUCCUUUUGGCUUCUCAGUAUCCCUCUCCCAAGAUGGGUGACAGAAGAGAUUGACAAAGAUCCUGGCCUUGCAUACACAGAUCAAUGGGGGAGGAGAAAUUAUGAAUACAUCUCUCUUGGAUGUGACACCCUUCCAGUACUCAAAGGAAGGACACCUGUCCAGUGUUAUUCUGACUUUAUGCUGGCUUUCAGAGACAAAUUUGAGCACCUGCUGGGAGAUACCAUUGUGGUAAGCAAAUAAAUUCAACAUUUUUUACAUUAGAAUAGAUUAAUCUGGA